UGUCGGUGAAGGGGAGCAAGCGCGUCAAGUGGACGGAGAUGAAGCGCAACUGGGGGCAAGUGUGGCAGACCGGGGAGGACCUCACCUGCGAGUCGCUGACGUUCCGGGUGAUGACCAGCGACCACCGCAAGGCCACCUCAUGGCACGUUCUCCCCGCUGACUGGAAGUUCGGCGUCACGUACCAGGCAUCCAAGAACUUCUAAGUAGCCACUUUCCCUCCUCUUCUUCAUCCUGCAUAUGCCCACAAGCAACCAUGCAAAUGAUAACAUGCAUCAUGCAUGCAUAUUCAUUCUUUCGCUCAUGCACUCCAAUAUGGUGCCGGAGUUAAAAAAAUGUAAAUCAAUGUGCAAACUCAAAUGACAUCUUAACCAGUUGUGAUCAAUCUCAACCGCUAAUGCAUUGCACACACCGAAUGAAGCUACCAUCCACUGCUGGAACAGGCUGAUUUAUCGAAUACUUGGCAAAAAGCCAAAUUCUUAGUGAUCUCCACUAUUUAGGCCUUGUGUUGCAUCAAAUGAAGUAACUUUAAGAGUCUCUCUAUAUUCUUUCCAAUUAAUAUAAACAGAUUUUUUUAAAAAAAAACCUCCAACAACUUAUCUAAAUGGCUACCUAAAUAUAACUGUUGGGGGCAUGCUUCUUCACCGAAGGUCCUCCAAGCAAAUACACCUUCGGCAGUAUGAUAUGCGAACUGACACAGCAUGAAGGCACAAGCAAAAGCUACAACCCAGAAAGCUUUGGCAUAAUGACGCGCCUUGAGACGAAGGGCGGCACCGACUUAAAGAGGAAAAGAUCGUUUAGUCCCUAAUAGUUUGUGUCGCAUUUGUAAUUUGUCAUGAAGGACAUAAAUGUAAUUUUGACCGGGCUGCAUCCCGCGCCUAUAAAUAGGUGAACAGUAACCCUGUAUUGUUCACGCUGACUUGUAUUCACUCACACGUCACACCUGGAUUUUUACCUUCUAUCAAGCCGAAGGUACAAAUAUAACUUGAUAUUGUUCAUGCUUAUUCAUGAUAGUAUAAUAAAAAUGUUCUGAUGAUGUCAUAUGACUAUUCAUGUUAUUUUACAUGUUUCAUAUGCUUCUACUUUCAUUAUUAUAUGCUGAAAUGAUGAAGGUACGUCCUUCAUGACCUUCGUCUGAAGAUCAUUAUAUCCUAAAGGAAAUAAUGCUUCGAAAGACGAAGGUCUUUAACCAUUAACAUUUUGUGUUGCCUUGUUCUUAAUUCAUAGCAUUUGAGAACAAGUCCCCAACAUUGGCGCCCACCUCCAGUGAACUCACUUCCACUGUUGAGCUGAUGGCUUCGUUCAACAACCAAGUCGUAGCACCUUCGGCUAUGAAGCUGGUGCUCCCAAUCACGGGCGGUUCAAGCACAGAGCCAGCUAACAAGAAGCAGAAGAAGGAAGCACAGAGAAGAGUGCAGCAUGUUGGGGUGCAAGGACCCUUCAUCAGGUCCAAGUGGUCCCACAUCCCAAUCACCUUCUCCAGGAGGAUCUUGAGCUAAAAGACUAUCCUCACAAUGAUGCUAUGGUCAUAUCUUGUGUCAUCAAGGGUUUUCUGGUCCACAAUGUUCUGGUUGACACAGAUAGUGCAGCAGACAUUAUAUUUGCAAAGGCUUUCAGGCAGAUGCAAGAACUAGAUGACAAGAUUCAUGACGCUACACACCCUCUUUGUGGCUUCGGAGGACGAUAGAUUGUGGCACUUGGCAAAAUCACAAUGACAGUUACCUUCGGCUAUGUCCACAACACAAGAACUGAGCAAGUUGUUUUUGACAUUGUCGACAUGGAAUACCCAUACAAUGCAAUCAUUGGUCGAGGAACACUUAAUGCCUUCGAAGCAAUACUUCAUCCAGCAUACUUUUGCAUGAAGAUACCUUCGGAGCAAGGGCCCAUUGUUGUCCAUGGAAGUCAAGAAGCUGCUAGAAGGGCUGAAGGUAGUUGGACAGAUUCAAAGGCAAUACACAACAUAGAUGGAGCCGAAGCUUGUCAACAAUAUAAACACAAAAGAAAGAAGGCUGCUUCGGCAGAUCAGCCGAAGCCUAUGCUUUUAUGUGAAGAUAUAGCAGAUCAAAAGGUACUGCUGGGGUCUCAGUUAUCUGAUGAGCAGGAAAAAACUUUGAUAAGAUUUUUGUUCAACAACAAAGAUGUCUUCGCUUGGACAACCAAUUAUCUCUGUGGUGUCAACAGAGAUGUCAUUGAGCAUUCACUUAAUGUGGAUCCGUCUUUCAGGCCAAGGAAGCAAAGACUUCGGAAGAUGUCUGAUGAUAAAGCUGAAGGUGCCCGGAACGAAGUAAAGAGGCUUCUCAGUGCAGGAGUUAUCAGAGAAGUAACAUAUCCAGAAUGGCUAGCUAACACUGUUAUGGUGAAGAAAGCUAAUGGCAAAUGGAGAAUGUGUAUUGAUUUCACAGAUCUCAACAAAGCAUGCCCAAAGGACGAAUUCCCAUUACCAAGGAUAGACUCCCUUGUAGAUGCAGCAGCUUCUUUGGAGCUCAUGAGUCUACUAGACUACUAUUCAGGUUAUCAUAAAAUAUGGAUGAAGAGGGAAGAUGAGCCAAAGACUAGCUUCAUAACCCCUAGCGGCACUUAUUGCUACCUUCGGAUGCCUGAGGGGCUCAAGAACACUGGAGGAAGAUUCAGUAGAAUGACAUCCAAGGUCCUUCAUUCUCAAAUAGGCAGGAAUGUGCUGACUUAUGUUGAUGACAUCAUAGUAAAGAGCACGAAGCAAGAGAAUCACAUUGCUGACUUGCAGGAGACAUUUGCCAAUUUCAGGCAAGCGGGUCUGAAAUUAAAUCCAGAAAAGUGUGUUUUUGGAGUAAAGAAGGGCAAGUUCCUUGGCUAUCUGGUAUCAAUGAAGGGAAUCAAAGCUAACCCCAAUAAGAUCGAAGCUAUCCUUCGGAUGGAGCCGCCAAAUACAAAAAAGAGGGCCCAACGGCUGGCAGGAAGACUGGCAUCAUUAAAUAGAUUCAUAUCUAGAUCAGCAGAAAGAAAUCAGCCAUUCUUUGAAAUACUGAAGUCAACCGAAGUUUUUCAAUGGGGUCCGGCUCAGCAAAAGCUUUCGAAGAGUUAAAGCAAUACUUGAUAGACUUGACAACUCUAACCCCACCUUCGCCAGGGGCUCCAUUACUCUUAUAUGUAGCAGCCUCUCACUCUGCAGUCAGUGCAACGCUUGUACAAGAAAAGCAAGAUGGCCAAGUUAAAAAAACAAGCACCAAUAUAUUUUGUCUCCGAAGUUCUAAGUUUGUGAAAGAAAAAUUAUACAGAAUUGGAGAAGGUACUAUAUGCCGUGUUGAUGGCCUCCAAGAAGCUUCGACACUGUUUUCAAGCAUAUCAUAUAAUUGUUCUUUCGUCACAACCUCUAAAGGACAUAAUGAGAAAUAGAGAAGCUACUGGGAGGAUCGGAAAAUGGGCUGCCGAGCUCAAUGAAUUCUUUAUUGAUUAUGUUCAUAGAUCCUCAAUUCAGUCUCAGGUCUUAGCAGACUUCAUUGCUGAUUGGACGCCAGGGGCUCAGGAAGAAGAAGCAACAAAAGACGCCGAAGCCUGGACAGUUUAUAGAGCACAUCAAUAAAAGAUACUAUAGAAGGGACCAGACUUUAGGCUAUAGAGCACAUCAAUAAAUAUGAGGCCGAAACAAUAAAGUGGCGUGAUAGAAAAGUUCGAUUGAAAAACAUCAAGCCAGAGCAUUUGGUGCUUCGGAGAGUGGCCAACCCAGACACAGUGGGCAAGUUGCAACUAAAGUGGGAAGAUCCUUUUCUGGUAGUAUCUUCGUCAAGACCCGGUUCUUACAGAUUGAAGGAUAUUAUACCACCCCACUGGUCACACACAUUGGAUGUUACCAAAACUCCUCCCACUAAACUUAUGCAACACAAGAGAUGUAAUACAGAGAGAAAAUAUUGCAAAAUCUGGCAGCACCUCCUUUGAAACUAGCAUAACAAGGGGGGGACAUGUAGUUCAUAUAGGAUAUAAAGAUAGAUAAUUCACGUAGUAGAAUCUAAAUGCAAAAGUGGUAAAACACAUUCAUGACCCAACAGGAACAAAAAUGAGAUAAGUAACUCAGCCCACCCCAACAAAUAAACCGCUCAACCACCAAGAGAAGCUAGAACAUAGAAAUUCUCUAGACUUGACCCUCCCUGAUUAACAACAUUAUUAAGUAGUGGUUCCUUAAUUAAAAGUGUAGUGGCCGUGCUGCUACAUCCCUCUUUUCCCAAAGCAGAAAUUAGGUGCCUGCAUCAAACAAUGCAAGAGUGAGAUGACACAUCUCAGCAAGUAAACAUGUAACUAAUUACUUAACGCCAAGAAGAAUCACCAUGUAAAAAUCCAGAUUAUCCACAUCCACAUAAUAGAUUCCACACCUCUCCCAUGAAUGCACAUGGCUACAGAUGCAAUAAUGACUUCUCCCUCCAUAUCUCUAAGGAUAUGAAGCUGCAUCAUACCCCUUCUCGGGCAACAUAUGAUGCUCAAUGUACCGGUACGGUCGGACCAUAAGAUCGCGACGAAACUUCAAUGCAAUGGAUGAUGAAUGCAUUAUGCAAGUCAACAACAUGAGUUCUUCCCAAACAGAAUGUGCUAGACAUAUACUUCCACUUAUUCCACAUAAUAAACCACAUGGGUAACAUGAUCAAACCACAUACUCAACAUAUGUAAUCAGUAAAACAUGAAUAUCUUCCAACGAUGGUACUCAAUUAAAAGUAUGAAUACGAACACAACAGCACAACAUAAUCAAGUGUAAGACUCUUCAUUCAACAGAUAGAAUAAUCCUCACUGCUUUACUUGCCUUUACCGGAAGUUUGGGCAAAUCCCUAAGUACGGUCCGUAAGUCCACCACCUGUUUUUGACACCCAACUUAGUGCACCAAUAUCACAUAAUAAACCCAAAAACAACGCCGCACCUACGCGCAAUCUCAAACCCCGCCGCGGGUAACAAUUCUCCUCACACCCACCAAACUGCAGCGACGCUGCUUAACGAUUCCAUAACUUUAAAAUUAAGGCAGCAGUGGUGACAAAUAAAAACUCCAGAGACAACUAUAUAAAAUUCCCCACAAGUUUUGUAUACAAUUUAUGAUUAAAUUCUAACAUCUAAUUACCCCUAAACGGUCCACAAGAUAAACCCAGCAAUCUGUUUUUUCCUCUUUUGGGCAGCGACAUACCCGGAUUCAAACAGCGAUAACUUUUAAAAUAUAAUUCCGAAUCGAGCGCAUAAGUACUAGUUGGAAAGGUAAGACAAAGACCUACAUGAUUCUCAUAAUGAUUAACACUAAUUACUCACGAAACGUCCCCAGAAACUGCUAACACUGCUGCUGUUCGUCCACCUGAAAAAUCUGUUUUUUUGGACAGCCACAUACCCGGAUUCAAAUGGCUAUAUCUUUUAAUUUAUAACUCCGAAUUGAGCGCAUAAAUACUCGUUGGAAAGGUAUGCCAAAGUUCUACAUGAUUCCCAAAUUGAUUCCCAUUAACUCCCCACGAAAAAACCCAAAAACUGCUAGAAUUACUGUUGUUCGUCUGCCACCUAAAAUUCUGGACAGCCCCUCUACCCAAUCGCAUAUGCCACAUCUAAUCAAUUGGAUUGCAGCACAAAUGAACAGGAGAUGAACACAAAAAUCACCUUGGGUUCUCCCCCUUUCCUUCCUCCCUUCUUCCCUCCACCGAAAACAAUCGAAGAUUUGCACCACGCGACGUAGAUCCGAGCGGCAAUGAAAAGCACAUUGGGAGGAGGAGAUGGGGGGGCUAGGGUUUGGUGUGUGGCUGCAAGAGUUUGGAAAGGAGGAGAUGAGAGGGGGGCAGCCAAAGGUGGGGAGAAUGAGGGGGGUUAGGGGAAAAGGGGCGGCUAGGGUUAGGGAAGAUUAGUGGGCCGAAACACGAAUCGCGGCCCAACUCGCCCACGCGACAGCUCCUGACCCCGUCGCAAGCGCCCAACCAAACAAAUUCUACUACCCUACUGGUGAAUGAUUUUCCCCAAAUUCCAAAUUCCCAAAACGCAUCAACCGAAUGAGAAAAAAACAAAAAGAAUAACCUCCAACUUCCCUUCUUUGCAAAACGGGUAUCACACUCUACCCCCCUUAAAAAGAAUUCGACCUCGAAUUCUGACGCUUCUAUCGGAACGACAAAAGGAAAGAUUAAAGAAUCAACAACACUUACCCACAACAAAAAGUUCCGGAUACUUCUGUCGCAUCAGCUCGUCAAGUUCCCACGUAGCCUCGCGCUCAGACUGAUUAGUCCAUAAGACCUUGACAUACUUAAUUGAUCUCUUCCUCAAUGCACGCUCCGAGAAUUCCAAUAUACGCACCGGACGACACUCCAAAGUCAGAUCCUGCUGCACCGCAAUUGGUUCCAUCUCAUUCUGAUGGUCCGGAUCCCGCAAGAACUUUCUCAACAUAGAGACAUGAAAAACCGGGUGUACCCCUGCCAUGGAAUCCGGCAGUAGCAAGCGAUAAGCCAAGCUGCCCACUCGGGCCAAGAUAGUGAAUGGUCCAAUGUAUCUCAGGCUGAGCUUCCCAGAGACACCGAACCGCACAACUCCUUUAGUAGGUGAUACCCUGAGAAGGACUUGGUCACCCACAGCAAAUUCCAGAUCCCGCCUCCUCACAUCAGCAUAACUCUUCUGACGGCUCUGAGCUACCAAAAUAUUCUGACGUAUUUCCCGAACCUUUUCAGAAGUCUGCUGAACCCAAUCAGGACCAACCAGGGAUCUCUCUCCCAAAGUCUCCCAGCACAGAGAGGAGAUACACCGCCUGCCAUACAAAGCCUCAAAUGGUGCCAUCUUGAUGCUAGCCUGGUAGAUGUUGUUAUAAGCAAACUCUGCCAGUGCAAGAUGAUCCUCCCAGCUACCCUUCCAUGACAGAACACAAGCGCGCAACAUAUCUUCCAAGGUUUGGAUUGUUCGCUCUGACUGACCAUCAGUCUGAGGGUGAAAAGCGACACUAAGUGAAAGCUUGGUGCCCAAUGCACUAUGAAGACUCUCCCAGAAUUUGGAUACAAAUUUGGAGUCUCGAUCAGAAACAAUAGACUUAGGUACCCCGUGAAGCCUGACUACUUCCUUCAUAUACAAGGGAACCAAAUCUGAAGCUGAAUUUGUGGUCUUCAUGGGAAUAAAAUGCGCAGACUUAGUCAAGCGAUCCACUACCACCCAUAUGGCAUCCCUGCCACGGGGGGAACGAGGUAGACCCACCACAAAAUCCAUGGUGAUAUGCUCCCAUUUCUACUCUGGAAUUUCUAAUGGCUUCAGGAAACCAGCAGGACGCUUAUGCUCGGCCUUCACGCGCUGACAUACUUCACAGGCGGCCACAUACUUAGAAACGUCAACCUUCAUCCGCUUCCACCAGAAGUUUUGCUUCAAAUCUCGGUACAUUUUGGUUUCGCCAGGAUGGACGGUGUAAGGUGUUUUAUGAGCUUCUCUCAAGAUAUCCAUCUUCACCUCUGAUUUCUAAGGCACACAAAGACGGCCCCUGAAACGAACCAAAUCAUUCUCAUCAAUGGUGAACUCCCGUGGUUUACCAUCACCAACCCUCUUUCGAGCUUCCUGCAAUAGACGAUCCUGCUGCUGAGCCGCACGCACUCUCUCCAUGAGAGAGGAUUGAAUAAGCAUCCGAGUCUCCUCGCUAGCGGUACCGACAUAACACAAAGCGACUCCCAAACGGUCUAGAUCAGCGAUCAACGGCAAGGCCACCUUUGGAACCUCGGACCUGCUAAGGGCAUCAGCCACUACAUUAGCCUUCCCCGGGUGAUAAUGAAUGGACAAAUCAUAAUCUUUAAUCAAUUCCAGCCACCGACGCUGCCUCAAAUUCAGCUCCUUCUGAGUAAAAAUAUACUUGAGACUUUUAUGAUCGGUGUAAAUGUCACAAGCCUUGCCAUAAAGGUAAUGCCUCCACGACUUUAGAGCAAAAACCACCGCGGCCAAUUCAAGAUCAUGAGUUGGGUAAUUCCCCUCAUGCUUCCUCAACUGUCUUGAGCCAUAAGCGAUCACGCUGCCUUCCUGCAUCAACACACAACCAAGACCAAUACGCGAAGCAUCCGUAUAAACUGUGAAACGCUUACCGCUCUCAGGCAAAGCUAGGAUAGGGGCGUCCACCAACUUGCUCUUCAAUGUCUGAUAACUGACCUCACAAUCGCCAGACCAGACGAAGGGAACACCCUUCUCCAAGAGUCUAGUCAAAGGCUUAGCAAUGCUGGAGAAAUUUGGUAUGAAGCGCCGAUAAUAUCCAGCGAGCCCCAAGAAACUUCAGAUUUCAGAGACACUAGAGGGUCUCUUCCACUUCACCACAGCCGCAACAUUGUUGGGAUCAACCGCAAUGCCCUGUUGAUUAAUCACAUGCCCCAGGAAAGCCACUUCGGACAGCCAAAAGGCACACUUCUUCAACUUGCCAUAGAACUGAUUCAUCCUUAGAGCACCCAGAAUGAGACGGAGAUGCUGCUCAUGCUCGGCCUCGGUCUUUGAAUAAAUCAGAAUAUCAUCCAGGAACAUGACCACAAAGUCAUCCAGGAAUUCAUGCAACAUCCUAUUCAUUGCUUCCAUAAAGGCAGCAGGGGCAUUAGUUAAGCCAAAAGACAUGAGUAUGAACUCAUAAUGCCCAUACCUGGUGCAAAAGGCGGUUUUCUCAAUAUCCUCCUCACGAAUCCUCAAUUGAUGAUAACCAGAGUUCAAAUCAAUUUUGGAGAACACUUGAGCACCCCUCAACUGUUCAAAGAGGACCUCAAUACGGGGAAGCGGAUAUUUAUUCUUGAUUGUCACUUGAUUCAAAGCGCGAUAAUCCACACACAGCCGCUUGCUUUUAUCCUUCUUCUCAACAAACAAUACUAGGGAAGCCCAUGGAGACCUGCUAGGCCUAAUGAAACCCUUAGCUAGCAGAUCAUCCAAUUGCCGCUUCAAUUCAAUUUGCUCCUUUGGGGCCAUUCGAUACGGGGCCUUAUGAAUAGGCUGUGUACCCGGAAUCAGCUUAAUCUCAAAAGCUGCAUCGCGCUCUGGAGGAAUGCCCGGAAGCUCUGCCGAAAACACGUCAGCAAAGUCACGCACCACCCAGAUGUCCUGCACCCGCAAGGCAGCCUCACCCUCCACCACCAUGGAGAAAAAGAUCCCCGACUUCCUUGACCGGCGAUCAGGAAGCAAUUGCGCCAACAAGGAUAACGUGAACUUCGGGGAACUUCCCAAGAAUACCACCUCCUUACCCGACGGCGCCUGCAAUAACACUAUCUUCCAAAAACAGGAUAUAACCGCGCGAUACUGGGAUAACCAAUCCAUACCCAAGAUAACAUCGAAUGCCCUCAAGGAAAUCACCACCAGAUUGGCCGAGAAGACCUCAUCAGCAAGAAUGACAGAACACCCCUGACAAACUGAACAGCUACUAAUGGAGCCAUUAGCAGAUCUAACCAGAAUUGGGUGACCCAACCUCUACACUGAAAGACCAGCCCGCGACACAAAAUCCUCCGAAACAAAUGAAUAGCUAGCGCCAGAGUUAAAAAGAGCAUGGGCUGCAAACGAAUCAACUGAAAUCGUACCUGUCACCACGUCUCCUUGCUCCCUGCCAUCCGCAGCGGGUAGCACAUAAGCUCCAGAAAUACCCGCAGAAGAGGAAGCUCCCGGAGUGAAAUUAACAGAAGAAACCCACUGAGCCGCCGGGUGAGGCAGACGCGGAGCUCCAAACUGAGACGGCAUAGGAGUAGACGGUGUAGGAGUAGGCGUGGCCUGAUACUGAGGAAAACCCUGCAUCAGCACAAACUGAGAAGUCCCAGGCACAAAAAGCUGCUGCGGAGGAAGAGGAACUGAAAACUGCUGCUCAGCACUUGACAUCAUGUUGAUAGUGCCCUGAGAAGAGGAGGAAGUCACCGGCUCCCAUCUGAGCUUCCCAUUAGGAUUCCUCCUACACACCACAUCCUUGUGGUCCUGACUGCAGAUAGAACACCUGCCACUCCACUGGCACUCUGCACGGCGAUGCGCAUCACCACAGCGGAAACACACCAGCCCCAGCCCGGGCUUAGGAACAGCCCGAAACCUCUGAGUACUUCCUCCCGAAGUACCCGCAUCGGAAGAUCUGCCACGGUAAGGAUGGUGGCGCUGAUGCUGAGACUUGCCCCUCUUGUGGGCUGGACCUCCCGUGUUGCCCCUCCUCGCGUCCUGGCCACGAGGCUGAUCAACACCCGAAGACUUCUGCGACUCCAUGGUAUACUGGUGUUGCAUCUCCACACCCAGUGUUUGCUCCACCGUGGUACGGAAGUCCACCAACGGAAAGGCUCCAAGAGCAUGCCUGAUAGAAGGCUUCAGACCCUGACGGAACAGGCUCGCCUUCUCCAUCUCAUUAUAAGCCACAUGAGGGACAAAGCGGACCAUCUUGUUGAAGCCCACCUCAUACUCUGUGACAGACUUCUUCUACUUGAAGGACUGCAAGUCAAUCUUCAUCUUCUCCAGGAAGGUGACCGGGUAGAAUCUCCUUUCAAACUGCCUGAUGAAAACAUCCCAAGACAGGACUCCUGGUGAGGAGGAGUGCGCUGCCUGCACGCCUCUCCACCAAAUUUGAGCCUCUCCCUUCAGCAGUUGUGUGCCAAAGCGAUCCCGAUCUCCAUACGCAAUCACGAAGACAUUCAUCUUAUCCUCCAUGUAAGUCAACCAAUCUGCUGCCUCGACCGGAGUACCACUGCCAUCAAAAGAAUCCAACUUCAUGCCCAUCCACUGCAUCAGAGAAAGACCACUGACUGGAAGAGGCACCUCGGCCCCGCCACCUGGAACAGCACCCGCAGGGACAGCGCCCCCGGGCACUUCUACACCACCAGCACCCUGAGCAGCACCCGCAGGGGCAACAAGAAUGACUUGCCUCAGAAGGGCCAACUCCUGCUGCAUGGCCUGCAUCGCGCCUAACAUUGUCGCCGGACUCGUCGAGUCCCCACUAGGAGCUUGCGGACUACCCCAAGCCCUACGAGGCGGCAUAGCUGCAGCCACAGGGAUGAGAAUAAUAAGUAAAUAAGAUUGGCAUAGCAUCUCUUCAGAUAAUGCCAAACUAGCACAGACAAUAACAUAACAUAUCAAUAGCAAGACAGAAAUCCCAUCCUACAUGUGCAGUGUGUCAAUUUAUUAUUACUCCACUUGCUAGGACCUACAGCCUAUUCCUCUGAUACCAACUGUAACACCCCACUGGUCACACACAUUGGAUGUUACCAAAACUCCUCCCACUAAACUUAUGCAACACAAGAGAUGUAAUACAGAGAGAAAAUAUUGCAAAAUCCGGCAGCACCUCCUUUGAAACUAGCAUAACAAGGGGGGGGAAACAUAUAGUUCAUAUAGGAUAUAAAGACAGAUAAUUCACGUAGUAGAAUCUAAAUGCAAAAGUGGUAAAACACAUUCAUCACCCAACAGGAACAAAAAUGAGAUAAGUAACUCAGCCCACCCCAACAAAUAAACCGCUCAACCACCAAGAGAAGCUAGAACAUAGAAAUUCUCUAGACUUGACCCUCCCUGAUUAACAACAUUAUUAAGUAGUGGUUCCUUAAUUAAAAGUGUAGUGGUCGUGCUGCUAUAUCCCUCUUUUCCCAAAGCAGAAAUUAGGUGCCUGCAUCAAACAAUGCAAGAGUGAGAUGACACAUCUCAGCAAGUAAACAUGUAACUAAUUACUUAACGCCAAGAAGAAUCACCAUGUAAAAAUCCAAAUCAUCCACAUCCACAUAAUAGAUUCCACACCUCUCCCAUGAAUGCACAUGGCUACAGAUGCAAUAAUGACUUCUGCCUCCAUAUCUCUAAGGAUAUGAAGCUGCAUCAUACCCCUUCUCGGGCAACAUAUGAUGGUCAAUGUACCGGUACGGUCAGACCAUAAGAUCGCGACGAAACUUCAAUGCAAUGGAUGAUGAAUGCAUUAUGCAAGUCAACAACAUGAGUUCUUCCCAAACAGAAUGUGCUAGACAUAUACUUCCACUUAUUCCACAUAAUAAACCACAUGGGUAACAUGAUCAAACCACAUACUCAACAUAUGUAAUCAGUAAAACAUGAAUAUCUUCCAACGAUGGUACUCAAUUAAAAGUAUGAAUACGAACACAACAGCACAACAUAAUCAAGUGUAAGACUCUUCAUUCGACAGAUAGAAUAAUCCUCACUGUUUUACUUGCCUUUACCGGAAGUUUGGGCAAAUCUCUAAGUACGGUCCGGAAGUCCACCACCUGUUUUUGACACCCAACUUAGUGCACCAAUAUCACAUAAUAAGCCCAAAAACAAUGCCGCACCUACGCGUAAUCUCAAACCCCGCCGCGGGUAACGAUUCUCCCCACACCCACCAAACUGCAGCGGCGCUGCUUAACGAUUUCAUAACUUUAAAAUUAAGUCAGCAGUGGUGAUAAACAAAAACACCAGAGACAACUACAUAAAAUUCCCCACAGGUUUUGUAUACAAUUUGUGAUUAAAUUCUAACAUCUAAUUACCCCUAAACGGUCCACAAGAUAAACCCAGCAAUCUGUUUUUUUCCUCUUUUGGGCAGCGACAUACCCGGAUUCAAACAGCGAUAACUUUUAAAAUAUAAUUCCGAAUCGAGCGCAUAAGUACUUGUUGGAAAGGUAAGACAAAGCCCUACAUGAUUCUCAUAAUGAUUAACACUAAUUACUCACGAAACAUCCCCAGAAACUGCUAACACUGCUGCUGUUCGUCCACCUGAAAAAUCUGUUUUUUUGGACAGCCACAUACCCGGAUUCAAAUGGCGAUAUCUUUUAAUUUAUAACUCCGAAUUGAGCGCAUAAAUACUCGUUGGAAAGGUAUGUCAAAGUUCUACAUGAUUCCCAAACUGAUUUCCAUUAACUCCCCACGAAAAAAACCAAAAACUGCUAGAAUUACUGCUGUUCGUCCGCCACCUAAAAUUCUGGACAGCCCCUCUACCCAAUCGCAUACGCCACAUCUAAUCAAUUGGAUUGCAGCACAAAUGAACAAGAGAUGAACACAAAAAUCACCUUGGGUUCUCCCCCUUUCCUUCCUCCCUUCUUCCCUCCACCGAAAACAAUCGAAGAUUUGCACCACGCGAUGUAGAUCCGAGCGGCAACGAAAAGCACCUUGGGAGGAGAAGAUGGGGGGGUGGGGGCGGCUAGGGUUUGGUGUGUGGCUGCAAGAGUUUGGAAAGGAGGAGAUGAGAGGGGGGGCGGCGGCCAAAGGUUGGGAGAAUGAGGGGGGGCUGCACAAGGGGGGGGGGGUUAGGGGAAAAGGGGCGGCUAGGGUUAGGGAAGGUUAGUGGGCCGAAGCACGAAUCGUGGCCCAACUCGCCCACGCGAUAGCUCCCGACCCUGUCGCAUAAGCCCAACCAAACAAAUUCUACUGCCCUACUGGUGAAUGAUUUUCCCCAAAUUCCAAAUGCCCAAAACGCAUCAACUGAAUGAGAAAAAAACAAAAGAAUAACCUCCAACUUCCCUUCUUUGCAAACCGGGUAUCACAGAUAUGGACGGCAACGACAUACCCAGAUCUUGGAAUGCGGAUGAGCUUCGAUGAUAUUAUGUGUAAUUUGAUGUAAUCUUUCUUUUUCAUUUUUUCUAUGGCACCCUUUUCCUUUCAGGAGGGGAGAAAGGUUUUUAAUGGGGCCAUAUUUUUUAAUUUUUCAUUCUUAUUUAGCCCCAUUAGGGCCAAAUCCCCCAAAGAUGUAAUAUGUAAAAUCUGAGCCUGCACCAACGAGUGCAAAAAGAGAACAGGGAGAAGCUCAAAAGAUGUCCCUAAGGGGAUGCGGAGCAUGAUGAAGCUACAAAAAGUCGUUCCUAAGGGAGCGCAGCGUAAGUUUUCUGCUCAAAAGUCGUUCCUAAGGGAAUGCAGAGCCAAAAUUGACGAAGCUACAAAAAGUUGUUCCAAAGGGAGCGCAGUGUAAGUUUUCUGCUCAAAAGUUGUUCCUAAGGGAAUGCAGAGCCAAAUACUGCCGAAAUAUAAGGCGAAGAAGUUCAAAAGUCGUUCCUAAGGGGAUGCAGAACUUAUACCACCGAAAUAGAAGGUGAAGAAGCUCAAAAGUCGUUCCUAAGGGGAUGCAGAGCUUAAGACUCAAAAGAUGUUCCUAAGGGGAUGCAGAGUCUGGGUGUGGUUUCAUGUGCGUGGUCGGGACAUUCAUUUGCACGUUACAUUACAUCAUUCAUUGCAUUCAUACACAUUCAUGUAGACAUUCGUAGGAUCAUCAUCAUCGUAAAGCACAAACAGAUACUUCGGCUUUGAUAACAAUGCUUCGAUGAGCAUGAAGAAGCAAGAUAUGCUUCGUUGUGUACGAAAAGAAGGGAAGGUGUUUUUCGCCUUCGGCUCAAAAGAUAUAAGUUUUCGUCCACAGCAAAGCAAUUUACACAUAGAAGGAAAGGUAAAAAUAUAUUACAAGGUAUGGAUAAAUAUACAGAGUAAUGUUCAAUUCUCGGUUACAAUGUCUCUUACAGAGAUAAUACAAAUGCCUCUAAAAGAUCUAUGCAGGCAAGUCUAAAGAUCAGCUUCAGUGGCCUUCGAAAUCUGCUUCGGAUUAUUAAUCUUCGGCAUCAUCGUCCUACACACAACAAAAUUUUAUAAGGUAAAAGGUAAUCACAAGAAAAGGUAAGCAACAGGUAUAACUUUCAUACCGACUUAAGUAAGCUUCGGGCCUCAUCACCAGCCAAAUCCCGACCACCCUUCGCCCAAAUUUGUGUUAUAAAUCUGCUUCCUAUGCUUCGGGCUUCGCCGGGAAUAUCAACUAAAUUUGUCGAAGAUAGGCUGAAGGUAGGCCUAUUGAAAGGGAAAUGUGCCCUUGGGCCAUUUCUAUAAUGUUUUGGUGAUUAAAUGCCCAACACAAGUGACUAAGUUCUUAUGGGCUAAACAAAGUGAGAGAUACAAAUCAUAUUACAAGGUAUGUUUCUAGACUUAGUACAUUGUUUUGUAUACUAAUGUGUUUGUCUAAGUGCUAGAAAUAGUGACAAAAGACGGAGAAAAGAAAAGGGAAAGAGUUGACUGUGUGCAGCAAACUCCAGCUCGGCCUGGCACACCGGACUAUCCGGUGGUGCACUCGGGAAUCGACGGAGUUGUACGGCUAUAAAUCACCGAACUGUCCGGUGGUGCACCAGACUGUCCGGUGAGUCAUUCGCGACGAACUCGUCGGUAUCGGGAAAUGGAAAGGUGACAUGGCUUAAAUUCACCGGACUGUCCGGUGGUGCACCGAACUGUCCGGUGAGCCAAUAGCGGUCAUAGCCAACGGUCGGCUGGGCAAUCUGCAGGUGACGCGUGUCUCGCUCCAACGGUCGGUUGGGCACACCAGAAAGUGUCCGGUGCGUCAACGGGCCCGGAGGAGCAAUGGUCGGCUACGCCCGAUAUGGAAGGAGAUCGCGCACCGGACAUGAACAGUGGCUGUCCGGUGGUCCGGUGCACCACUCGACAGAAGGCAAGAAAUGCCUUCCAAAUUGAUCUCCAACGGCUCCUAGAUGACUUGGGGCUAUAAAAGGGACCCCUAGGCACAUGGAGGAGACUACCAAGAAUUCUCUAAGCAUACUAAGACAUUCAGACUCCGCUCCCAUGCAUUUGAUUCGCUGUGUUGGUGAUUUGGGCUCCAUUCGAGUUGUGAACUCCCCGUGUUGUCCUUUGAACUCAAGUCUUCACUUGUGUGCGUGGUUGUGCUGCGUAUUUGAGUCUUGUGUGUGUUGCUCUCCUCCCUUACUUCUGUCUUUCUCUUGUGAUCAUCAUUAUAAGGGCAAGAGGCUCCAAAUUGUGGAGAUUUCUCGCAAACGGGAGAAAGACUAUAAGCAAGAAAGUUUUGGUAUUCAAGUGGAUCAUUGGAUCGCUUGAAAGGGGUUGAGUGCAACCCUCGUCCAUUGGGACACCACAACGUGGAAGUAGGCAAGUGUUACUUGGCCGAACCACGGGAUGAAAAUCAUGUGUCUCGUGUGUUGCUUCUUGUGAUUGUUUUGUUCGCACGAGCGUGUUCCAUAGCCACUUGAUUUAAAUAACACUUUAAUAAUCAAGUUUGUGGCUAUUUAGUGUUUGAUUUUACAGGAUCACCUAUUCAGCCCCCUCUAGGUGCUCUCAAUUGGUAUCAGAGCCGUACUCUUCAUCUAAGGGACUAACCGCCCGAAGAGAUGGAUCCUAAGGGAAAGGGGAUGGUGGUCAACGACAAGGAAAAGGAGUCCAUCUUCAAUGAGCCAAGAGACAACAAGCCCACUGACUCAGGCUCGAGUCACAAGAAGAGGGACGGGAAGAAGAAGAGACGCAUCAAGAAAAUCAUCUACUACGACAGUGAUCCCUCUUCCUCUUCACCAAGGGACGACAACGAUGACUCCUCGUCCAAGAAAAAGACGGUCAAUCAAAAUUAUUCUUUUGAUUACUCUCGCAUGCCCUAUAAUUCAAAUGCGCAUUUACUAUCAAUUCCCCUUGGAAAGCCUCCACACUUUGAUGGAGAGGACUAUUCGUUUUGGAGUCAUAAAAUGCGUAGUCAUUUAUUCUCUCUCCAUCCUAGCAUAUGGGAAAUCGUAGAAAAUGGGAUGCACUUUGAUAGUACCGAUAAUCCUGUGAUUAUUAAUGAGAAAAUCCAUAAAAAUGCCCAAGCUACUACUGUUUUGUUAGCAUCUCUUUGCAGGGACGAAUAUAAUAAAGUGAGUGGCUUGGACAAUGCCAAACAAAUCUGGGAUACCCUCAAGAUAUCACAUGAGGGAAAUGAUGCCACUAUGUUUACAAAGAUGGAACUAGUGGAAGGCGAGCUAGGAAGGUUCGCGAUGAUCAGGGGAGAGGAGCCAACUCAGACCUACAACACGCUCAAGACCCUGGUCAACAAGAUCCGAAGCUAUGGAAGCACAAGAUGGACGGAUCAUGAUGUCGUCCGACUCAUGCUAUGGUCAUUUAUUGUAAUUGACCCCCAUCUUGUCAAUCUUAUUCGUGAAAACCCCAGGUACACCAAGAUGACGCCCGAGGAGAUCCUUGGAAAAUUUGUGAGCGGGCGCAUGAUGGUGAAGGAGGCGCGAUACGUGGAUGAUGCGCUAAAUGGUCCACUACCCAUCUACGAGCCGCAGCCCGUUGCCCUCAAAGAAACGAGCAGCAGGGAGAUACUACCGAGCAAGGUAGCACAAGUGGAGGCUACCAGGCUCAACGAGGACGAAAUGGCGCUCAUCAUCAAGCGCUUCAAAACCGCCUUGAAAGGACGCAAGGAAUACUCCAACAAGAACAAAACAAGGGGAAAGUGCUCCUGCUUCAAAUGCGGUAAGACUGGUCAUUUCAUAGCAUAGUGCCCCGAUAAUGAUAAUGACUAGGGACAAGAAAAGUAUGGGAAGAAUGAGAAGAAGAAAAACUACAAGAAGGCGAAGGGCGAGGCACACCUUGGAAAGGAAUGGGAUUCUGACUGCUCUUCAUCCGACUCCGACGAUGAAGGAUUGGUUGCCUCGGCCUUUGACAAGUCUUCGCUCUUCCCCAACGAACACCAUACUUGCCUCAUGGCUAAGGAGAAGAAGGUACGUAUUCGAGAUUCCUCAAGGUACUCUUCUUCUAGUGAUGAGGAUUCUUCCGAUGAUGAAGUAGAAUACACUGACUUGUUUAAAGGACUAGAUAGAGCAAAGGUAGACAAAAUUAAUGAAUUAAUUGAUGCUCUAAAUGAAAAGGAUAGAUUGCUAGAAAAGGAAGAGGACAUAUUGUAUGAGGAACAUGACAAGUUUGUAAAUGUUCAAAAAUCUCUUGCUUUAGAAAUUAAAAGAAAUGAAGUGAUAUCCUCUCAGUUGUCUGCUGUAAUGCCCAAAUUUUGUAUCAGGAAAAUAAUAAUAACAAUGAUAUAAAAAAAUUAAUUAUGUAGUGUUUUGGGAUUAUGGAACCCUCGAAGAUUAUUGGUGUUCUUUUCUCUGUGCAUACUCAAUUAUGGAAAUUAAAGUAGUCAAAUAGCAAAUAAAUAAAUAUGGAAUUAUGCAUAGCAUGCUGAAGUUUUGGACUGUGCAUUCAAAACUUAGUUGAAAUCCAAACUAGAUUAAAACGAGAUUGUAAAUUUGAAUUUGAAACUUACAAAUGAAAUUAAAAAUCAGAAAUUCAAAAAAUAGAAGAAGAUAGAAUUGAAAACAAAAGAAAAAAAGCUUACGUUGCUUGGUGCUUGGCCUGUCCGUGGCCCAUUGCCACCAUCGCAUGGAGCCCCACCUCUUCCCCAUUUUUGUUUUUUUAUAUAUUUCCAGCUGUAGCUAAACAUCAGCCUGACAUUAGCUCACAUAAUUGUGUCUCUGCACAUGGGACCGAGCUGUCAGCUUGGGUCGGCAUCUACCUCAUGACGGAGUCAAAUUGGGGCACUGCGAUUACCAGCCACCAGGAAUCCUUCUCCUCGCUGUUUCCUUCGACUAUUCGCGGUCGUUGUUGACCCGCAUGGUCAGCUCUUCCUCGUGGAACAGAUCACGUAACAGCCGGUCCGUUUUCCACGCCGCGCCAUGUGCGCCACCAGCUGAUUCCGAGUCCUAGCCUCUGACUAAAUUGCCGUUCCCACCGAAGCGGGGUUUAAGAACCGAAGUAUCGUGGCCUUUCCUCUGCAUCCCAUCCAAGCGCCGCCCCAUAGCUCACUUUUCCUUGCCCCGCCGUGCCAGCAUCGUUAAGGGCGGAUAUUGCCGCCGCCAUAGAAUCUCGGGCCGUGACUAGCCAAAGCUUUAGGCGGGAGUUCAAUUGGAUUCGCUUGGUCGCGGUGAAGGUUGCCAGCGACGUUUCUGGGGCGAAUCGGGGCCCAGCACCUUGGAUUUCUCGCCGUUGAGUUGCAGUCCACCGCGUACCGCACUGCUCUGGAGCCAGGGCACGACUCGACAUAAACCUAGGUAUAAACGCUUAUCCCAUGCUCGCGUUGUCCUUCUGCUCUCGUUGCGCGCUUCGGCAGGGUGGUUGGGGGAUUGUUAUCGGGUUGGGUUUGCUCACCGGCGUGGUCUCCGCCGUGAACGGAGGUGAGCGCCGCCGUGCCCAAUGUCAGAUUAGGGGAAGGAAUGUGCACCGUUAGAUCUCAAUGGACAGCCCAGAUUAGAUGUCUGCGUACCCUUUCACGCUGUUGUAUGCAGGUCGUGGAUCUGUGAUCGUGCGGUUAGGCUGCUGGGGCUAGUCAUAAUAGAUCUGGACCGUCGGAUCCGUAUCCGACGACUGUGAUUAUGUUCUGGUUCGCGCGGAGAUAAGAUUUAAUCGUGGCCGUUCGCUCAAUCCGAUGGCCCAAAUCGUGCGAUACCCCUUCGGCUAGCGCAAUUGCAAAAGAGACCCUAACCUCUCUGGAAAUCAACCCGCCGUCCCCCGCCGGAUACGCCUGAGUCUGGGAAAUAUUUCGAGUUAGCCCCUGCGUUACUUUGUUUUUGAUGCCCAGCCCAGAGAACAAUGGAAAUAGAAAAUUAAUUAUAGAAAAUGAUUUUUAAUACAAAAAUAAUUCAGAAACUUGUUUAAUUAGUAGAAAAUUCAUAUUAAGUCCAAAUUGAUCCAUUCCAGUUUCAAUAAAUUUGUAUUAAUAUUGUAUAUCAAUUAAAAACAUUUUUUGCCAUGAAACUUGAAUUAAAAUUAUUCACUCAAAUUAAUCUGUUCUAAGUACUCAAUAACUCCAGAAAUUCAUAACUUAAUAAUCGUAGCUCCGAAUAUAGUGGUUCUUGUUUCUACGAUCUCGUAACAUCGCGUAGAUUAUUAUUACGUGGUUUAUUCUUAUGUUUGGUGUGAUGUUAAUUUUGUAUGUACCAUGUUUGUCUGUAUUGCUACGUUUAGCAGUGAGGACACGUAUCACUUGAAGAGCAAGUUGGUACCUGGAAUCUCAAGUGCCAGGCAAGUUGUGCCCUUGACCACUUUUUACCCAAUAAUGUUCUUUAAUAUCAUUUAUUCUUGCAUAGGUUAAUUUUGAUGGGACCCAAUAGGUUACCCUAGAUUGUUUAUCUCAUUACCUUGUUUACCCCUGAAUCACUUGGGUAGUUUGCUAUUGCGUUACAUGGAUUUGGGAUAAUUAUUUAUCAUAUCUAUGUUCCAGUUAUUUUGUUAUUCUAUUUAUGUUCAUGUCAAGAUCAUUAAUGUUAAUUGGAACAUAGAGCUUAACUUGAGAAACACGUGCCACCACAAGGGUUUAUGGACGCCCUUGGCUGAUUAAUUAGGAAAGCUAGUGGAGGACUACCUUACCCGAAAAGGGGCAAGGGCAGUAGGGGAGUGGUCAGUGUAGGGAGGUCCUUGGUUGAUUUUGCUGCGAUGGCGGUCAGGCAAGAACCCUGCAUUGGAGCUUCCUAUAAACUGUAGCGGGUUUUCUGAAGCUAGUGGAACUUUGUAAAGGCCUCGUAGUGUUACCCUGCCUCACCUCCUCGGUAGAGGUGUAUGGGAAGUCGCGAUCCCUUGGCAGAUAGGUAACAUGACUUGUGGGUAAAGGGUACCACCUCUGCAGAGUGUAAAACUGGUAUACUAGCCGAGUUCACGGUCAUGAGCAGCUCAGGACUCUCUGAUGAUUAAAUUAUGGAACUAAAUUCAAUUUGUCAUAUGCAUUGCAUCGCAGGUGAUGUUGUUACUUUUGUUCUACUACUUAAUUGGGUUGGUAUUUACUUAUACUUAGUAAUUGCUAAUAAAAUUUUGACCAACUUUAAAAGCAAUGCUCAGCUCUAAUCAUCAUCUUUGGUAAGCCUUACACUACACGUGAGCUCCCACCUUUGGCGAGUUCAUGCACAUUAUUCCCCACAACUUGUUGAGCGAUUAACGUAUGUGAGCUCACUCUUGCUGUCUCACACCCCCCCACAGGUCAAGAACAGGUACCACAGGAUAAGGCGCAUGGAGGAUGCUGUGAUGAGUUCGUGAGAGGUCUAGGCCGUCGUCUCCCAGUCAACUUUGGGUUGCUGGACCGUUGUCUCCUUAUAAUGUAAUUAUUUAUUUAUUUUGUAUAGAACUCCUAUUAUUGUAGUAAAGAUGUGACAUUCGAUCAUGUGCCAUGAUUCAUCAUACGUGUGAGACUUGGUCCCAGCACACCUGGUGAUUAUGUUCGCGCCCGGGCUUUGGACCCCUAAAACCCGGGUGUGACAUCUGCUUGCCAUGAAUCUGUCUCUAAUUUAAAGAAUUUAAAUGAUGAAUUAAAUGCUAAACUAGAGGAAGUUAAUAAAGCUAGUUCAUGUGUAGAGCAUGUUGUUAUAAUGAGGUGGCAAGUCUUAAUGCUCAACUUAAGACUUGCAAGGUUGAUUUUGAUAAAUUGAAAUUUGCUAGGGAUGCCUACACUGUUGGUAGACACCCUUCAAUUAAGGAUGGACUUGGUUUUUGAAAGGAAACCAAGAACUUAACAAUCCAAAGGACUCUCGUUCUCAACAAGGAGAAAGGGAAGGCCCCUAUGGCGAGUAGCCCUCAAGGGAACCAUGCUUUUAUUUAUGACAGGAAAAUUGCUAGCGGUCCUCAUUAUAAUAAGAGUUAUGUUCAUGCUGCUUAUAAUGAUUCACAUGCUAUGUUUGCCUCUAGCUCUACUUUUGUUCAUGGUAGAAGUAGGCCUAGGAGAAAUCAUGUUGUGUCUCAUGCUCCUAGGAGAAUGUGCAAUGGACCUUCUACUAUUUAUCAUGCUUGCAAUACUUCCUUCGCACUUUCAUAUAAGAAUGCAAAAGUAGUUGCUAGGAAGUUCAGAACCAAAUGCAAGGGAGACAAGACUUGUAUUUGGGUUCCAAAAGUUAUUGUGACUAACCUUGCAGGACCCAACAAGUGUUGGGUACCUAAAACCCAAGCUUAAAUUACCUUGCAUGUUUAUGCAUCCGGGGGCUCUAGCUGGAUUAUCGACAGCGGAUGCACAAACCACAUGACGGGGGAGAAGAAGAUGUUCACCUCCUACGUCAAGAACAAGGAUUCCCAGGAUACGAUCAUCUUUGGAGAUGGGAACCAAGGCAAGGUCAAAGGCUUGGGCAAGAUAGCUAUCACUAACGAGCACUUAAUAUCGAAUGUAUUUCUAGUAGAGUCGCUUGGGUACAACCUUCUGUCUGUAAGUCAAUUAUGUCACAUGGGUUACAAUUGUCUGUUUACAAAUGUUGAUGUAUCUGUCUUUAGAAGGAGUGAUGGAUCAUUAGCUUUUAAGGAUGUAUUAGAUGGCAAACUCUACUUAGUUGACUUUUUGAAAGGGAAUGCCGGUCUAGAUGCAUGCUUAAUAGCUAAGACUAAUAUGGGCUGGUUGUGGCAUCGCCGUCUAGCACAUGUUGGGAUGAAGAACCUUCUUAAGCUUCUAAAGGGAGAUCAUGUGUUAGGACUAAUCUAUGUCUGUUUUGAGAAAGACAGAUCCUGUGCAGCAUGUCAGGCAGGAAAACAGGUGGGAAGCACACAUCACGGCAAGAAUGUGAUGACAACAUCAAGACCACUGGAGCUCCUUCACAUGGAUCUUUUCGGACCCAUUGCCUAUCUAAGCAUCGAGGGAAGUAAGUAUGGUCUUGUAAUUGUUGAUGAUUUUUCUCGCUUCACUUGGGUGCUCUUUCUACAGGAUAAGUCAGAAACCCAAGUGACCCUAAAGCGCUUCUUAAAGAGAGCUCAAAAUGAGUUUGAGCUUAAAGUGAAAAAUAUAAGGAGCGACAAUGGGUCUGAGUUCAAGAAUCUACAAGUUGAAGAGUUUCUUGAGGAGGAAGGCAUCAAGCACGAGUUCUCCACUCCCUACACACCACAACAAAACGGUGUGGUAGAGAGGAAGAACAGGACGCUUAUUGACAUGGCGAGAAUGAUGCUUGGAGAGUUCAAGACACUCAAACGGUUUUGGUCGUGAAAGUCGCCUAGAGGGGGGUGAAUAGGGCGAAUCUGAAAUUUAUAAACUUAAGCACAAUUACAAGCCGGGUUAGCGUUAGAAUUAUGAACGAGUCUGAGAGAGAGGGUGAAAAACAAAUCAGAAGCAAAUAAAGCAUGAGACACAAGGAUUUGUUUUACCGAGGUUCGGUUCUUACAAACCUACUCCCCGUUGAGGUGGUCACAGAGACCGGGUCUCUUUCAACCCUUUCCCUCUCUCAAAUGGUCACUUAGACCGAGUGAGCUUCUCUUCUCAAUCAAACGGGACACAAAGUCCCCGCAAGGUCCACCACACAAUUGGUGUCUCUUGCCUCGGUUACAAUUGAGUUGAUCACAAGAAAGAAUGAGAAAAAGAAGCAAUCCAAGCGCAAGAGCUCAAAUGAACACAAGUCACUCUCUCACUAGACACUAUUUGAUUUGGAAUGAACUAUGGACUUGGGAGAGGAUUUGAUCUCUUUGGUGUGUCUUGUAUUGAAUGCUAUAGCUCUUGUAAGGUGUAGGAAGUUGGAAAACUUGGAUGCAAUGAAUGGUGGGGUGGUUGGGGUAUUUAUAGCCCCAACCACCAAAAGUGGCCGUUGGGAGGCUGUCUGUCGCAUGGCGCACCGGAUAGUCCGGUGCGCCAGCCACGUCAGCCGGCCGUUGGGUUCUGACCGUUGGAGCUCUGACAGGUGGGGCUUCUGGGCUGUCCGGUGGUGCACCGGACAGGUCCUGUAGACUGUCUGGUGCGCCUUCUGCGCGUGCUCUGUCCUCUGCGCGCGCAGGCGCGCAUUAAAUGCGUUGCAGUCGACCGUUGCGUGCGAAGUAGCCGUUGCUCUACUGGCACACCGGACAGUCUGGUGAAUUAUAGCGGAGUGGCCUCCCAUUUUCCCGAAGGUGAGGAGUUUAGCGUCGAGUUCCCUGGUGCACCGGACACUGUCCGGUGGUGCACCGAACACUGUCCGGUGCGCCAGACUAGGGUGCCUUUGGGUUGUCUUUUGCUCUCUUUGUUUGAACCCUUUCUUGGUCUUUUUUAUUGGCUUAUUGUGAACCUUUGGCAUCUGUAAAACUUAUAGACUAGAGCAAACUAGUUAGUCCAAUUAUUUGUGUUGGGCAAUUCAACCACCAAAAUCAAUUUAGGAAAAGGUGUAAGCCUAUUUCCCUUUCAGGUCGGAAGCUAUGAACACAGCCUGUCAUGCCAUAAAUCGGCUCUAUCUGCAUCACCUUCUCAAGAAGACCUCCUACGAACUCCUUACCGGUAACAAACCCAAUGUCUCUUACUUUCGUGUAUUUGGGAGCAAAUGCUACAUUCUGGUGAAGAAAGGUAGACAUUCUAAAUUUGCUCCAAAGGCAGUAGAAGGGUUUUUACUAUGGUAUGACUCAAAUACAAAGGCAUAUAGGGUCUUCAACAAAUCAUCAGGAUUAAUUGAAGUCUCUAGUGACAUUGUAUUUGAUGAGACUAAUGGCUCUCCAAGAGAGCAAGUUAAGCUUGAUGAAAUAGAUGAAGAUGAAGUUCCGACGGCCGCAAUGCGCACGAUGGCGAUAGGUGAUGUGCGUCCACAGAAACUACAGGAACAAGAUCAACCUUUUUCCUUGACACUAGUGCAUCCCCCAACUCAAGAUGAUGGACAUGUACCUCAAGAAGAGGAGCAUGAUCAAGGGGGAGCACAGGAAGAACAGGCUAUGGAGGAAGAAGCACCACGGGCCCCUCCAACUCAAGUCCGAGCAACAAUCCAUAGACAUCACCCUGUCGAUCAGAUUCUGGGUGACAUCAGUAAGGGAGUAACUACUCGCUCACGACUAGCUAACUUUUGUGAGCAUUACUCGUUUGUCUCUUCUAUUGAGCCUUUCAGGGUAAAAGAGGCCUUGUAGGAUCCAGAUUGGGUGUUGGCCAUGCAGGAAGAGCUCAUCAACUUCAAAAGGAAUGAAGUCUGGAGCCUGGUGCCACGUCCAAAGCAAAAUGUUGUGGGAACCAAGUGGGUGAUCCGCAACAAGCAAGACGAGCAUGGGGUGGUGACAAGAAAUAAGGCUCGACUUGUGGCAAAAGGUUAUGCCCAAGUCGCAGGUUUGGAUUUCGAGGAGACUUUUGCUCCUGUGGCUAGGCUAGAUUCAAUUCGAAUUUUGCUAGCCUAUGCCGCUCACCACUCUUUUAGGGUGUUUCAAAUGGACGUGAAGAGCGCUUUUCUCAAUGGGCCAAUCAAGGAGGAGGUAUACGUAGAACAACCCCCUGGCUUUGAGGAUGACAGGUAUCCCGACCACGUGUAUAAGCUCUCUAAGGCGCUCUAUGGACUUAAGCAAGCCCCAAGAGCAUGGUAUGAAUGCCUUAGAGAUUUCUUAAUUGCUAAUGCUUUCAAGGUUGGGAAAGCUGAUCCAACUCUUUUUACCAAGACUUGUGAUGGUGAUCUCUUUGUGUGCCAAAUUUAUGUCGAUGACAUAAUAUUUGGUUCUACUAACCAAAAGUCUUGUGAGGAGUUUAGUAGGGUGAUGAUGCAAAAAUUCGAAAUGUCGAUGAUGGGCGAGUUGACAUACUUCCUUGGAUUCCAAGUGAAGCAACUCAAGGACGACACUUUCAUCUCCCAAACGAAGUACACUCAAGAUCUUCUCAAGAGGUUUGGGAUGAAGGACGCCAAGCCCGCGAAGACACCGAUGGGCACUGACGGGCAUGUUGACCUCAACAAAGGAGGUAAGUCCGUUGAUCAAAAGGCAUACUGGUCAAUGAUAGGUUCAUUACUUUAUCUUUGUGCUAGUAGACCGAACAUUAUGCUUAGUGUAUGCAUGUGUGCUAGAUAUCAAUCCGACCCUAAGGAAUGUCACCUUGUGGCCGUUAAGCGAAUUCUUCGAUAUUUAGUUGCUACGCCGUGCUUCGGGAUCUGGUAUCCAAAGGGGUCUACGUUUGACUUAAUUGGAUACGCAGACUCCGAUUAUGCUGGGUGCAAGGUUGAUAGGAAGAGUACAUCAGGGACAUGCCAAUUUCUAGGAAGGUCCCUGGUGUCCUGGAGUUCCAAGAAACAGACAUCUGUUGCCCUAUCCACCGCUGAGGCCGAGUAUGUUGCCGCAGGAUAGUGUUGCGUGCAACUACUUUGGAUGAGGCAAACCCUCUGGGACUUUGGCUACAAUCUGAGCAAAGUCCCACUCCUAUGUGACAAUGAGAGUGCAAUCCGCUUGGCGGAUAAUCCUAUUGAACACAACCGCACUAAGCACAUAGACAUCCGGCAUCACUUCCUGAGGGACCACCAGCAAAAGGGAGAUAUCGAUAUUUAUCAUAUUAGCACCGAGAACCAGCUAGCCGAUAUCUUCACCAAGCCGUUGGAUGAGAAAACUUUUUGCAGGUUGCGAAGUGAGCUAAAUGUCUUAGAUUCGCGUAACUUGGAUCGAUCUAUAACAUACAUGUGUUCUAUGCCUUUGAUCAUGUUACUUUGAGCAUUUACAUUAUUCGUUGUAUAUUUAUGGUGCUCAAGUUGUACAAAUCCUCCCCGGACCUCACAAGUCCAUAUGCAAAUGGUGCACAUAUUUAGGGGGAGAUGUGCUACAACUUGACCAUUUGAGACUAACAUGUUUGUUUAAGUACACCUGAUGUAGUCUCAAAGGUACAUUAAAAGGGAAACUGAACUUGGACGAUGCAAAGACUUCCACUGCACUCCGGUAUUAGUGUAUUCAAUUCCAAGUUCAUACUUAUGCUCUCACUACCUUUUUGCUCUUAAUUGACAUUUUUGGUGAGGCAAUGGGGUUAAAGGGCCAAGAAUGAUCCCGUUUUGGUGCUUAAUGCCAAAGGGGGAGAAGUUAAGGCCAAAGCAAAAUGGAUCAGCCAACCACUUGUGAAUUUUUUGAAAAUAAUAGAGUAAGAAUUUGUGAUUUGCUCAAAAUACCCUUAUUGCAAAAUUUGGUCUCUUGUGGGGGAGAAUUUUGAUUAUGGGAAAAGGGGGAGUUUUUGGCACUUGAUUAAUUUUACUCUUGGAAUAUCUCUCUAUAUGCCCAAACAACCAUGUUUAACUUAGAGAAAGGAAAAUGAAUUUGAUUUGCAAAAACAAACCAAGUUGUGGCGAAGAAUGAUCCAAAUAUGCCAAAAUCCUAUUAAAGUGUUGGGGACUCGUUCUCAAGUGCUAUGAGUUAAGAACAAGGCAACAUAGAAAAUGUUAAUCGUUAAAGUCCUUCGUCCUUCGAAGCAUUAUUUCCCUUAGGAUAUAAUGGUUUUCGGACGAAGGUUAUGAAGGGCGUACCUUCAUAAGUUCGUUAUACAGUGACGAAGGAUGAAGUGUAAGGAAUAUAAAAGAUAAUAUAAACAAUUAUAUAUGUAUUAUUAUGUAUAAACAGAAAUAUCGCUGAAUUACAAAUGUACCUUCAACUUGAAGGAGAUGAUAGUACAAACGUGACGCAAAAAGCAAAUGCCCAGUCAGCGUGACCAGUACGGGGGUACUGUUCACCUAUUUAUAGGCACGGGACACAACCCAUACAAAAUUACAUUCAUGCCCUUUACACUUGAUAAUAAUUCUAUAGUAAUCUGUCGAGGUCUAAAUAGCCUUUUCAUCUUUAAGUCGGUUUCACUUUUUGCUGCCACGCCGAAGCUUUCCUGCUCACACCUUCGGCGCUGUACCAACCUUCGUAUUAUUCUGGUCUACUGUGAUGCCGACUUGGGUCCGAAGAUACCUGUUCACACAUUAUACUCCAGAAAUACUGUUAAAUCCUGUUUUUGAGGACCUUCGGAAGCCGAAGGUCCCCAACAGUAGCCCCUCGCAAUAUUAAUUUGUUUAAAAUAAUAAAUUUAGAUUGCGAUAUGGACGAAGGCUUUUCGCCGAAGGUCCGAAAAAACACCUUCCCUUUGCUAGAAUAGCAACAUUCACUGACAAGCGGGGUCUUUCAAUUUUCAACGCUCUUGGCGUAUAAAUACGGUCAUACCGCAAACUCAUUUGACACGCUCUCUGGCCAACUGCUCCCGCUCACUCAAUUUUUAGCUCUUGUGCACUACGAUUUGCUAAGCUUUUAGUUUUGAAGCUUCGGCUUUGAAAAUAGUUUUUUAGUGUCUCCGAAGAUGUCCGAAGAUAAGAAGACUGCUGCUGAGAUGAAGCUGAGCCUCGACGAAGAGAAAAAUUUGGGGUUUCUUAUAGCGAUGUCAAAGACCAAUACAGAAAAAAUCACCAAGGAGAUUUUGGAAGGUUUGUCUGAAGAUACUGGUGACAGUGACAACUAUGAUGUGGACAGUGGUGGUGAAGACUCCGAAGAUCGUCCCUGGCGACCAAGCCAUUCAGUUUAUGGUAAAUCAACUAUCAAAGAGAAUCAUCUUGUCAACAUGAGAGGAAGGUAUUUCCGGGAUUUGUCCAUUGUGAGGGCCGACGAAGGGGAAAAAACUUGCCCACACCCUGAAGAGAAUGAAGUCGUAGUGUACCGAAGCUUUUUGAAAGCUGGACUGCGAUUUCCCUUGAGCAGCUUCGUUGUAGAGGUGCUGAAAAUAUUCGAAGUCUAUCUCCAUCAACUUACCCCCGAGGCAAUUAUAAGGCUGAAUAUCUUCGUGUGGGCCGUGAGAAGCCAAGGUCUGAAGCCUGAUGCAAAAAGCUUCUGCAAUAUUCACGAAUUAUCAUACGAAACAAAACCUUGGGGUAAGGAACAGUAUCACAAUAAUUUUGGCUGCUACAGUUUCGUUUCUCGGUCCGGGUCAAGCUGCCCCGUGCCAACCUUUCGGAAGAGAUGGCCUGGCGACUGGAUGACAGAAUGGUUUUAUGUGAAGAAUGAUCUGACAGUACGAGAAGAUAUCAAAGGUAUAAUUAUGCACCCUAUUUGGCAAAGCUUCGGCCUUCGGAGGCCGAAGGUUGAAAUGAAUGAAGCCGCAGAAGAAUGCCAGAGGGCCUUCGGCGUUAUCUGUUCUUUUAUUGGAACGAGAGACUUAGUACAAGAGCAUAUUGCCUUCAGGGUAUGGCCGCUCGCGGAGAAAUGGGAAAUGCCACAAGAAACCAUAAAAGAGACCGACGAAGGUGGACUUAUCAGGUUGAAGUACACUUUUAAAUUUGGAGAUAAAUUUGUUGAGCCAGAUGAUGACUGGUUAAAAAGCAUUGAAAAUUUAAGUGAUGAACUGCUUGGGGCUUAUUCGAAGGCCGAAGAUACUGCAAUGUCAGCAGCCUUCGGAGGCCGAAAAAAGAAGAGGCUGAAUCGGGUAUUUGAUGCAAUCGGGUUUGUCUACCCUGACUAUUGCUAUCCCAUUCGAAGGCAGAAGAGAAAAAAUACAACCUCUGCAAAAGAAGAAGCUGCAACUGCUCCUAGCGAGCCAGAACCGAAAAGAAAAAAGAUAAAGGUCCUCACACAUCGGCCGCGCUAUAUUGAACCAGCUUCGGUGCCUGAGUUUACCGGAGAAACCUCUUCGGCCACCGAAGCUGAAAAACCAACCGAGCCAACCUUGCUGCCAGAAGUCGCAGAAACGGCCGAAGUGCCAACAAAGAUAGAAUUGGAACAAUCAAAGAUUUUGUUACCAGAAACGAAAGAGAAGGCCGAAGCGCCGUCCAUAGAAAAAAUGGAAGAAGUAAAAGAAGCAACUGAGGGAUCAAAAACAUCAGAAGUUUUGAGUCCUGCAGCAAAUAUUGAGACAGUAAAAAACCAAAAGGUGCCAGCAGUGACUCCGAAAAGGAAGAGAAUGGUCAAUGUUCUAGAUGUUCUAGAGACAAUUAAAUCUUCAAGCACACCUCCGAAGGAGACUGUUGUCAUCCCCGAAGAAAAAACUGAAGUCUCUGAUACUAAAGCUCCAGAGCAAGAAACUGAAGCCGAAGCUGGGUCCUCAGAACCCACGAAAAUAAAAUCCCUGGAAUUUGAGGAAGAAAAAAUUACAAAGCCAACUUUUGUUGAAGAAAUCAGUGCUGCUGCCCCCGAAGCAUCCCCCAAAGUCCUUGAUUAUAUUAUUCACCAUGCUUCGGGGAAACAACUAUCAGAAAAAGAAAAACAAGAGGCCCAACUUUACGCCCAAAAACUGAAGUAUCCAAAGGGGGCAUUAAUAUUCAAUGGCAGUGGAGAAGAAGACUUUUUGUAUUGUCUCCCUGACAGCAAAGAGAUUUCUGUCUGUCGGGAGAUGAGCAAGAGCUUCGGAUUCCCAACACUGGAAGAUGGGCUCUCAGUGCUAUCGAAAAAUGAUUUGGCCGACAGCCUGGCAUAUAAUAGCUUGAAGGUGCAACAAAUGAGAUCUUUGCAUUUUUUGUUGAGACCAAAAUUUUUCGUUUGUUUAAACCUAUUGACACAAACAUAUUUUUCUUUGCAGGGCCUGAUACUUAGCAAUGCCCUCAGGGCACAGAAAGAUGCUGAAGACGAAGGGUGUACUAUAGCCCUGAGCAACCUUCGUUCCGAAGUAAUUGAACUGAGGAACGAAGGUCUCGAGAAAGAUAAAAUAUUACACUCAUUGAUAAAUAAAAUAAAGGAAGACGAAGCUGCUUUCAAAGGUCAGGCUGAAGCUCAUAAACGCGAACUUGAAGAUCUUCGGAAACAACUGGCCAGAGCCAAGGAAGAACGUAUACUUGAAGAAACAAAGCGAGAACUCAGCGACCAAUGGGCAGAUCACUUAGAAGGAACUGUUGAAGAGCUUCGGUCGUCCAAGAAGAGAUGCUAUAACAAAUCUAUAGAAUGUGUUAAGAAGUUAAAGGCUAGCUUCGCCAGGGUCGGCGCAUUCUCAAGUGAGGAAAACUUUACGAGAUGCAAUCCCGAAGGUCCCAUCGAAUGGAUCGACCACGAAGCUGAAGCCUUCGAAGAAAUUUUAAAUAGCCGUGGAGAUAUAUGUGCCUUCUCGGGUGCCCGAGGGAUUGCCACUAUUUUAGAGAAAAAAGGCUGCGAACAUGUAAGGAUUCUGGCGCAAUCCGAAGGUGCUUUGUCCUUCGAAGAUGCAAGGGAUCCAUCGGCCGAAGCUAGCAUGGUUGGUGGAAAAUUUUUCACCGAUAUCUGGGAUAAUGGUGGCCAAGAAAUGGCCCGAGAGAUUAUUCAAAGAAGCGGAAAGGGCAUUCACGAUGCUAGAGAAGUAGCUGAGGCUGCUGAGAAGAGCGCAGAACCCGAAGGUCAAUUAGGUAUUAUCUAAUAGUUUUUAUUGUGUUGUAAUUUUAGGUUUUAAGAUUCGUUUGCAAUUUGUCAUAGCAAUGUAGCCGUAUCCUGUUCUACUUCAGAUUCUGCUAAAGCCCCUUCGGACCCCCAGCCGAAAGGAGACGACGAAAUAAAAAAGAUGGCUGAAGCUAUUAUGGACGAAGUCGUCAAUCGGCUCCUAAACGAGGCUGCAGAAGUUGUUUUGAGAGAGGAUUAAGUAUUAUUGUAAAAACUUCUGAAAUGUAAUAUAUUGUAACAUUUUGUAACCCUGAAUGUAAUAUACCUGUUUUUCUUGCUUAAUUCUUUACGAUGCAUGAAACUUUACACGUACCGUUUUUGAGUCUUUGACGAAAAAACACCUUCCCUUCUUUUCAUGCUUCGUGAAGAAGAAUUUUUCAACAAUAUCCAGUGUUCUGAUGAAUAAUAUCCAGGCUUCGUGAAAAUAUUUUCCGAAGCUACACCUCCGAAGAUCAAUAAUGUAUCUCCUUGUGAUAUUAUGAUUUUUCCCUUUUUUCAAAACGUUCUUCUGUAGAUUAAUAUUGUGUCCAACUCUUGUGCCAUAUGCAACAUGAUGUAUGAUGCUUAUGCUAUGCGAAAUGAUGCGAUGAUGUUAUGUUAUGUGAGGCGAUGCUUAUUCCGAAGAUGCACACGCAUCCCUGCAAUAAAACAUAUAAUCUUUUACAAGCCUCCCUUAGGAGCUUCUUCGCCUUUUACUUCAGCGGAAUCAGCGUUUAUUUUUCGCUGUAAGCCUCCCUUAGGAGCUUCUUCGCCUUUUACUUUCAGCGGUAUUCGCGUUGACUUUUCGCGCUUCGCCUUUUACUUAGGCGGUAUCAGCGUUGACUUUUCGCUGUAUGCUCUGCAUUCCCUUUGGAACGACUUUGGAGCAGAAAACUUACACUGCGCCCCCUCUGGAGCGGCUUUUUGUGACUUCGGCAAACUUACUCUGCGUUCCUUAGAACGACUUUUUGUUACUUCGAAGAAUUUUCGAUGUUCGAAUGUCCUCUUUGUUGUCACAAGUCUUUCAACAAUUUAAUCCUGUGAAGAAAAUAUAUUUUCCUUGUGGGAAUCAACGAAACUAUUUACAUGAAACCUGAACAAUGUCCUUUAUUACAGAAAAUAAAACUGAAUGAAAAAGAUUGCUAUUAAGGUAGGAUAUUUGUCAAUAGAUGUGCUUUGACUCUGGCACAGUGCUGUUGACUGUGCGAGCUUCGGACUGCUCUCUGAAUUCCCUUUGGUGUGGAGCAUAUUGGCUCCCUUCUGGCUGCUGGCCUUAUUGCAGCGGUGGUGGAGGCGGAGGUUGUUGCCAGGAAGCCUGAGGUUGACUCGCCGAAGCAACAGAAACUGCAGGGUGAUUGCCUACAUACUCUGGGAUGUAAGGCGAAUGAUACAAAGCAGUGUGCAUGACCUGCUUCGGCUGAGCCUGUUGUGCUGCCGCUUCGGCUAUUUCUUUUUGCUUUUGGAUGGUAACAUGGCACAUCCUGGUGGUAUGACCUUUGUUCUCACCACAAAAUAAGCAAAAGAUUCUUCUCGGUUGAUCGCCAAAUCUUCCUCCGAAGCCCCUGGCGCCUCUGCCUCUUGGAACUGGUGGUCGGAAGGAGCCCUGCUGUUGCCCCGAAGCCUGUGAGGAACAUUGUGGCCUUUGCUGUUGGCUCCCUCUAUCAUCAUUUUGUGUAGAGUUAUGAAUUGAUCUAACGUGCCUCGGGUAGAACCUCCCUCCGAAGCCCCUAGUCAUUUCAGAAAACCUGAAAGCCUCCUCCCUUCUUUGGCGAAAAUCAUUAUCGGCCUGAAUGUACUCGUCCAUCUUCUGGAGCAGCUUCUCCAAAGUUUGAGGGGGUUUCCUAGCGAAGUACUGAGCUGACGGUCCUGGCCGAAGCCCCUUGAUCAUGGCCUCAAUGACAAUUUCAUUGGGCACCGUUGGUGCCUGUGCCCUCAAACGCAAGAACCUUCGGACAUACGCCUGAAGGUAUUCUUCGUGAUCCUGGGUGCACUGGAACAGAGCUUGAGCAGUGACCGGCUUUGUCUGAAACCCUUGGAAGCUAGUUAACAACAAGUCCUUCAGCUUCUGCCAUGAAGUGAUCGUUCCUGGUCGAAGGGAGGAAUACCAGGUUUGAGCAACACUCCUGACAGCCAUAACGAAAGAUUUGGCCAUGACUGCAGCAUUGCCACCAUACGAAGAUACUGUUGCUUCGUAGCUCAUCAAAAACUGCUUCGGGUCUGAGUGACCAUCGAAUACGGGAAGCUGAGGCGGCUUGUAGGAUGGAGGCCAAGGUGUAGCGUGCAGCUCAGCGGACAGAGGAGAAGCAUCAUCAAAAACAAAAUUCCCGUGAUGGAAAUUGUCAUACCAGUCAUCUUCGUUGGGAAAACCCUCCUGAUGAAGGUCUUGGUGCUGAGGCCUUCGGUGUUGCUCAUCCUGGGCAAGAUGGCGAACUUCUUCAGAGGCUUCGUCUAUCUGCCUCUGCAGUUCAGCUAGCCUGGCCAUCUUUUCUUUCUUCCUCUGCACUUGUUGAUGAAGCAUCUCCAUAUCUCUGAUUUCUUGAUCUAUCUCGUCCUCUGGUGGUGUCGGGCUGACAGCCUUCCUUUUCUGGCUUUGGGCCUCCCGAAGGGAGAUUGUCUCCUGAUUGUGGUCCAGCGGUUGCAGAGCUGCAGCCCCAGUUGCUGAAGCUUUCUUCGGCGCCAUAACGAAGGUUUAUGAUCGCCGAAGGUGUUCAAAAAACUCAAAGAGUGGAAGUGAGUUCACCGGAGGUGGGCGCCAAUGUUGGGGACUCGUUCUCAAGUGCUAUGAGUUAAGAACAAGGCAACAUAGAAAAUGUUAAUCGUUAAAGUCCUUCGUCCUUCGAAGCAUUAUUUCCCUUAGGAUAUAAUGGUUUUCGGACGAAGGUUAUGAAGGGCGUACCUUCAUAAGUUCAUUAUACAGUGACGAAGGAUGAAGUGUAAGGAAUAUAAAAGAUAAUAUAAACAAUUAUAUAUGUAUUAUUAUGUAUAAACAGAAAUAUCGCUGAAUUACAAAUGUACCUUCAACUUGAAGGAGAUGAUAGUACAAACGUGACGCAAAAAGCAAAUGCCCAGUCAGCGUGACCAGUACGGGGGUACUGUUCACCUAUUUAUAGGCACGGGACACAACCCAUACAAAAUUACAUUCAUGCCCUUUACACUUGAUAAUAAUUCUAUAGUAAUCUGUCGAGGUCUAAAUAGCCUUUUCAUCUUUAAGUCGGUUUCACUUUUUGCUGCCACGCCGAAGCUUUCCUGCUCACACCUUCGACGCUGUACCAACCUUCGUAUUAUUCUGGUCUACUGUGAUGCCGACUUGGGUCCGAAGAUACCUGUUCACACAUUAUACUCCAGAAAUACUGUUAAAUCCUGUUUUUGAGGACCUUCGGAAGCCGAAGGUCCCCAACAUAAAGAGAAUUUGGUCUUCAUUUGCAUUGAUGUUGCUCUUCUUUUGUUGCUUUUUGAUGUGUUGGAAUGAAUCACCAAAAAGGGGGAGAUAGAAAGGGAAAUGUGCCCUUGGGCCAUUUCUAUAAUGUUUUGGUGAUUAAAUGCCCAACACAAGUGACUAAGUUCUUAUGGGCUAAACAAAGUGAGAGAUACAAAUCAUAUGACAAGGUAUGUUUCUAGACUUAGUGCAUUGUUUUGAAUACUAAUGUGUUUGUCUAAGUGCUAGAAAUAGUGACAAAAGAAGGAGAAAAGAAAAGGGAAAGAGUUGGUUGUGUGCAGCAAACUCCAGCUCGGCCUGGCACAUCGGACUGUCCGGUGGUGCACCGGCAGUGUCCGGUGCCCGAGGCUAGCCGACGGUGAACCAGCUGCUCUCGGAAAUCGACGUAGUUGUAUGGAUAUAAAUCACUAGACUGUUCGGUGGUGCACCGGACUGUCCGGUGAGUCAUCCGCGACGAACUCGUAGGUCUCGGGAAAUGGAAAAGGCGACGUGGCUAAAAUUCACCGGACGGUCCGGUGAGCCAACGGCGCUGGUAGCCAACGGUCGGCUGCGCAAUCUGCGGGUGACGCGUGUCUCGCUCCAACGGUCGGUUGGGCACACCGGACUGUCUGGUGUGCACCGGACAGUGUCCGGUGCGCCAACGGGCCCGGAGGAGGAACGGUCAGCUACGUCCGAUAUGGAAGGAGAUCGCGCACCGGACAUGAACAGUGGAUGUCCGGUGGUGCACCGAACUGUCCGAUGCACCACUCGACAGAAGGCCAGAAAUGCCUUCCAAAUUGAUCUCCAACGGCUCCUAGCUGACUUGGGGCUAUAAAAGGGACCCCAAGGCACAUGGAGGAGACUACCAAGAAUUCUCUAAGCAUACUAAGACAUUCAGACUCCGCUCCCACACAUUUGAUUCGCUGUGUUGGUGAUUUGAGCUCCAUUCGAGUUGUGAACUCCCCGUGUUGUCCUUUGAGCUCAAGUCUUCACUUGUGUGCGUGGUUGUGCUGCGUAUUUGAGUCUUGUGUGUGUUGCUCUCCUCCCUUACUUCUGUGUUUCUCUUGUGAUCAUCAUUGUAAGGGCGAGAGGCUCCAAAUUGUGGAGAUUCCUCGCAAACGGGAGAAAGACUAUAAGGAAGAAAGCCAUGGUAUUCAAGUGGAUCAUUGGAUCGCUUGAAAGGGGUUGAGUGCAACCCUCGUCCAUUGGGACGCCACAACGUGGAAGUAGGCAAGUGUAACUUGGCCGAACCACGGGAUAAAAAUCACGUGUCUCAUGUGUUGCUUCUUGUGAUUGUUUUGUUCGCACGAGCGUGUUCCAUAGCCACUUGAUUUAACUAACACUUUAAUAAUCAAGUCUGUGGCUAUUUAGUGUUUGAUUUUACAGGAUCACCUAUUCACCCCCCUCUCUUGGUGCUCUCACCUAUUCACUAUCUUCGCAUGCGUACAGCUAGCUUUCAAAAAUGAUGCAGUCGUGCCGCGAGAAGCUAGCAGGGCGCAGAAGUCACCAUGCCCCGCUAUUACUUCGUCAAGCGCCUCAACUUCGCCUUCAAUAUGUUCGAAGGUGCAUGAUAUGUUGUCGGCCGAAGGAGUACACUUUUCAGCACUGGCUCCAACUGAGUUGAAAACCUUUUUUAACCGUUGUACGCAGCGGCUGCCGAAAUUCAGACAUAUGUCAUGAAGCUCCUUCAAAGAUUGCUUUAGCUUCGUAUUCUCGGUAGCUUCGGCUUCAUACUUCGUCUGCAAGUUUUUUCUCUCUCGUUCUAAGCUCUCUGAUUUUUGCAGGAGUUCCCUGUUUAAUCUAAUAUUCUCGGCUUGCGCUUCUGCAAGGGAACCUUCCACUGCUUGGAGUAGGAAAUCUUUCUUUUAUAGAGAAGCUUUGUAUUCUUUGAUUUUUCUCUCUAGACCCUCGAUUAUAAUUUCGUUCUUUUUAUCCUCGAGGUCCUGUUGCAUUUGCAGCGCUUUGCUCAGCAGCAUACUCUGUACAAAAUAGACCUUCAUCAGCAAAUUUCGUCGUAAAAAUGAAACAGAUGAUGAAAUUUUGCUUUGUUAUAAGAAUUUUACCUUAAAGUUGGAAUAAAACAAACUACCGACGAUAUGUUGUCGUUGGUAGCUGCUAAUAUCGGCUUCAAGCUUCGGAAAACCGACACUCUUCGAUAGAGUGCCGAUUACCAAUCCUUUCAAUGGCAUCUUUUCAAUGGCUUGCAUCACGCUACCAAUCCUUUGCUUCUUCAGCCCAUCUGCCUUCUUUGUAGCCGAAGGUUCUCCUUUCUUCUGAAAAAGCUUCGUCAGUUCCGGUCCCAGAGGACUUAGCAGCUUGAUAGGUAAAGAUUCAGUCAUUACCUUUAAUAUCUCUUCUACUUCGGUAGCAGGAGGUGUUGAAGGAGUUUCCUCUUCCACCUCAGUCACCUUCGGCUCUAGAGUUGUAGCCUUUCUCUUCUUCAAAGCCACCGCUUUCGGCUUGGGACUAGAUUUUCUCUUCUUUAAAGUUUUUUCAUCUUCCUUCACCAUUCUAGCAUCCUGCCUGCUCAGAACGCUGACAACCCUUUUCCUUUUUGCCCCUUCGGCACCUUUGUUGAGUCGCUCAUAAUCAGGGUAUUCAAAAUUUAGAGCAUCCAUUACCCGGUUCAACCUUCGUUUUGGUCGGGUGCCGAAGGCUGCAGUCAUUAAUUGAUCUUCUUUUUUGGUAUAGUUUCCCAAAAUUUCAUUGCACAUUGUCUCAAUCAUUUCCAGCCACUUUUGGCAAGGCUCCUUGAACUGUUUCUCAAAUUUAAAACGAUAAGGCAAUCGAACAAGCUCAAGUUUUUUCUUUGUUCCCUUUAGCUUCGGCAUGCUCCAUUCACUUGACAUUGGAGAUGUUCUAUUAGCCAAGUAUUCUUGAACCAGAUCUUUAGUGCUGAUUUGUUCAGCCACCACCCUGAAUUCUUAUACAGACAGUUGGCAUGCUAACCCUGGCUGCAUGUUGCACAAAGGUCUGGUCAUUCCAAAGCUUAAAGCCAAUGGGCACAUGGCCAUCGUCAUCAGUUUCCCCUUCUCUUUUCAUCGGCUUUAAUAUAAAACCAUUCACUCUUCCAGACGGUUGGCCACUUGGUGCGAUAGUUGAGGAUCCGAGCCUUCAUAUCUUUGCGAUACGCGAAACUAUAACAACCAAAAUUCUCAUGUAAACCAUCUGCUCUGGCCUUCGUUUGGUAGUGCAGCUCGUGCACUCGGCAGAAUGCUUCGGCAUCUGGGUCCAUCCCUUGGCUUCGGAGGGCCCAGAUGAAGAUACUGAGCCUAACGAUAGCGUUAGGGGUCAGCUGAUGAAGAUAAAUUUCAAUUUUUUUUAAAACUCCUCCUAUCAUCUCGUUUAGAGGAAACCGUAAUCCUGCUCUGAAGAAACUUUUGAAAACCACUACUUCAUCAUCCUUCGGUGUUGGAGUGGUUUCUUCUCCGGCAAAACGAACAAGCUUCCUCUCAGCUUCUCCAAAGUAGCCUAGUUUCAUCAUCAUGGGCACGUCGGCUUCAGACACAGUAGAUUUCUCAAAAUCUAGGUGGCUGGGUUUUGAUGGGAUCAAAAUGCUAUAAUCUUCCUCUUCUUCAUCAGCAUUUUCUUCCUCAAUAUCAACCUGUUCAGCUUCGGCAGCAGGUGUAUCUUCGUCAAUGGUUCCCUCUGUCACAACUAAACCCGACUGUCUAAUGACUUCGAAAAUCGGAGCUGUCUCGGUGGCCUCGGUCUCCUCUCCUUCACGAGUCACCCUUGCAGUCAAGCGUACUCUAGCCAACAGAUGGAUUUUUUUGCGGUUUUUACGAAGUUGAUGUCUUUCGCAGUUUUGACGAAGUUCUAUUUUUUAACGAAGCUAACUCAAAAUGAUGGUCCGCUCGAGAGUGCAGCGAAAAAGCUUCGGCUAUGGUUAAUUUUUUUAACAGCACAAUAGUGCAAUGACAAUGAAUGUCGUGGUAACUCCACACCUACCCGUCUGUUUAUAUAGUGCUGCAGGUGGGAAGGUGAACCGCCAAGUCGCCCACACCCGCUGAAUGGUGGGCCACUCGGUGUCUGGAAGGUGAAUCGACAGAUCGCUCGUACCCACUGAGCGCUAGGCUAUCUGACGCUUGGAAUAUUUUAAUCGUUUCUCGACAACGAGCUCAGGGAAGGUGUUUUUCGGACCUUCGGCAUUCCGAAGCCUUUGAGAUUUUUUCACGGGUCAUGCUCAUUACGAAAAACGAUCUAGCACCGUGAAGGGGCUACUAUUAGGGACAUGCUUUUUCACCGAAGGUCCUCCAAGCAAAAACACCUUCGGCAGUAUGAUAUGCGAACUGACACAGCAUGAAGGCACAAGCCGAAGCUACAACCCAUAAAGCUUCGGCAUAAUGACGCGCCUUGAGACGAAGGGCGGCACCGACUUAAAGAGGAAAAGACCGUUUAGUCCCUAAUAGUUUGUGUCGCAUUUGUAAUUUGUCAUCAAGGACAUAAAUGUAAUUUCGACCGGGCUGCGUCCCGCGCCUAUAAAUUGGUGAACAGUAACCCUGUACUGUUCACGCUGACUUGUAUUCACUCGCACGUCACACCUUGAUUUUUACCUUCUAUCAAGCCGAAGGUACAAAUAUAACUGGAUAUUGUUCAUGCUUAUUCAUGAUAGUAUAAUAAAAAUGUUCUGAUGAUGUCAUAUGACUAUUCAUGUUAUUUUACAUGUUUCAUAUGAUUCUACUUUCAUUAUUAUAUGCCGAAAUGAUGAAUGUAUGUCCUUCAUGACCUUCGUAUGAAGAUCAUUAUAUCCUAAAGGAAAUAAUGCUUCGAAAGACGAAGGUCUUUAACCAUUAACAUUUUGUGUUGCCUUGUUCUUAAUUCAUAGCAUUUGAGAACAAGUCCCCAACAAUAACCAUCUUCUAUUCCGGGUUUCUCGCUAGCCAAAUAUAGAAAACGUGAAUGACUCUCUAGAGCGCAAACAAGAUAUAGAAAAUGCGAGUUAUUACUCGGUACUCAGGGACGGAUCUAGCGUUGGGGCUGGUGGGGCUCAAAUCCCACUACCGCUCCUGAGCAUAUGGAGCUCCACCAAAAACCCUCCUAAAAUUUAAAAUAUAUAUAAGGGGUGUUUGAAUGUACUAGAGAUAAUAGUUAGUGGCUAAAAUUAGCUGGAGACAUCCAAACUCCCUAGCUAAUAUUUCAACUAUUAGCUAUUUUUAGUAAAUUAGUUAAUAAUUAGCUAGAUAUUUGUUAGCUAGCUAAUUUCACUAGCAAAUUUUUAGUCAACUAACUAUUAGCUCUAGUACAUUUAAACACCCCCAUAGUAUAAUCUUAUUACGUAUUUUAUGGUUUUAUCAUGUAUCGAUGUUUUAAUAUAAUGCUACUUCAAACCAUUACAUAUGUCUAUUAUAAGUGCUUUAUCAAUAAGAUUAUAUCAGUUUAGUUUAGUCCCUCCUAAAAAAUUUUCCUAUUGUACCGAUCAUUGGCAUGGUGAACCAGAUGCUUGGUACCCACCGAUCGAGAUGGUCAUAGCGCCAGUCAGCUCUACCGCUUAGUUGGCUGGCUGUCAACUGGCCAAUCGAAGCAUACCACCUACGUUGGAGCCUGCGCAGUCGGUACGUGUUAGGGUCGCGACUAAAACCGACCGGACAUGGUCGAUACUGUCCACAUGUUUGCACAUGUGUAAGCAUAUGAUUGGCCAUUCAAUUUCAAACGUUUGAAUUUGAAACAAAAUUCCAAAAAAAUAAAAACAAAUCAAAGCAGCCCUUUUCCCUCCUCUCCAACCCGUAUGCCCGCAAGCAGCCAUGCAAAUGGUAACAUCAUGCAUACACAUAUUCAAUUCUUCCGCUCAUGCCCUCCGCCACGGUGCCCUAAGUUAAAAAAAUUGUUGAAAAACCAUUAUGCAAAUUCAAAUGACAAAAUAACCAUCUUAACAUGUUGUGAUCAAUCUGAACUGCUAAUGCAAGCGCACACCUAGGGGUGAAAACGGAAACAAUAAUUUUCGGAUACUGGGAAUCGUUUUUGAAUUUUUACCUAAAUUUAGGUCUAAACAGAAACGAAAACGGUUACCGGAAAUACAAAAACAGAAUUGAUAGAAAAAAUCGGAAUCGAAAACAGAAAUGGUUUGGGUCUCUUCCGACCAUUUCCGAAAAUUACCGUUUUUAUUCGGUAUUUUACCGUCGGAAAUAAAUUCGGCAUUUUUCAGAAAAAAUAUUAAAUUUGAACUGAUCUUUGUAAAUUCGUAAUAAAUUUAUCUUAGCUUAGAAAAAUAUGAAACUAAUUUUAUUAUUUUUCUAAAAUUAAGAUCUAUCUAAUGGUAUAUAGUUUAGAAUCAUUUGAAACUUUUAUAAAUCUUAUUUAUGUUUUCUUACCUGUUAUUACUAUUAAUACAUAUAUUUAUAAUUUACACGAGAACUUAAGAAGGACUAAGAGGAUACUAAUUAUAUUGACUAUGCCAAGUAGUAAAAGUACAAAUAUAAUGUAAGUGCCAUAUCAUUAUACACAUCUUAAUUCUACUUUAUUUAAAUACAAAAUAAUAAUUUUAUUAUUGUAUGACUUCUUACUUUAUAUAUUUAUUGUGACCUCCUACCUUAUAUACUAUUACUAAUUUUAUAUGAAUGUAUGACUUGCGUGAUCGAAUUUUAGAUACAUGUUAAUUGAGGAUACAUGUUACAGUUUUUACUGAUCUAAUUUUAGAUUCCGAUCGUAACCGGUGUAAUUUUCGUACCGAACUUUCGUUUUCGAUGUUUCCGAAUUAUCGAUGUCGUUUUCGUUUUCGGAGUAUCCGAGGAAAAAUAUGAAACAAAAAUGGUUUUAGUGUUUACCGAUCGUUUCUGACCGUUUUCACACCUACACAUACCGAAUUAGACAUGUGAAAUAGACAAGCAAUGGUCUAUUUGUAAAUGGGAGAAAUAUGUAUUGGAAACCACUUGCUGGUCGAAAACAUGAAAACUAGUUUUAAAAAGAACACUUUUGUAACUUGAAAUCUUCUGGAACUUGAUACAUAUGCAGUUCAUCCAUACAUAAACUCACAUAAAAAGUUGAGAUGCAAAGUCAUCUGAAAAUAACAAAAUUUGUGUGCAUAUAUAAUAGAAGACAAAAAUACAGAAAUUGUCUUGUAGUGCACAUACAAGUGAAGUUUAUGAUUUUUAUAUGAAUCUUUUAAUAUUGAGUUUAUAUUCUAACAUUUGUAUGUAAGUACAUAUGUAGAUGACACAUAUGUGUCAAUUUUCAAAAAAAAAAGUUAAGUUACAAUAGUAUAUUUUAAACUAGUUUCCAUAUUUUCACAUAAGAGGUGGUUUUCAAUGUAUAUUUUAAAGUCUAUUUGACCCUUCAAACUAUUGUUAAUUGUUUACCUCACCCUUACACAUGUAAAACAAGGUAUUGUCUCCCUUAAACUAUUGAAAAUCAUCUACAUAAUCCUCUAAGGAGGUUUAGAAACUGGUUUUAUUGAUGUGACAUGUUAAAAUGUCUAAUUCCCUCAACUAUAACCCCUAGUCUUAUAGAUCCGUUUAGUUACCAUAUUCGGCCAAACUAGACUAAGAUUCCAUGCUUGCAUCCAAUACAAGCCUAUCAACCGCCUCACUCUCUCUACUCUUUUUGAGUUUCCACCACUGCCAAAUGAGCACCACCCUAUUUCCUUCUCCGCUCAUGGAAAUCCUCGACAACAUUGAACUCAUGCAUUGCACUUGUGCCCUUGUCAUUUGGUCCCUUCUUGUCUGCUCUUGUUUUCUUCUCACAUUGCUACGUAAAAAUUUGAAGGAUGAUCAGGUAAAAGAUAUGGGAGGGGUUGGAUGACAAGGGUACAAGCAUGCAUGGUGCUUGAGCUCAAUGUCAUCAAGUGUUGGGUGAUGGUCUAGGAGAUGAGAAGUUGCAUCCUGUUUAUUGGGUGGUGGAUUAGCAUAGAAAGACUAAAGAGGUGCAUGCUACAAAUGGGCCUAUAAGAAAAUAUGUGUACUUAGGCUAGCCUAGUAUGACACAAUGUCUAAACACCCUAGAAGACCAUGCAGGAGAUCACAUUAUUAGAUACUCUAAAAACUGUAAUAUUAGAUUUUAUAGUUGAUGGGGUUAUUGUCGUUGCGGAAACCUUCUAGGGACCGCCUUUGCAGACAAGGAGUCGGGAGGUGCGCUGCUGCUGCCUUUGUCCCUACAGAACGUGACUCUGUGUACAUGGCUGCUCUACAGACGCACAACAAUCAGUUAAACAUUAAAGCCAGAUCGUGUGGAUCAUCCUGUGCUGGUUGCACCGAUCGGCUCCUUGAGCCAAUUUUUGUUUCUUUUAUGGGUCGACUAUUAUCAUAAUAAUAAAUGUGAUCAUGCAUUGGAAGUGGUCGACAAAGAAUAUAAAUCUAUCUAAAGCAUGCAUGAGCCGAUUGUUUACUCUAGAGCAAUGUAAGUGCAUGUCCAAGAAGAGUGGCAUGCCAAAGGGCAACCAUUAUUAACUACAUUGUUAACCAAAUCUAGGGCCAUAUGAACAGUAAACCAUCUAUAGAAACAUUAGCUACUGAGAACUGUUGACCACACAUGUGAACAUGGAUCAUGACCUUGAAGGAAGUCCAACCAAAGUAAACAAUGAGGCUAAGCAUGUAAAAUAGGAUGGCAGAUAUGUAUUGGACUUUCAAGUUGCUGCGUUCACAUGUGCAACUUGUAAGUCGUAGAAUGUGGCAACUGGUCAAUGAAUACUCAUGCGGCAAUGUAAAAUCAAUCUAAUAGCAUGAAUCAUAAAGACAAAUAUAGAUUGAAACUACAAAUGUAACUAGCGGAUAUUUCUAACAACAACGCUUAGUACAAUAUCUAUCAGGGUAAGGUGGUGACACCAUGCCACCUUGACACGAUCAAGACCACAUCAGGGCAACAUGGCGUUACCUUGUAAAACUCUUGGGAAGGGGUGGCGAUGCACCGAGAGGAUGAGAGUCACUUGCUGCUUGGUGAAUGAAUGACUUUCUAUUUAUUCAUGUUUGUAUCAGUUUUAAUAUAUAGCCUUGUGGGCCUGAAGUGAUAAACACUUCCUAACUUACAUUACCAUCUAAUCUGUUACUUAUUUUUGAUAUAAUGGUAUAUUUCUAUAUCACACACUUAUUUUUUCUUGUGAUCAGAUACUUCUUUUGUGGAGCCAUUCGGUCAGAACAAUAUCCUAGACCCAGCUAGGAUUAGGUGCCAACACAUGCCCCCUAUUUUUGGUAGAAUCUUUUAUGUCGAAACUAAAUCUUCGCCUUGUGGAAGAUUAACACCUCUGUUAGCAGUCAAGUCAUGUCAACUGACUCUUCAUCACACAAAUCUACCUCAGGUUUUGGUCCGACACUUCCACUUCAAGUUGUUUGCCUCCUUAUACUAGUAUUAGUAUGCACAUGAACUCCUCUCCAAAUAGCAUGAACCUAUCGUAAGCAAUGACACCGCUUCUCCCACCUAGAACAACGACUCUUCCUACUUCUCUUGGCCAUCUGAUCCUCCCAUCACCCCUAUGAGUCUCCUCUUCCUUCUCCACCCUCGCUUUAUUUAGUCGAGGAGGAUUGUGACUUCCACUAAGACAUUGAUCCCUUCUCGAUUGAUUAUGCCUCAAUGAUCGUCGAUGAGUCCGAUGCAUAUUCGUUGUUUGUUGUGUGAGUUGCUCGCCUCCUGCAUGCCUCUUUGUACCCUCCACCUUGGAAGAUGAUUGGGACUAUGAUGAGGCAUACAUCGACUCCACUGAGGAGGAAGUCUUCGUUGAGGAGAUCGGAGGAGUUGGUAGAGAUGUGGCUGCGCAAUAGCAGCUCCACCAAUGAGGAGCCUAAGGAGGACCUCAACUAAGAUUUCAGCGACGAUCCUAGUGUGGAGAGCUUCACUGACGCUGUUGCCACCAAUGAAAGUGGUGACAAGGAGGAACUAGAGCGUAAGCGUAAGAGGUUGAUUAGAUACCUCUGCCUUUUAUAGAUAAGAUUUCUUUGAUAGGGUCCCCUUGUAGUCCUGCUCCUUCUCGAUGAAAUAAAUAAAACUUUCUGUCAACCUGAUCUAUUUGUGCUUCCCUUUGCUUGAUAUAUUUUGGCCAAUCUAUCUGUGAUGUUCAUGUUACCUUUUCUUGAUGCAUUUGAAUGACCUCCUCCUCAUUCCCAUUAUUAUUAGAAUGUUUCGGUAGCGUCCUAUUAGCCCAUAAAACCCCCAUCUUCGUCAUCUCUUCCUAUGGCGACGGUACUCUUAGCUGACUGUCAUUGGGGCUCACGAACGACAUCAACAAGUUUUCCUUGAACGACGUGUUGACUUAUGAUACCCUCCGAGCAGCUAAUGACACUUCAAUGUGUCUAUAGUCUUCUAGUCGUUCAUCGACUUUACCAUUUUUAUCAUUAUUUUUUAUCUAAAGGCGAUGGCAAUGCAUUGACUAUCCGACCUUUUACUUUUUUAGAUGAUAACAACAUAUCAACUUUUGGCUAUCAACAACAUUUCUUCAAAUAUUUGCCAUUGAUAUUCCUGCUAAACUAGAUGCCUUCUAAUGUUUCCAUCCGAUAUGAGUUACUUGGGACAGUUUCUUUGAUACGAUGUGGACACUUUCCAUAAAUCGGAUCCUUAGUCCCAACUAGCAAAAUCAAUUCCUAAAUGAGGUCGCUAGUGUGAAAUUAUUUGGGCCUAACCUUUUUCUUGUAUGCCCAAGCCGCUUUAGCUUUAUUUUCCUUGUUUUUUCUAAUGACCACAGUCUCAAUUCUAUUAGGUCCUCAGUAUUGAUAUUCAUCAUUAUUGCAUACUCACCAACCUAUAAAUCAUUCCAAAAUGUUACCAUUCUUGAUCCGUGCUGAUUUCCCAUGGAAUUAUGGCCUCUGAACCAUAAACUAGCUGGUAGGUCAAGUUCUUGGUUGCCUCAUGACAAGACAUCAUGUAAGCCCAUAAUGCUUCUACCAACUUGUCAUGCCAUUAUUUCAGGUAGUCAUUGAUCUUACGCUUGAUCAACUUGGUUAAGUUUUUAUUUGAUGCCUCGGUCUUUCCAUUGGCCUGAGCAUAAUAUGGUGAUGACUAACCAAGAUGACUCCAAAUUAUUUAGCAAACUUUCCAAAUUCUUCUGAUAUGAACACUAUCUGUUGAGGCCACAGACCCAUGUGCCUAAUUGGUAGAACAAGCGGUAUGCCCCAUACCUGUGGUGUGUUGGGUUUCUAAACCUAGCCUAAGUAGUGACCUCUGGGUUACUUGACCUUGACCUAGCACUACACACCACUGGCAUGGACCAAAGGUAGCCGAAGACCCACUCGUUUCACCUUACUUAUGCUGAGAUAAUGAUCACAAUAUAUGAUGUUGCCUAUAACACCCCUGGUGUUAUUAUCACUAAAACUUGAGCAUAACAUCAUGAAAAUUAGCAUAUCAUGUGUUUGUCACACCUAGAGUGCAUUCAUUAGGUAAAAAGUUCAAAAUUGUUGGACUGAUAUGACUUGAUGUGUGGUGAAACCCUAGGGUAGGGUACUUAACCCUAAACUAGGCUUAUGAGGGACAAUGAAGCACAAACAAGUUAAAAUCUCAAAACUUAUUAGAAAUGAACAUAAGAUGUCACAUUUAAUGAACUUUGAUAGCACCAAAACCCUAAAUAGGUCAAAACCCUAAAAAGACCCCUAGAAAACCCUAAAUUGAAGCCCUAGGGGGCUAAGUGUAAAAUUUGUACCUUUUGGACUCAAGUGCAAAAACCAAGGUAAUAGGGCACCUCAAAUCAUAUAGUUCACACCCUUGUGGAUUUUCAAAUCAAAUUGUGGAAAUUGGACCUAUUUGCAAAAAGGUACCCUAGGAAUCAUAUGUGGCUAAGUCUGAAAACCAGUGCAUAGAGCCAACUUUGGAAACCUGUAUCUGUCAGUUUAUGAGGAAUUUGCCCUAAAUCAACACAUCAAAAGUCUAGAGCUACUAUAGGAGCACAACUUUGCUUAAGUGAUUAAGCAUUAUUGACAUACAAAAAUUGGAGAUAACUAGCCCUGAAGUCUGGCUGUCAGACCACCCUAAGACUGAAUACUGACUGGCAGUUAGUUCUGAGGAACUUUGGGCUCGAUUCUUGCUCAAGGGGAUAAUCAAAGGAGCAUAGAUUGUAGUUGGUAUAUAGAGCUACAAGUUUGUUACAGAUGGAUUAGCAAGUUCUCAUACAAAAAUCCAAGAUCUGGGCACUGCAAUUCUGGUUAUCACGCGUUCUGAAUAAGGAAUCCGAUGGUACAGUGCUAUACAAAUAUCCCAGGUUCAGAGAACCUCACCGCUGGUGAGCCAUGCGUCCGGAUUCACGCCAGCCGCUGUGAUUCGUGCCCAUCGCAAGUGGAUAACAGAGAGGAGUAAAAAUCUUGACGCUCGAAUUAGCUCGGGCUUGCUCACCGUUGUGCCUGCCGUACCCACUUGGACCACGGCUGGCCGGGAUCGUCCUCGCUGGCAUUAGCCACUUAACGAUCGUGCGCCACACGUCUUGGAAGUCUAGCACGUCACAAUGAAUCGGUGUUACAAGCCUAUCCAUCGCCUGAGAACUGGCCACGGUGAAAGCCACAAAUUCAUUGCGCCAGUAACCUCCCCUCUCCCCGGUCGCCAACGCUUCACCUCCAAAUUAAGUGCCACCGCCAUUGAGUGAUAUAAACUGAAGCCUCAGGGAGCUCCGCUAGGAAAUUACGCGUCCAACGCACCAGCACUUGCCUCCAAUUGUCCACCAGAGCCGCCCAAUUGCCCAUUUCCCCCAAAUUGGUCUAAAUACCACCGCGUGAGCACCUCGCCGUGGCCAGCGUGCUACAGGUCCAUUCAUGUCCUCUGCUCUCUUGUUGCAGUACCCUUAUGUGCCCCUGAUGCUUCUCGACCCGACCGACUAAGCUAGAACCCAUUAGAUUACCAAGAACACUUUGAAUUGUCCCCGGAUUGCGCGGUCACCGUGAGCAGAGAAGUUGGGAGCUCGAACCGUGCAAUUGAUCGAGGGGAAAUGAUUGUUAGAUGUUGAAUUAGGUAUCAACCAAGUUAGAGAACCGGCCAUUGCGUGACUUGGCCAGUACAGGCUCGCCAGAGCUCGGUUUGCCGUCGUUCUGCAUCGUGGACUUGGCGCAGUGAAGAAAUAGAAAUAUAGGGGGGUUUUGUGAGUUGUCAGUGACUCAGUGAUUAGUACGUUAGACUCUUUUCAAGUUGUUUAAAAUUCCAGGGGCCUUUGCGCAAAGUUAUCAGCACGGGCGCGCGCGGGGCAUUUUGCCUAUCAUGGGCUGUCUUGGGCCAGAAUGAGCCCAAUACUGUUGACCCUUCAUCUUUUUCUUUUUCUGCCAGGAUUAGAGAAUUCUUAGAAAAUUGUAGAAAAAUGCUAAAAAUACAAUACCAAUUUUGUUAGACUCCUAAAUUUCUAUAUUAUUUAAUAAAAAUGGUUUCAGGAUUUUUAGUCCAAACCAGGAAUUAUGAAGUAUAAAAAUAGCUAAAACCUAUACUCCUAGAAUUUUAGAAAUUACUUAGUAGCUCCGAAAAUCACCAAACUUUUUGGAUAAGCCUAAAAUGGUAUUUAGAAACCUUGGGUGAAGUUUGACUUGAUUUGGACAAUGUUUGAUACCUAAACCCCAAAACCCUAACCUUCUAAGUAGUGCCUGCCCUAUGGAAUAAAAUGCUGACUCCAAAACCCUAGUUUCCUAGAGUACCGUGAAGGAAAAUUGUAUUCAAGGCCUAAUAUGAUGUACCUUUAUUAUCUUUGCAUUUCCAUAAGCAUUACAUGAGCAUUCAUGGUUAUAUAUAUAUAGAACGAAGAAGUAGUGGUUGAAGAAGGAGUUGCACCACCACCACCUGAAGACCCACAUGCUGGGAACUGCUUUUACUUCGAUAUUUACGGAGCAGAGCCCGACUCUCCUAUAACACAAGGCAAGCCCCGGUGCAUUUGCCACCUCCUUGCUAUUUUAAAAUCUUUCUCACUUGCUUGAUGCAUUAAGUGAUAGGAGUUGUGUGCUAAACAAAUUGAUGCAUUUCCUUCCUUGGAAGUUUGAUUACCUUUCCUUGAUCACCUGUUUUAUGAAAGGAUUUUUCUUAUGCUUAGUAUUGCUCUAGAAAAACAAAAUGUUUUGUUUUAACAUAAUAUGAUGCUUCAAGUGGGAUGGGAUAUUUUCAAAAAUAAAACUUGAUGGUGGAUCCAUCAUGGCCAUGAUGGGUUCAACGUUGUCACACCCGGUUUUGGAAGGUAAACCGAAUGCGAACCAUGUACGUGCCAGGAUCAGAAAUUCACGUACACAGCGAUUACAUAAAUGACUCAUCAUAGCACAAUGCUUCGAAUAACAAUAAAAAGUAAUUAAUAAUAUUAAAGACCAGAGUCAUUUACAUAAUAUAAAUCAAAGUGCACAUAAUAGAAACGUAGCCAAUGUAAAUUAACCCACCACAGGCAGCUGACUGGGGGAGGUCGCUAGCCUAAUCCUCGAACUCGUCAUAGUCCUGGAACUCCUGGAGAUCCGCCUCGACGCCUUCUUCUUUACCUGAGCAUAGAUUGCACCAAAGGCAACCUGGUGUUUUGUGAAAGCAAGGGUGAGUACACAUCAACGUACUCAGCAAAUGUCCCGUUUGGCUGAAGUGGACUAGCUUUUAUGUGGGGUUAGGCUCAAGAAGUUGCUUUUAGUUGGUCAGAUAUUUAUUGUUAGUAGAAGCCAGAUUUUAUCAUAAAACCCAAGUUAUAAUCCCAAAAAGUACCUCCUCAGAGAGGAAAUACUAGAAUACAUAAUUAAAGUCACCAUCAUUAACCAUCAUCAUUAAAGUCAUCAUCUGAGGUGUAUCCGGAGUAUCUCUAAUCAAAGAGGAUCCCAAGGCCGCUCUUAACCGUGAGCACGACUGAUAUAUCAGUUUCGAUACCCUCUGCAGAGGUCGCACACUUUACCCAUGAGCCAUGAUUCCCGUUUUGCCCGGGGAUCAUGACUCCCCAUUGAUCACUUCCUAGGUGGUCCGGCAGGGUAUCACUACGUAGCCUUUACAAAGAUUCCCUAGAGGUCAUAGCCGCCCGUUAGGUUUCUCCAGUUUGAUAAACACAGUACCUCUUCCCGCAGGAGGGUGACUAACAAAAGCAAAACGAAAGAACCUCGGCACCCAACCUCGGCAGAGCAAGCACUGUGCCUGGACCCCAUUGACGGCACGACGGCGAAGCAACUACACCUCUAGUUCCUCUAAUUAAUUAGCUAAGGGCGUCCCAUUUCGCCCUCAUGGUUGCACUGUUAUCCCGGGUGGUCUCUCAACGAACAGGUCCUUACGAAGAGGUACUCGGGAAACAGCCCGAGCCCCCUAAAGUAUCACAAGAACAUCAUCGGGAUAACAUCAUAGUAUCAUAAGUAUUCACAUCAUGUUCAUUGAUUAAAGUAAAGCAAUAGCGUAAUGCUAACCAUGAUAACCAAAAAGAUAAACAAGGAUAAGGUAAAUAGAAAGCUAGUCAAUCCUUAGGUCUCAAUUAAGUAAUGCGGGACAGUGCAUUAAAAGUGAAUGGGAAAUAAUGGGUCAGAGGACACUUGCCUUCACCAAACAGAUGCUCAGGGUAUUCAAUCUCGUAGAACUCGAAGAGUUUUGAUCUCUUGGUCACCAACGCUUGAUCAUCGAUUCCUGGAAGCUUGGAGAUGGAUCGCAUUCUAAUCGCAACGCGAAGCGAAGACGAACAGACACAAGCAAGCAAACACAUACAUAUGCAUAAGAACAUUACACCAUACAAGAUAAAACAUCAUAAAAACGAGUAAUAUAAAGUAGAGAACGCUUCUCCGGUUACGUGACAAAAAGAAACGCGACGGUCGAGGCUACAGUCGAGGAGUUAUCGUGUUUACGUUAAACAAAUGUUAAAAAUAACAUUUAAUUCGACAUUAACAAACAUAAAUGUUAUAUAUCAGUUAGUUCGAUUAAUCUGCUACACUAACAAAUGUCAGUUAAUUAAAUAAUUUAAUUAAAACAAGAGAUCCUAAGUGAGAUGGAUUUAUGACGCGUGAAACAACACGAUAGCAUGCAAACGACGCGCGGACACGCGCGACAUAGCACACUAACGACACACGAAAAUAGCGUGCGCGACGAGCGCGAAUGCGCACGAACCCGCACGCGACCACGAGCGCAUCACACACGAACAACGCGCAGACAGCAUGUGAACGACGCGCGAAGCAGCACACAAUCGUGUGCUGAACAGCACGCACGAUAUACGAGGAAAGCUAAAUCGGUGACGGGUUUAUACUAAACAAGUGUUAGUUAAAUAAAAAAUGAGUUAAGCUAAUAUUACCCCGGUUAAUGUUUAUUAUAAAAGCGCGAGAUAAACACUACACAUUUAAUCUAAUUGAAAUGUUAGUCUAAUAAAUAUCAGUUGAGCGAACCUUAAGUUAAUUUCUAAGAUGUAUGACUUAACGAAUUAAUGUCACUAACAUGAAUAUUCAUAAGUGGCAAACUAUUUAUUAUCACACGCAGACGUCGUGCGACACACACAAAACAACACGCACGAGCCAACGCGACUACGCGCGUGAACGGCUUGCUGACGCGCAAACGAUGCCGCGCGCGAACAACAACAACAAAUAAUUAAAUAAAAUUAUUUAGGUUGGUAUUAAUCAAGUUAAUUAACAAUUAUAUUGAUAAAGGCACGAAUUAAAGCUAAAGUCUCAUUCUAAUUAAAUCGUUAUUUUAGAUAACCGGCAACUAAACCAGAAUUGACUAAAUAACGCGAGCAAUCAUAAUGGAAACAAUUAAAUAAUGCGCGGAUAGCGCGCGAGACACACGUGAGCAGCAAGAGACGACACACGCGGCAGAGGAACCGAUGCGAUCGACGCAAUGGUCGAGAGAUAUCGCAUGCAUGCUACACAGAUAUGAAUUACAAUAUUUUAACUCAACCUAGUCAUACUAACAGACAACUAUCACAUGCAAAGAUAAAAUCGACGCUUAGCUUUGAUGGGUUUGCUACUCGGUUACUCGCUGUUUAAUUACGUAAAUUAAUUAACGUGAGUGAUUCUAGGCGAAACAGUUUAUUGUCGUACGACACGGCGCAUGACCCACUAAACAAGGCCGCGGAACGGCGCACGCAACAACGCGCAUCGACACGUGUGAACGACACGCACGGUGCGCGCGAACGGCACGCGAUAAUCGCUAACAAAUAACGUGUUUAUAAUAAACAAGUAUUAAAUAAAAAGUGUUUAAGUUGAUAUUAAUGUCAUUAAUGUAUAUUUACAAAAGUGCAACCUAAACUAUAAAUUAAAUUGCUAUUUUAAUAAUCAUCAGACAAACCAUUAAUUAAUUAAUUAACUAAACCUGCGACCAAAUUAAUUAACUGAACCAUUAAUUAAUUAAUUAAUUAAGUGAAGCAUGCAAUGGCCUUUGUUGGCUUUGGUUCUGCAUGCCGUGCAUGCGGUGGGGGCGAGACCGGUUUCCAAUUGACUGAUUCCAAUCGCAAGGGAAAACGUGUGGGGGAAUGGGUAGAUCGGCAUGCAACCAUGCGGGUGAGGUCGACCUAGAGCUCUCUUUUUCUCUCUCUAUCUUCUCCAUACUGGAACAGUAAGGACGGUUAUUGCUCACCUUCUCCUCCAAAAUUCAUGGCGGCAGCAAAGCAAUAGGGAGCAGCCGACCGGACGUGGGAUGGAGGUGCGACCUGCAGAGGCCUAUGCGCGCAGGGAGCCGAGCGGGGCACAUCGGGGUGGCUCGGUGGCUCACUGAGGCGGCUGGCCAGGCCAGCCUCGGCGACAGGCGGGCAGCAACGGCACGGUGAUGCACCUGCGGGAGGCUGCAAGGUCCAGUCGCGGCCGAGCAGGGACGUGGGAGCUCGGCCCGCCGGCUGGCCGGUCUGCCGUGGCGAGCCGUGCGACCGCGCAGGGGAGGGCCUCGGACUGGGCGCUGGCUGCGGCUGGCUGGCCGCCGCGCAGGCUGGGAUGGGCGCCGCGCCGCUGCUGGCCUAGGGGCUGGCCGGCUAUGGCUGCUAGAGCGUAGUGGAGGUACAUUUAUGGGGCUGGGCAAACGAGGAAGAAGAGCCCAGGAAAGAAAGGGACGAGCGUACGACGAUGCUCCUCCUCUCCUCCGGUUGCUGCAGCGUCCGCGAAAAUUCUUCGUCUGGGAACUGACAUUUGCGAAGGAGAGAGGUAAAGAUAGGACAAUUGUGUAACUGCUCGGGAAUAUGCGGAGGGAGAGAUUAUGUAUGGGUGGAGAGGUUACGGUGGAUUUCUUCUCGUAGGAUCAUGGUAAUCUAUUUUAAAGAUUAAAUAAUCAUAUUAGAUACCAAAAUUACUUUAAUGGAUAAAAAUAUUUUAAAGAGUCCAAAAAUUUAGAAAAACUCCUAGACAUGUUUUGGAACCUAAUGAACUUAAAUAAAAUAUUUGGAGGUUAUAAAAUAUUUUUAAGCGUCUCAAAUAACUAGAUUUUGAUUUUCGGAAAAUAGGAAAACACUCAGAAAAUAUGAAAAAAAAUCCAAAAGCUUCUACAAGAUAUAUUAACAUGUUUCAAACAACUUUUGCAUACAGAAACACUAUGCAACGACAUGAAUGCGACAGUCAAAGCUUCUCUAGAGUUUCACUUCACUAAGCUUACACCUAUAUAUAACAAAAUAACUCUCCAUUAUUUAUGAAGUAGAGAAGAAAAGCAAGGAAAUGAGAGGGUAACACCUGAAUUUGGUAGAUAUUAGAAAAGAAAUUUUAUACCCCCAAAUUCAGUGUGUUACAAACGUCGGAAAAGAUGUACCUCUGUCAGGUACCAAACUUUGGGUUGAAAUGAUAAAGUUGAGACCGGGUGGGUGACUUGCACAAGAAGAGAGUCUCGGUGUAGUGUCUCCGUCUGUGUCGAUUAAGGACCGUGUCGAUGUUGGCUUGAUGAUUGAGGACCUUUUAACUGGUCACAUGCCUCAUCAUGGGUAAGCUUUGCCUCGGGCAGACUAAUACCAGAAUAAGAUAACACGCAAUGGGAGUGGAGAGAUGGCGAGAGUAGCGUGUAGCCUCCGUGGCAAGAGGCUAGACGGUGGUGUAUCUGUGCUCUUGGUUGGCGUGAACCUGAUCUAGUCUUAAGAACCCCGGUGGCGAGUUGACAUAUGCAAGAGUUAAGUGCUACAUAUGUCGUGUGAUUGGAGAUCCCCAGCUGGGUAUUAAUCGAUUCGGAUCGCCGUUACUUCUCGAACAUGAAGACUUGGUCACUGACCUACACGUAGCAUUCCAGUGAACAAGAAGGGUUAAUAAGAAGAUGGCUAGUAUAGGCCAAGUGCUUGAACUAGGGUACAAAGAACUCUAGAUUCAGGUAAUGACUUAACUUGCUAAUAAAACUGGAUUUUUAAGGAUCCACUAUUAGUAAGCAUUUUUGCAAACAGAGUCUUGAUUCUUGAUUAAGCCUUACCUUGACUCUCUCAAGCCAGCAUAUCCUUGAGAAUCUUUUAUUUUGACGGGUAAGACUUGCGAAAGUACACUUCGUACUGAGGGUUUUCGAACCCAUGUUGUUGUAGGUGAGGAAGCAGUAAACUUUUGUUGCUUUUGCUCUAAGGUGGUGCCAAAGGAAGAAUCUCAAGAAUGAAGCCUCGGGAGGAUGUUGUCCUCCUUAAAAACUUUAUACUUUUAUGCGGGAGGGGUUUUUGCCUCCCGAGUUUGUAAUAAUAAUACUUCUGCACCCAUAUAUAUUACUGGUCUGUAAUAAUAACACUCUUCUAUAUUUUAAUGUAAAUUAAGUUACUGUAAUUGCUUCCGUUAUCCGUUCCUCCGAUGUGUUGUAAUAUCUGCGUGACGGGUGAAACGCUCUUGGGAAAGGCAAAGAAUGCAGAUACCGAACUUGUCAAGCGAUCAGGUGCAUCUGCAGGAUUGUCCGAGGUCCGAUGGACAAGGACAACUGUAGGUGGGCCUAAUGACUAGGGAGGUUCCGUCACAGCUGGUACCGGAGCGAAGCCCAUCUCUUCAGAUUUUAUGAGACAUUUCAAAAAGAAUUUUCAAACACUUAUCUAAGAAAACAUCUUUCAUGCUUAUCUUACUACUUUCUGAAGUACUCAUCUUAUAAGACCAGGUAGCAGAGUGCAAUGUAUAGGAGGUUGUGAAUCAACGAAAGUUGAUUAUGUAAUUAUGCAUGCAUCAUGUUUAAAAACUAUACUAAUAAAGUUUUCCCCAUUAUGGAGAUAUGCCGCUGCGUACGAGGAAAACUGCGCGUAAGUCCACUGGACCUAUUGGCAUACCUCGGCAUCAGCUAGCUCCAUGUAACGCCCUGAAUUCGGGGGUAGAUAUUUUUCUUCUUUUUACUCACCAAAUUCAGGCGUUACUCUCUUUUCUCUUCCUGUUUCGCUCCUUCUUCACAAUUUCAAAGCAGUAUAGCGACUGGUGUCCGUAUGGCGUGUGAACAAAAACCAAAGUUGUCAUGGGUAUUGCAUCAUGCCAAGGCAUAUUUCUUGUCUGAUGUCGUGUUUAAUCGCGUGUUUUGCUUGGUCACGUUUCGCGAAUCGGAUUCCGAUCGGUGGUUGUGCGUGUCGUGGGUCUUUGCCCCGCGACGUGACCCAGCCCGACCCAACCCGGCCCAGCCAGCCCGCUCUAGCCCACGCGCCCUCGGUGCCCUGCCCCUCCCCAUGCGCCCCCCUCCCUUUCUCUCAUUUGAUUUUCCCGCGCAGCAACCUCCUCUCCUCCACCUCUCUCUCUCCCCGUGGUGCCCUAGGUUUUGGAGACGAUGAUCGCCGGAUUUGGACCCCGAGGUGAGCUCCCCUCUCCCUCUCUCUCUUCUCCUCCCCCCUCCCCUUCUUAUUCCUCCCGCGCGGCCCCCUGGCGCGUCCCGCACGGCCCCCUGACAGCCCCCAGCGCGCUCCCUGGCGGCCCUCGACGCGCUCCCGCAUGGCCCACUGGCACGCGUCCUGCGCAGCCCCCGGCGCACUCCCCUCGCGACCCCAGCGUUCGUCCCGCGCGGCCCCCGACGCACUCCCGUGCGCCCCCCAGGCGAGCUUCUGCGCGGCCCCCUGGCGCGCUCCCCGCGCAGCCCCCCGACGCGCUCCCCCCCCCCCCGCGUCCCAGCAUGCCCCUGCGUGGCCCCCCGACGGUGCUCCCUCGUGGCCUUGGCAGCGCCCCUCGCGGCCCCCUGCCCCGCCCUCCCCGCGCGCCCCCUGGCGGCGCCCCUGCGUGACCCCCUCGUGGCCCCCUGGCGGCGCUCCCACGCGUGCCCUGGCGGCCCCUCGCACACGCCCCCGAGCGGCCCCUGCUCGGCCCCUCCCCGGUGGCGCCCGCCCUGUCCCCGACACGGCUGCGCGCCCCCGGCGUGACUCACGUGUCCCCGGCGCGGCCUCGCGCAGCCCCAGUGCGUGGGGCGAUCGAUUUUAAGUUUAAUUAGUUUUGAAUUUAGUUUAAUGAAUGUGCUGCGUUGCGCGCUUCGUCGCGCGAUCAUUCGUUUUAAAUUCAUCUUUAUUAAUGAGUUGUGUCGCGCGCUUCGUCGCGCGACGAUUCGUCUUAAUUUUAGAUUUAUUUAAUGUGUGGCGUCGUGCAUCCAGUCGCGCGACGUUUCGUUUUAAAUUCAGUUUAGAUGACAUAUGCCGUCGUGCGUUUCGUCGCGCGACGCUUAAUGUGUCUUUAUAAUUAAUGCAAGUGUCUCGUUGCAUGCUCCGUCACGCGACGAGUCGUUUAUUUCUUAAUUCAAUUUAAGUGUUGUGUCGUGCACUUCGCCGCACGACAAUUCUUUUAAUUUACCUUUAUCUGUUCAUAAUAAUUAAACAUGGAACAUGACUUUACCCUAUGCUAAACACGAUGGCUAAAUUAAUACUAUUCUGUUUAAACGAGUAUUUGAUUUAUAAUCGUGUGACAUAAUCGCUCUUCGACCGUAACCUCGACCGUUACUCUCUCUUUCUCGCUUAGUCGUAGGUGUGAGCCCUGCGCCGAGUGUCUGUUUAUUUAUAACAUUCUAUUGUAUGGUGUACUAUUCUUUUUGUAUUAAAUAUGUGGAAUGUAUGUUUGAACUCGUAUAGAUAACGGUCAGUUGGUGGGGCCCGAAGGAAUUGCAGGUGAAGACCCUGAGCAGCAGCUGGUUGGUGAAGGCAAGUGUCCCUUGACCCAUCUAUGUCCUACUCAUUCUUAUAAUUCACUCCCCGCAUUUAUACAGUUUAUACCUAAGGAUUGACUAGCUUUUGUUUAUCUUGUCCUUGUUUACCUAUUUCAUUUGGGUUAUUUUGGUUUAGCUUUAUGCUAGCUAUUCACAUUAAUCAAUGAACAUGAUGAGAUUAUCUAUGAUACGCUGUUUUCCCUUUUGAUUAUGAUGAUGGUUCUAUGACAUUUAAGGGGACUCGAGCUGUUUCUCGAGUGCCUCUCCAUAAGGACUGGUUCAUUGGAUGACCGCCCGGGAAAACAGCGCAACCAUGAGGGUGGAAUGGGAUGCCCUUAGCUGAAUAAUUAGAAGAACUGGGGUGUAGUUCGCUUCGCCGUCGUGCCGUUAAUGGGGCUCGAUGUAUGCGGCUCGCUCUGCCAAGGUUGGUUCGCCCCCUUGGGGAGGAGUGUGGUGCAUUUAGGAAACCUAAUGGGUGGCUACAGCCCUAGGAAAUAUUUGUAAAGGCUACAUAGUGAAACCCUGCCUAUUCACCUUGGUAGUGUUUAAGGGUUUGAUCGGCCCGAGGCAAGAGGAAAUCACGGCUUGUGGGUAAAGUGUGCAACGUCUGCAGAGUGUUAUAAACCUGAUAUAUCAGCCAUGCUCAUGGUUAUGAGCGGCCAAGGGAGCUCCAUUGAUUAGAGAUACUUGAUCAGAGAUGGUUGGUUUAUAGGUGGUGAUGAGGAUGAUGGUUUUGGUUACGACUAUGGUAAUGGUAAGUGGUAUUCUUUCCGUUUGGAAAGGGUACUUUGGGUUAAUAACUUGGGUUAAUGCUAAAACCUGGCUUUCUGCUAGUAAUAAUAACCUGACCAACUAAAAGCAACUGCUUGACUUAACUCCACAUAAAGCUAGUCCACUACAGCCAAACGGGACAUAUUGCUGAGUAUGUUGAUGUGUACUCACCCUUGCUUUACACACCAACCCCCCAGGUUGUCUGCGUUACAACCAUUGCUCAGGUGAAGAUGAAGUCGUGGAGGAGGACUUCCAGGAGUUCCAAGAGUACGAUGAGUUCUAGGCGUGGGUUAGCGGCAACCCCCAGUCGGCUGCCUGUAUAGGCCAUGUGUAUCUACGUUUCUUUUCCGCACUUUGAUAAUUGUUAAAGACUAUGUGGAUCUCCCGGACAUCAUGAUGUAAUCAACUAUUACACCUUCUUUAUGUUAUUAUUUGAGCACUGUGUGAUGAUGUCCAGUUAUGUAAAUGUUGUGUACGUGAAUUGCUGAUCCUGGCACGUACAUGGUUCACAUUUGGUUUGCCUUCUAAAAACCGGGUGUGACACUCCAAGACAUGAAGAGAGCAGCAGCGGCAGUAACGACCCCAUCAGAGACCUAGAAGCCCAAGUGGAGCAGCUUCGGAUGGAGCUACAUCACCGAAAUAGGGUGUGGGUAGAAUAUGGUCAGCGUAUAAAUGAGUUAAGAGCUGAUGUCAGACAUCUGCAAGAUGAGCUUGCUGAACGGGAUUUGGCAAUCGAUUGGGCUGUCAACUCACGUUCAAUUGCUUGGGACCGGGAAGCCAAAGCUCGAGCCCGUGUGGAUGAGCUCAGCACGGCCCUUGACAGCUUGCAGGUGUAUUGCAAUACUUUAUAUGAGGAAGUCCAUGUACUGUAUUCGCGACUGCACCUAGACGUACCUACUGACCCUGUUGGAAUGGGAGUCGGACCCUCAGGAACAGCAGGUGAAGCACUUGGUGGCAAGCCCCUUCCUUCUAUGAACCUGGCUGACGAACGGUCCCCUACAACAGAUAGUGAAGCAACCAAAGACGAUAAAUACUAGAGUAGUAUAGUUUAGAUAUAAUACUAAUGUAAAAUAGGUAAGGAAGUCAUGUUGUACAUUUGAGUCUGUAUGAUUACAUCUUGGUAAUGUAAAAUGAUGGUAUCAGUAUGUUAUAUUUCCCAAAUGUUUCUUUGCCUCAUAUGCCAUCCAGGACUCGUGCACAUGACAGUGUUGGUACUUCCUGUGGUCGGGAAGACACGCCCAAUCCACCACCUGUACCGCCAACGUUGGCCGAGGCUAUCGCUGUCUUGGUCAAUGCGACCGCCGACAACACCCGCUUUUUGCGUGAAAUGGCGGGAAAUCAAUUUCAGCAGCAUGGCGGAAGGGUUUAUCCGCAGGGACCCCGUGAAACUUCAUACCUAGAUUUCUUGGAAACCCGUCCCCCACUCUUCGUUAAAGCCAAAGACCCUCUGGAAGCCGACGAAUGGGUACGGGUUAUUGAGUAGAAAUUUGGACUCAUCCGCUGCACUGAAACCUAGAAGUCGUUGUUCGCGGCUCAAUAGCUAAGAGGCCCUGCCAGUACAUGGUGGGGAAAUUUUGUGGCCAUUCAACCUGCCGGACAUUAGGUCACAUGAGAUGAAUUUAAAUUAGUGUUUCGUGAGCACUAUAUUCCAGAAGGAGUGCUGCACAUGAAAUAGGAGGAAUUCAUGCGACUCAAGCAAGAAGGAGAUACUGUCAUGCAGUAUCUCAACAAAUUCAAUCAUUUGUCCCAGUAUGCAAUUGAUCAGGUAAAUACUGACCUGAAAAAGAAGAAUUGCUUCAUGAGAGGCCUCAACGACCGGCUUCAAAGAAAAUGGCCACCUGCCUAGAUCUCUCCUACAACAGGGCUGUCAGCAUAGCGCUGGCAGUAGAAGCAAAGCAUAGAGGCCCAGGAAAAUCAAAGGGAUUCGGAGGUGACAGGUCCAACCAGGGGCCUAAAAAGCGACCAAGGUUGGUAAUUCGACCUUUCAAUCAAAACCGUUCUUCACCUCGUCCACCCUCCUACCCAUUUAAACAGCCUGUCUUCAUUCGCCCUGCCACUGCCCCCACUUCAACAAGUCAGCCGAGUGCCCCUGGUGCUCGUUUCCACGCCCUCCCUAGUUCCUCAACUGGCUGCUUCAAUUGUGGGAAGUCUGGACAUUUUAUCAAAGACUGCCCAUAUCUGAGGCAGAACAAAUCCAACAAUCAGCGGAACCCAGGGAGCUCAAAUCAAGGCAAGGGAAACACGACGAAUAAUUUAGCGGGCAAGAAUAUAAAGAAGAUUGGGCGAAUAUACUACACACAAGUGGCCACUACACCGGAAGGAGAGCCGGUUAUGAUGGGUACGUUUCUUGUGGCCAAUCACCCUGCAAUCAUUCUCUUUGAUUCUAGUGCUUCACAUACAUUCAUAAGCAAGAAAUUUGUGGAGAAAUAUUGCAUUCCUUGCACUAAAUCAAGGGAAGGGUUUAUUAUUUAUUCGCCUGGGGGACAAAUAUUCACUAAAGAAGUGGCUUUCCAUGUGCCUGUAACAUUGGAUGAACGGGACUUUCCCACCAACAUGAUUGUUCUGAAAGGCCAAGAUAUAGAUGUAAUUCUGGGCAUGAAUUGCUUAGCCCAGCACAAAGCUAUUCUCAACACUGAUUUGAGAACCAUCAGGUUGAGCUAUGGCCAUGAAGAGGUUCUCUUGUCCAUCCCUGUAGCUAUUCCAGCUAAACCAUGUGGCAGAGUCUAUGAAGCUAUCAUCCGCAAAUCCAAGAUAUUCCGGUAGUAUGUGAGUUUCCGGACGUCUUUCCUGAAGAUCUGCCUGGAUUACCUCCAGAAAGAGAUAUAGAGUUUGUGAUUGAACUAAAGCCUGGUACGGCUCCUAUUUCUAGAAGGUCGUACCGAAUGCCUCCAAAUGAGUUGGCAGAGCUCAAGACUCAAUUACAAGAUCUACUAGAGAAGGGAUUCAUCCGGCCUAGUUCGUCACCUUGGGGAUGUCCCACAAUCUUUGUCAAGAAGAAGGAUCAAACACUUCGGAUGUGCGUGGACUACAGACCCUUAAUGAGGUCACAAUCAAGAAUAAGUACCCUCUUCCCCAGAUUGAUAUUUUAUUUGAUCAGCUUACCGGAGCCCGGGUAUUUUCCAAAAUUGACCUCAGGUCGGGCUAUCAUCAGAUCCGUAUCCGACCCGAAGAUAUACCCAAGACUGCAUUUACUACGCGGUACGGAUUAUUCGAAUAUUUGGUUAUGUCUUUCGGAUUAACCAAUGUUCCUGCCCACUUCACAUAUCUAAUGAACUCGGUAUUUAUGCCUGAGUUGGACAAAUUUGUGGUGGUCUUCAUUGAUGAUAUCUUGAUAUAUUCCAAGAAUGAAGAUGAGCAUGCUCAACAUCUACGGAUCGUAUUAACGCGCUUAAGGGAACAUCAACUAUAUGCUAAAUUCAGCAAGUGCGCGUUUUGGCUGGAGGAAAUCCAAUUUCUGGGACAUGUAUUGUCUGGCAAGGGGAUUGUGGUUGAUCCCAGCAAGGUCAAGGAUAUUUUAGAGUGGAAACCACCAACCACUAUACAUCAAGUUUGAAUUUUCCUUGGACUGGCUAGCUAUUACCGCCGAUUUAUCCUGGAUUUCUCUAAACUUGUGAAGCCAAUCACAAGUCUAUUGAAGAACGAUACAAAAUUUAACUGGUCCUCAAGAUGCAACGAAGCCUUCGAGCAGCUGAAGGUGUUAUUGACCACUGCUCCGGUAUUAGCUCAACCGAACAUUGAAAAGCCUUUUGAUGUAUAUUGUGACACAUCGGGCAGUGGCCUCGGAUGUGUCUUAAUGCAAGAGGGCCGAGUUAUAGCAUAUGCUUCAAGACAGUUGCGUCGGCAUGAGGAACAUUAUCCAAAUCAUGACUUAGAGUUAGCUGUUGUGGUUCAUGCUGUGGGGGACAGAUAUCCCCCGGGUCCACUAGAAGGCAAGAAGGCCUCACAAAAGGCCUCAGGCCCAUUAUUUCGCAAGGCCAUCCCUUCAUGGGCCAGGGGAGGAAUGUCUGGUAGAAUGGAUCAACGUGAGAUCGGAUCGGCUCGAGCCAGUGCGACUCACUGAAUUCAAACGUUAUCCACAGCAGUGAUCCGAUUCUCCCGCGCAACGCCCUCAGACGACGGAACUGAAUGAUGAUAAGUCGGCAGGAUUAUAGGAAGAUAAGCUCAAUCGGUUCACUAUUACUUAGGCGCACGUUGUUAUCAUAUCCGCAUGUAACGCCCCACGGUCGAGUAUAUAAGGCCUAGGGGGCACCCCAUCAAACAACAACUGACUCAUUAGUCGUCUACUCAGUUCUCUAUUAUCCCUCAUACUAGAGAACUCCCCUGUAACCCACCACAUAAAAGAUCCACACCAGGAAGUAGGGUGUUACGCCUCUCUAAGCGGCCCGAACCAGUAUAAAAUUGUCCACUGUCUCUCAUGCAUCUAGCACGAACCAUCGAGCUAGAGUCGGUAACACUGUCCUACUCCAAAAAGCACCUCGAGGGGCAACCUCCAGGUGCGCGGUCGGACCCAAAACACCCACAGCUGGUGCGCCAGGUAGGGGGUGUCACUGAUCCAAGCUAGCUCAAUGGCCAUCACUUUCUAGCACAAGAUCGCUCUCCGCCCUAGAUCCGUGUUCUGCUUCGGAACCAUCUCAUUCGUGGCACACGAAGAAGGAACUCUACAUCGCAUAGCGGAUCCGCCGGAGAGAAAACCUUCCUCGAUAAUCUCCGGGAAAGUCGGAACGAAGCAAGAAAUAGCGCAACCUCCAGUGCUCCGAGCAAAGACUACCUCCUGCAAGCCAGGAGCGGAAAAUUCAUUCACCCGAAGAACCCCGUUGUCCACCUCAUCCACAGAAGAGUGGACACGGAUUACGAGGAAAAAAGAAACGAAGACCCGUCAAGCUGCCCUUCUAGUACCUCCGCCCUCAAAGGAGAACAAAAAGAAGCUUGUCAUCACAACAACUCCGUUCUACCCCGACAUCCUCUUUAUCGGGGGGAGAGUGGAAUCGUCCCCCAUCUCCAACGACGAACCAACUGUGCCUAGGGAGGAACCACCUCAGCGGGAAGCUCGUCGAUGAAGGAACCGACGCCGUAACGCCCGGCGACAUCAUGAAGCCGGAGAACGAGAUCCAGCACAGCCUGUGUCGCGAGAUGAGAUCUCAGAGGUGGGAGAAACUCCAGAUGAACGAGUCUUCAGGGAAAGGAGGAAUUCACGUCGACGUGAUCGUCGGCAAGCUCAAGAGCAGGCCGAGCAGGAGGCGAGACAACAUUGAGAGAACCCUCUCCUCGGACGAAACUUGAACCCCGACUUCGCCCGAGCCAUGAACACCCCGAGCGAGGUCGGUGGAGUGUUGGCUCGGAUAGCCGAUGGCCUCCCCCGGACUCCAGACGCUGAGGGAUAUCGGCGGCUGCUCACUCGGGCAGCUAACCAUCUUCUGCCUCUCGCUCAUCCUCCGAGUUAUCUACGACACACCAUCAAUAGUCGAUGGGACACACGGAGCUCCAUCAAUGCUUCGUGCGAACGAUGACAUGAGAACGAGAUUCGGCGCCGAGAAGAGUAUGAUCGGGAUCACGACAUCUCUACACGAAGUCAGGCCACUAGGGUUGAGUCGGCAACAGCUUCAACUGGCGGCACAACCCGGGGACGGUCGAGGUAGCACAUCGACAACUCCCCUCCCUAGGACUGACACCACAACCAUCGACAGGAAGACACGUGUGGAGUAUCGGCGCUUACUCCACGUAUCAGGGCCAUUCAGUGGCCCCCUAACUUCAAGGUCUCCAACGUUGACAAGUACGAGCCUAAGCAGGACCCAGGAGGCUGGUUGGCCGUCUAUACCACUGCUGCCCGGGCCGUUGGGACAACUAAAGAUGUGAUGACUGCGCAUUUGCCCAUCGUCCUUGGGCAAGAUGCGCUGCAAUGGCUACGACACCUGCCCCGACACUGCAUCGACGAUUGGAGCGACUUUAGUCGACGUUUUAUCGCCAACUUCUAAUCCCUCUCUGACAUGUCGGCGCAGCCAUGGGACCUCAAACCCAUCAGGCGCCGAGGGGAUGAGACUCUCCGGUCAUACCUCAAAAGAUUUCAGACCAUGAGAAAUCGAAUCCCCGAGGUUGUGGAAGCAGCGGUCAUCGAGGACUUCUACCGGGGAUCUAAUGACUCGGCCUUCGUCCGAGCCAUACUGCAAAAGGCGUCGACUACCUCCGAGCAGCUAUUCAGGGAAGCAGACCUCUACAUCACUACCGACGAACGAGAUCAGGACCUCAUCGGAGGAACGAAGCCUACACCGCCGGCACCACGACGCGACGAGAACCAACAACCCGACAAGCGUUGGGAGAAGAGGCCUCGCGAAGAGGUCCACGCCACCGGACCACCCGUCUCUCAUGCCCGAGGGACACCCCGCGGAGGCGAACGGACAUUGGACGACAUCCUCGACGCCCAAUGUCCGUACCACAAGGACAUGCGCCACACCCUCCGGAACUGCAGAGAUUUAAAGUACUCCAUCGGGAACAGCUGACCCUUCCAACCUCUGCCACCUCCCCCACCACGAGGAGGACCCGGAGAACCUCAGCAACCCUAGCAGAAGGAAGGGGGAGGAGGCGGGGCAUUCCCGCACGUCGACAGAGAAGUCAACGUCAUCUUCGGCGGACACGGGUAGCAAGAGAGCAAAAGGCAGCAGAAGCUCAACGACCGUCAGAUACUAGUGGCAGCCACCAGUCCUCCUGCCCCGUAUCGAUGGUCCGAACACCCGAUCACCUUCAGUCGGGCGGAUCAGUGGCUCAACUUCGAUCAUCCGGGGAAAUACCCACUCCUCAUCGAUCCGGUGAUCCGAGAGAGCAGGGUAAAGAAGGUGUUAGUGGACGGGGGAAGCAGCAUCAACGUCACCUUCCCCCGGACACUCCUAGGCUUGGGAGUCGCACUCAAAGAGAUCCACGAGUCAGACACUCCUUUCUUCGGCAUUGUGCCGACUGAAGGAUAAUAUCCACUUGGACAUAUCUACAUGUCGGUUACCUUCAGAACUCCGGAAAACUACAGAACCGAGUUCUUGAGGUUCGAGGUAGCAAGCUUCGACUGUGGAUACAACACCAUCAUCGGCAGGCCGGGAUUGGCGAAGUUCAUGGCCAUUCCACACUAUACAUACAUGAUAUUGAAGAUGUCGGGACCACAAGGAAUCAUCACCGUGCGUGCUGACCUCCAAGGCGCCGCAGAAUGCUUCCGAGUUGCCAUUCAGGCGGCCCUCACCACCAAAUCAUCAACGACUUCUUCCGCGCAGGCGAACUCAAAGCCUGAGGAGGACCUCACGGUACCUGCAAAUGAAGCUCAAGCCGUGACCUCUAUGCGGCCGACUGAGGAAACAAAAAGAAUCAACCUCGGGUUCGCUGAUGAAUGCAAGACCACCAUCAUCAGCUCCAGCUUGGAUGACAAAUAGGAAGGCGCGCUCAUCCAGUUUCUACAAGAUAACCGAGACAUAUUCGCAUGGCAACCUGUGGAUAUGCCGGGAGUCCCGAGAGAACUGGCCGAGCACAAACUGAAGGUCUAUCCCCAGGCGAGGCCGAUCCGACAAAAGUUGCGUCGUUUCAUGCCCGACAAGAGAGAAGCUAUUCGUGCUGAGCUAGCUCGCUUAGUCGCAGCAGGGUUCAUUAGAGAAGUACAGCAUCCUGAGUGGUUAGCAAAUCCUGUUCUUGUACUCAAAAAGAAUAAAGUGGAUUGGCGCAUGUGUGUUGACUAUACAGAUCUCAACAAACACUAUCCGAAGGAUUCCUUCGGACUUCCUAGAAUAGAUCAGGUGGUAGAUUCAACCGCCGGAUGCUCUAUACUGUCAUUCUUGGAUUGCUACUCGGGAUACCAUCAAAUUAGCUUGGCAAAAGAAGACGAGGAAAAAACAGCAUUCAUUACCCCAUUUGGAGCUUUCUGCUAUACCUCCAUGUCGUUCAGCCUCAAGAACGCUGGGGCGACUUACGAGAGAGCCAUUCAAACAUGCUUAGCCGAUCACUGGGGCAAGCGGGUAGAAGCUUAUGUUGAUGAUGUAGUAAUUAAGACAAAAAAACUCAGAAAACUUCAUUGAAGAUUUGCAGCUGGUCUUCAACAGCCUGAGGCGAUAUAGGUGGAAGCUCAAUACAGAAAAAUGUGUCUUUGUAGUGCCAGCAGGGAAAUUGCUCGGAUUCAUUGUCAGCCACCAAGGAAUUGAAGCUAACCCAGAAAAGAUCGAAGCUAUCAUGAGAAUGGAAGCACCACGGUCACAGAAGAAAGUGCAAAGGCUCACUGGAUGCAUGGCAGCUUUAAGCAGGUUCAUAUCAAGGUUAGGAGAAAAAGGCCUACCAUUCUACAAAUUGCUCAAGAAGGUGGAUAAGUUCCAAUGGACCUCAGAAGCUCAGGAAGCUCUUGAUGCACUAAAGAAGUUCCUGACCACACCACCAGUGCUAAAGCCGCCACACUGAGCCACGCCAAACCAGCCGGCAGAAGAUCUGCUGUUGUACAUCUCUUGCACGACUCACGUGGUGAGCACCGCGUUGGUAGUCGAGCGAGCAGAGGAAGGACACGCAUAUCCAGUAUAGCAUCCUGUCUACUUCAUCAGCGAAGUUCUGGGGCCAUCUAAGAAGAAGUAUCCUCAAGUUCAAAAACUGUUGUACGCAGUACUUCUAACUGCACGCAAGCUCUGUCACUACUUCGAUGACCACAAAGUCAUAGUAGUCACUGGGUUUCCAAUAUGGGAUAUUCUCCACAACAAAGAAGCCAUUGGAAGAAUAGCCAAGUGGGCCUGCGAGCUGGGAGCUCACGACAUUGAGUUUCAGCCUCGUACUGCAAUAAAGACUCAAGCACUAGUUGACUUCGUAUCAGAGUGCACCGAGCAACAAGUACCAAAUAACCCAGAGACUGCAGAAGUAUAGCGGAUGUAUUUCGAUGGCUCGCUGAAGCUGCAGGGGGCAGGCGCAGGGAUCCUCUUCAUUGCACCUGGAGGUGAACAACUCAAAUACGCUCUUCAGUUGUUAUUCUCAACAUCCAAUAAUGCAGCAGAAUAUGAAGCUUUAAUCUACGGAUUGAACAUUGCCGUAUCACUGGGCAUUAAGAGGUUGAUGGUAUACAGAGAUUCACUGGUGGUCAUAAGUCAGAUAAAUAAAGAAUGGGAUUACUCGAAUGACUCUAUGGGCAAGUACUGCACAGCCGUCCGAAAGCUGGAAGACAAAUUUGAAGGGUUGGAAUUUCAUCAUGUAGAAAGAGAUCGCAACGUGACAGCAAAUGCGUUGUCGAAACUAGGAUCCAGUCGGUCCCAGGUUCCACCUGGAGUUUUCGUCCAAGAGGUGCCACGCCAUAGCAUUUCCUCAGAUCAAGUAGAAGAGUGCAAUGUUUUAAGCCAGCCAGAGUCAGACUCUAAUGACUGGAGGGAGCCCAUCAUCAUAUAUAUAAAGAAUGAAGAGGAACCAGAUGACAAAGCCGCAGCAGAAUGCAUCGCAAGGCAGUCAGCCCACUACACCCUCAUUGGGGAUGCACUGUACAGAAGGGGCGCAACAGGAGUCCUCAUGAAGUGCAUUCCUUCGGCUACUGGGAAGCAACUGUUAGAUGAGAUCCACGCCGGACAGUGCGGGAUACACGCAGCAUCCAGGACUCUGGUUGGGAAGAUCUUUAGGUCUUGUUUCUACUGGCCGACAGCAAAGAGUGAUGCAGCCGAGUUAGUCCAGAGGUGUGAAGCUUGCCAAUUCUUAUCAAAGCAGCAGCAUUUGCCAGGACAGCAACUGCAGACCAUACCCAUAACAUGGCCAUUUGCGUGCUGGAGACUGGACAUGAUUGGACCCUUCAAGAAAGCUCAGGGAGGAUACACUCACGUGUUGGUCACCAUUAACAAAUUCACCAAAUGGUAGAAUACAAACCCAUUGCUUCUCUGACUUCAGCCAAGGCAGUGAAGUUCAUACAAGAUAUAAUAUUCAGGUUUGGGAUACCGAAUAGCAUCAUAACCGACCUGGGAUCCAAUUUCACUAGCUCUGAAUUUUUUGAUUUCUACGAACAACGAAGCAUCCAGAUCAAAUAUGCAUAAGUAGCACAUCCAAGGGCCAACGGUCAGGUAGAAAGGGCUAUUGGAAUGAUACUGGAAGCACUCAGGAAGAAUGUCUUCGACAAGAAUGAAAAGUUCGCGGGAAAAUGGAUCAGAGAGUUGUUGUAUGUAGUUUGGAGCUUAAGAACUCAACCUAGUCGAGCUCUGCAUGGAAAUACUCCUUUCUUCAUGGUCUAUGGUUCGGAGGCAGUGCUACCUGCCGACCUCAGGUUUGGGGCACCAAGGCUGGUCUUCGAAAACAUAACUAAGGCAGAGGCUACCAGAUUAGAGGAUAUUGACGUAUUGGAGGAAGAGCGAUUGAAUACAGUAAUUCAGUCAGCUAGAUACCAGCAAACCCUGAGGCGCUAUCAUGAUAAGGCUAUACGACAUCGAUCCUUUGAAGUGGGAGACUUGGUCCUUCGCCGAAUUCUAACGGGGGAAGGACGACACAAAUUGUCACCACUAUGGUAAGGGCCAUUUGUAGUAGCGGAGGUCACUCGGCCAGGAUCAUAUAGGCUCACUCAAAUGGAUGGCACGGAAAUAGGGAAUUCAUGGAAUAUAGAGCAUCUCAGGAACUUUUACCCUUAGCAAAAUUUCAAAAAGCUAUCGGGGCAGCAUUGUAUUCUAUAAUUGGAAAAUACAUCAUCAAUAAAAAGAUUUCAUUCUCAAGGACACUCGAACUGUUUAUUAUCAAUCAGCAUGCUUACUCGGUAUAGGGUGACCACUAUACCCUACUAACAGAGCAAUCGGCUUAAGUCGGCAAUGACUUAAGACGGUGCAACAUGCUCGCGCUCACUCAGCAUAGGGUGACCACUAUACCCUACUAAUAGAGCAAUCGACUUAAGUCGGCAAUGACUUAAGACGAUGCAACAUGCUCGCGCUCACUCAGCAUAGGGUGACCACUAUACCCUACUAACAAAGCAAUCGGCUUAAGUCGGCAAUGACUUAAGACGGUGCAACAUGCUCGCGCUUACUCGGCAUAGGGUGACCACUAUACCCUACUAACAGAGCAAUCGGCUUAAGUCGGCAAUGACUUAAGACGGUGCAACAUGCUCGCGCUUACUCAGCUUAGGGUGACCACUAUACCCUACUAACGGAGCAAUCGGCUUAAGUCGGCAGUGACUUAAAACAGUGCAACAUGCUCACGCUUACUCGACUUAGGGUGACCACUAUACCCUACUAACGGAGCAAUCGGCUUAAGUCAGCAAUGACUUAAGACGGUGCAACAUGCUUACGCUUACUCGACUUAGGGUGACCACUAUACCCUACUAACGGAGCAAUCGGCUUAAGUCGGCAAUAACUUAAGACGGUGCAACAUGUUCAAGCUUACUCAACUUAGUGUAACAUGCUCGCAAGGCGAUCUCUAUGCCUUACCAGCCGAUCAACUAGCGUAAAUUAGAAAAAGAUUCCAAAACCAGCGCACUACACUUACUUCUACAAUCAUUCAUGACAACUGUUGAAUUCUAACGACAGAAACAAAACGUUAUAGUUUUUGGCGCCAAGAACACAUUCUAACAUCCUACCGAAUAUUCAAGCGCGCUGGUCACACAUACAUAUAGUUCACAAAUGCAUUCAAUGUCUUCUAAACACAGCAAAACAUCUCUACUUGGCAAUGUCUUUCGCAGGAGCAAUCAAGGAUGAAGAGCGACUCGAAGCAUCAGGUGUAGCCUUGACGUCCGCAACAAUGUCAUCAGGAACAACUACACCAGGCCUUCUCAUCAAGAUUCGCCCCGCGCGGAUGGCUUUGUCCAUAGCCUUGUCACGCUGGGUCUUCAAAACAGCGCAGUUGUCUUCUGCAACCUUGGUAGCCAGUCGAGCGGCCUCUAGCUCCUGGGCGACUGAUCUCUUGGAGGCACGUAGAUCUUUGAUUACAGAGUCCUUGCUUGACACCAGCUACCUGAGCCGCAGGAUCUCAUCCUGGGAUACUUGUAGUUCAUGGCGAUGAUGAUCCAGAUCUGUCAUGGUGAAGCGGUGGCUCCUCUCCAAGAUGGUUAGAGAAUUGUUGGCGUCAUGAUAUAACUUAUCCAGAUUGUCGCGAGAAGCUGCAAGUGCUCGUUUCUCCUCCUACAGACAAGAUUCAGCUCUCAAAUAUCCAGAAAUCAGUAAAAGCACAGUAGAUCCAAUUAAGUAAGCUUACCUCAUUAGCCACCCUUUCAGAGUCAAGCCGAGCAUUAAGAGAGGAAUUCGAAGAAUUUGCGUCGUCUAAAGAAGCAGAAACCCAGGCCAGGUCGAUCUGACCUUGGGAAUACUUCUCCUCAAGCUCAGAAUACCACUGGGUUGAGUCGGUUUGAUACUGAAGAUGUUUCUCCUCGAGCUUAGAGUACCUCCGGGUCAUAUCUGACAAAAAACAACCGAAUAAAGAUACACGGUCAAAAAACAAAAUAAUCAAUCAGCCAAGAAAGAAGCAAAGGUACCAACCAGCAUUUGUCACUUUCAAAUCAGCUAUCUGUUUCUGAAGCAGCAAUGGAUUCCACUGCGUCAAAGACAGAGCUCCUUCUGGGAUAGCAGCGCCAUGUGAUCUCAAUUGAGCAGACAUCCCAUCAACCAAAGCCUGUUAUUAAAAACAAGUGAGUACGAAGAAAGUAAUUUACCAGGAGGAAUGACAUAAUGAAAAAAGCUAGUUUACCUGAAGAUUAGAAAAGAAUGAAGGCAAUCCCAAGUCAUGAGAAGUUGUGUUAUAACUCAACGAAGGAAGAUCAACUCGAACAAUCUAAAAAGCAUCGUCGGGGGUUGAUUCAGCUCCACCAGCAGAUAUCUGAAUCCUAUCUUCCGGUGCGCCGACCUCUAAGGCGACUCCCUCACUUGAAGCUAAAGAAGUAUGCAUCGCUAUCACUCCAUCAGAAUGUGGUGGAGAUGACCCGACGUGGACAUCCAUGGAGGUAUGGGAAGGAGAGCUCGCUCGGACACCCUCGGGGGCUGGGUUGCAGCACGCACUGCCCAUCGGAGCCGGAUCACUACCGGCAACACCCUCGUGGGAUGGGUUACAGCUUGCGAUACCCACCCGAGCUGGAUCAUUACUGGCAACACCCCCGGGGGCUGGGUAAUCACCAGCAUCACCCUUGGGGCUGGGUUUUCUACAACAGCCACCUCUACGGCUGAAGGAUCCUCAGUCACCUCCACGGGAGUCGGGCAAUAUGGACCAACCUCUUGACAUUGAAGACCGCCUCCCAAGGUCAACGAUGCGCGAGAUGCUGCCCGAGAUGCCUCUAAUCCCACAUCUGGAAUGUCAGAGCAAACAUCCAUCAUAUCACCAUCAGUCGACUCUGACAGCAUAUCCUCAGGAAAUGACAUCCUCAAGGGCCUGACCAAAAUCUGUUAUGGAUAAUUCUUGCAGGCUAACAAGAGCAGACAGAGCUGGAGAAGGAAUAUCACUAUCCCCUCUACUACCUCUGUAACGCCGGCUAUUCUUGCGAAUUAGUGGGACUUUUUCUUCUUCUUCGUCCCCAUCAAAAAUGCGGACAAAGGAUGGUGCAGGAUCACACCCAUUGGGCUCAGCUGCAACAGGAUCACACCCAUUGGGCUCAGCUGCAAUAGGAUUACACCCAUUGGGGUCAGCUUCAGCAGGGUCACACCCAUUGGGGUCAGUUGGUGCACGGUCACACCCAUUGAGGUCAACUUCAGUAGUUACACCACCAGUGGGAUCAACUCCAGUAAAGACCUCUGCUGGUACUUCUUCACAAGCAGGAGCAGAAGGUCCAGCAUCCUGGUCCAAACAUGACAACCGCCGGAGCCGUCUCUUUUUCUUCCUCUUCCCUUCAGCAGGUGCAGUUGGGCGGCUGACAUGGCGAAGACGAUUUGGGCGAGUACCAUCAGGCUUUCGGGUGUCCACUAUUCUGUCAAGCUCUGGUAUAACUGCAACAGCCAUUGUUUCAGCAGGAGCCGAGUCAGAAGAUUCUCCAGCCAACAUAUCGAGCACAACAUUCAUCUCUGCAUCAUCCGGACUCGCUGGCAUCUCAAAAUGAACUUGCCUCUCAUCAUUGGGAAGAUCACAAAGAGAAGUAACCUAGGCCUCAAUAUCUUCGGGAGAGGGUCGCACUCUAAGACCCAGACCACUAUCACCAGUAGGAGGAUUAGACACAAAAUUGAAAAAGGACUUAGGAGGUGGUAGAUUCCAAGCAGAGUAGGAAACAAGAGCACCAACAUUUGAUACUUUGCCUCUCAAGAUCAUGUCUAGCCGGCUCACCAAAUCCUUAGCAGGAAUUCUCCUAUUAGUAACCCGAGUGGAGUCAAUAACACCAUUGUACAAGUAAGUCGGGUAUGCUCUGUCUUUCAGGGGCUGGAUGUUCUUAAAAACAAAAUCAACAACCACAGCUUCGGCGGUCAGACCUCUUUCCUUCAGCAGACAGACUUCAGCAAGCAUAACCUUAGCCUCUGUUACUUCCAAGGCAGUAGGAGACUCAAUCCAACUUGGAGUGCGCACAUCUGGUUGUCUUCUCGACCGAGGGGGGAGGGACUUGCCGUGGUUUUCCACAAUAAACCACUCAAGACGCCACCCCUUAAUGUUGUCCUUAAGCGGAAUAUCAAGAUAUUCCGUUUUCCUUCCGCGCCUCAUUUCCAGACUCGCACCACCCAUGAGUUGGUGCUGACCCCCAGCAAUCCUAGGUCGAUAGUGGUACAGAUACUUCCAUAAACCAAAGUGGGGAAGAACUCCGAGGUAGGCUUCACACAGAUGAACAAAUAUAGAGAUUUGCAUAAUGGAAUUGGGAUUCAGAUGAGUUAGGUUCAGAUUGUAAAAGUCAAGGAGACCGCGGAAGAAGGGAGAAAUGGGAAGAGCAAGGCCGCGGAUAAGAAAAGGAACAUAAACAACGGACUCGUGGAUAUCCUCUGUUGGGACAGUAACCCACGAUAAAUCCGCCAAGAACAAAGCUCUUUCAGAGGAAGAAUUCCAACAUCGACAAGGUGAAGGAGAUCCGAUUCCGAGACAACAGACAUGUGGUUACCUGCGAAAGGCAACUGGCUGUUGGGGUCGAUGGGAGGAAUGACCACCGCAGCAGAACUUUGGUUCUUCCGCUUGGGCGCCAUCACAAUCUCGUCAACGGAUUGAAAGGAAGCGAAAUCAGAGGGAAAGAAGAGUAAUGUUUGGAGGAAGGUGAAGUUAGGGCUCAGAAUGCAGAGGCGUGCGACGACGUGAUAUAAAUGGGGUUUUCCUGGGUCAGACACUGUUUCUAAAAAGUGCUAAGUCAUCACUCGGAAAAAGCAAGACGCUCUGGCAUAACUCGGCAGCUACUUCUAAAGCACCGACGUGGCCCAACAUGACUCGGCAGCUACCUCUAAAGCAUCGAUGUGGCCCAGCAUGGCUCGGUAGCUACCUCUAAAGCAUCAACGUGGCCCAGCAUAACUCGACAGCUACCUCUAAAGCGCCGACGUGGCCCAGCAUAACUCGGCGGUUACCUCUAAAGCGCCGAUGUGGCCCAACAUAACUCGGCUGUUACUUCUAAAACGCCGACAUGGUCCAGAGAAGCUCAGCGGUUAUUUCUAAAAAAACACAGGCAAUGCAUAAUUCAGCCGUUUUCUCCAUGUAAACGCCAGCAGAACCAAAUACGACUCAACAAUUACCAGUCAUUACUCGGGCGUUAUCUCUAAGAACAACGGCAACGCUGGGAAUGAAUACAAGCUAUCGAUUGACUAUAAAAGAACGAUGGAAAAGCAAAAAGGAGAGACUCAGAACAAGCCGAAAUUUUCUUCAAUAUAUUGAUAAGGGAAGUUCUUCCACAAACUCAAAGGCCAACUCAUUAUGAGCCGGCCUUCCUUCCCUUUUUUGCUACAUUAUACUACUACACCACCACCCUACUUACACUACUCUAUACUACUAACUACUACUACAUUAUUUCACUAUUACUAAUACUACUUCUACUGCUACUUAUCUAUACUAAUAUUUAAGCCGGUGGUGCUUUGCCACUGGCCCUGCCGCUGCCGCCGUCGCCCUUGUUGUCGCUGUCGCCCUCAUCGUCGUCGUCAUCACCGCUCCCCUCCUCGGAGGAGUCGAAGGAGUCCUCCUCGUCCGAGGAGAUCUCCGACUCAUCCGAGCCCUCGAGCCCAGAGUGCUCGACGGCCCAGAUAUACGUCCACACCUUGGCGGCGAUCCCUUGGGAAUCGUCCAAGUCAUCGGAUGACACCGGGGGCGAGGCGUAGGCUGGCGACCCCUCGGACUCGGAGGAGAACUCCUCCUCCGAGUACUCGGAGUCACUAAAGUCCUCGGAGGGGGGACUCAACUCGCGCUUCCUCUUGUCGCCGGAGUGGUGCGACAAACUUCCGCCUUUCUUGCUCUUUCCCAUGGUUGAUUUGAAGAGAAGAGAAAAGAGGAGAAUAAGCAACAUGCGGCCGAGAGAUAUGUGAAGACACCAGUGAAGCAAGCGCUCUAUUUAUAGGGGCGGGAGGCAACUGCUCAUCUCAUACCAUGGUCACUGAACAGUCGCAAAUAUUCAAUAUGCAAUUCAAAUCGUCUGGAAACAAGUCAGGCGGCAGACACCGUUUCACGUAACACGACACCCAUUGGGACUGAAGUCAACUGCUUGGACGAUAUGAUUACAUCCGUGGUCACGUCAAGUUACUACUCAGGGGAAGUUUGCUAAACGCUCAGCACACCAAGCCGUCCCUUGGCUACAUCCAUUGGGGAGGGGGAUGUCCAGGAAUUUUCAAUAGAUUUUCCCAAGCAGUCACAUCCAUACAGUAUACGCAAUGAAUGUAUCAAGACAGAAGGAAGAUAUCGAUAGAGAUUGGAGGAAAGCCAAAAAUAGCUGGUGAAGUACAAGUCUAAUCAACAUAAGCAUUGAAGCACGAAGCGAAAUGAAGACUAAUCUGUCGGACGUCUACCGAACGUCCAAUCUGUCACAGAUCAAAUUAAAUUCAAACCUAACAGGACAUGGGUAGACCGCGUUGUUGAUCUCAAAGGCAAAACUGUAUGCUGAUCUCUAAAGCAUAAAGUUGAUGGUAUAAUGCUGAAUUCUAAGGCAUUCGACGAAGAUAAAAGGAUGAUUUCUAAAAGCACGGGAUGAAGACCUUUGAGUGGAUUAUUUUCAGUAAUCCACUCAAAGCUCGGGGGCUACACCCAUUGGGUGCACCUCUGGUGCACCCAAUGAAUCAUUAACCACAAAAGACAGAAUGCUGAUCUCUAAAGCAUGAACUAACGAUAAAAUGUUGAUUUCCAAAGCAUGAGAUGAAGAUAAAACAAUGUUGAUUUCUAAAGCAUGAGAUGAAGAUAAAACAAUGAUUUCUAAAAAAGCGUGAGAUGAAGACCUUUGAGUGGAUUAUUUUCAGUAAUCCACUCAAAGCUCGGGGGCUACACCCAUUGGGUGCACCUCCGGUGCACCCAAUGAAUCCUGAACCCCAGAGAACAGAAUGCUGACCUCCAAAGCAUAAGCCAGAGACAGAGGACCGAAUCUGAAGAAUAAAGCGAAGACCGAUGAAUAAUGGCAGGAGAGGAUAACAGAAGAUCGUUUUUACCGAGUUACUCAGAGUUUAGAAGCAAUAACUCGACAGGCCUAUUUUCAGAGCAUUCCUUACCAAAAUCAAAAACUGCAAGUUGGACCUAGAAUCUUUGGGCCGAUUAUUUCAAAAUCAACUCAAAGACUGGGGGCUUGUGGGGGACAGAUAUCCCCUAGGUCCACUAGAAGGCAAGAAGGCCUCGCGAAAGGCCUCAGGCCCAUUAUUUCGCAAGGCCAUCCCUUCGUGGGCAAGGGGAGGAAUGUCUAGAAGAAUGGAUCAACAUGAGAUCGGAUCGGCUCGAGCCCGUGCAGCUCACUGAAUUCAAACGUUAUCCACAACAGUGAUCCGAUUCUCCCGCGCAGCGCCCUCAGACGACGGAACUGAAUGAUGAUAAGUCGGCAGGAUUAUAGGAAGAUAAGCUCAGUCGGUUCACUAUUACUUAGGCGCACGUUGUUAUCAUAUCCACAUGUAACGCCCCACGUUCGAGUAUAUAAGGCCUAGGGGGCACCCCAUCAAACAACAACUCACUCAUUAGCCGUCUACUCAGCUGUCUAGUAUCCCUCAUACUAGAGAACUCCCCUAUAACCCACCACAUAAAAGAUCCACACCAGGAAGUAGGGUGUUACGCCUCUCUAAGCGGCCCGAACCUGUAUAAAAUUGUCCACUGUCUUUCGUGCAUCUAGCACGAACCAUCGAGCUACAGUCGGUAACACCGUCCUACUCCAAAAAGCACCUCGAGGGGCAACCCCCAGGUGCGCGGUCGGACCCAAAACACCGACACAUGCCCUUAAAAUAUGGUGUCAUUAUCUACUGGGAAAUAUCUGCCAUAUAUAUACAGAUCAUAAAAGUUUGAAGUAUAUUUUUACCUAGUUAGAACUAAAUAUGAGGCAAAGGAGAUGGCUUGAGCUGAUUAAGGAUUAUGAAUUAGAAAUUCACUAUCACCCAGGCAAGGCCAACAUGGUGGCAGAUGCACUAAGUCGCAAGGCUUCUUGCCAUUGUCUUACAGUAAAGACUUCUAACAUCACAUUAUGUCAAGAAAUGGAGAAAUUAAACCUAGGAUUGAUUCAACAUGGAACCUUAAACCAAUUAAAGCUUGAGUCGGUUCUUCUGCAAAAGGUUAUUGAUGCACAAAGAAGUGAUAAGGGUAUGAAACACAUUCAUGAGAGAAUAAAGGCUGGUAAAGCAAACUGUUUCAGAAAAGAUGAUCAAGGCAUUGUAUGGUUUAAUAACCGCACAGUUGUGCCUAAAGAUGAUGAUGUCCGCCAUCAAAUUUUAGAUGAAGCACAUCUUAGCCGAUAUUCUAUUCAUCCCGGAAGCACUAAGAUGUAUCAUGAUUUAAAGCAACAUUAUUGGUGGAUAAAGAUGAAGAUCGAAAUUGCAGGCUAUGUGGCAAAGCGUGACACCUGUAGACGUGUCAAAGCCAUACACAUGAAAACUUCUGGUCCAUUGCAAUCCUUGCCCAUCCCGACUUGGAAAUGGGAGGACAUUAGCAAGGACUUCAUUGUGGGAUUACCCAGGACAGCAAAGGGUUUUGACUCCAUUUGGGUUAUAAUUGAUCGGCUUACGAAAAUAGCUCAUUUUCUGCGAGUCAAGACGUACUACCCGGUCAUCACUUAUGCCCAGAUAUAUAUUGCUCGUAUUCUCAGUCUGCACGGGAUUCCAAAAACUAUAGUGUUGGACCGCGGACCACAAUUUGUAUCCAAAUUCUGGGAAGAACUCCACAAAUUUCUGGGUACUAAGUUGCUUCACAGUUCGGCCUAUCAUCCUCAAACCAGUGGGCAGACAGAGAGAGUGAACCAAAUACUUGAAUACAUGUUACGGGCAUGCGUUCUGGAAUACCCACAGAAAUGGGAUGAAUGUUUACCGUUGGCAGAAUUCUCAUACAACAAUAAUUAUCAAGAAAGUAUCAAGAUGGCACCUUUUGAAGCUUUAAAUGGACGACGGUGCCGUACUCUAUUGAAUUGGUCUGAACCAGGAGAAAGAUGGUUUUUCAGGCCUGGUAUGGUUAAUGAAAUGGAAGAAAAAGUUCAACGAAUACAAAAUUUGAAGGAAGAACAAUCUCGACAAAAGAGAUAUGCAGACAAACGACGACAACCCCUAUACUUUCAAGUUGAAGAUUAUGUUUACCUGAAAGUAUCGCCAAUGAAGGGUGUAUCUCAUUUCGGUGUAAAGGGAAAGCUUGCACCCCGGUACAUUGGUCCGUUCCCCAUUCUUGAACAAUGUGGACCAGUAGCAUACCGACCCCAACUACCCAAAACAUUGUCUGCAGUGCACAAUGUGUUCCACGUGUUCCAAUUGAAGAAGUGUCUUCGGGUUCCAGAUCGAACCAUUUAAGUGACAGAUGUUACCUUGGAACCAGACUUAACAUAUUCAGAACAUCCUAUUUGAGUCCUGGAUCAAAAGGACAGGGUUACCCGAAGAAGAACUCUCAAAUUUUAUAAGAUACAAUGGAACCAAUACACGGAAGAUGAAGCUACAUGGGAAACCCAAGACUUUUUAGAAAAGAAUUUCCUAGGCUUUUUAGCUUCAUGUAAAUUGUGAGAUAUGUACAAUUGCUGUAAUAGAGGAGUAAACCCCAUACCACCCCUUGCCUUGUACAACAAAUAAGGAAAUAAAAAUAUGACGCGUUUCCUUUUCCACUACUUGCCCUAGGACUUUGGCCCUGUUUGGCACAACUUAUUUUCAGCUUCUUCACAAAUUUAAGCAGAAGUUCUGCCAAACAGACAGCUUCUGCAUCAGCUUAUCAUUUCAGCUGCUUCUCAAAAUGAACUAAAUGCAGCCAACAAGCAGAAGCUGCUUUUUACCAGCUUAUCAGAUAAGCUGCUUUUUCAACAAGCAGUAGUUGUGCCAAACAGGGCCUUUAAAUCUCGGGACGAGAUUCUUUUAUGGGGGGAAGGAUGUAACACCCCUGGUGUUACUAUCACUAAAACUUGAGCAUAACAUCAUGAGCAUUAGCAUAUCAUGUGUUUGUCACACCUAGAGUGCAUUCAUUAGGUAAAAAGUUCAAAAAUGUUGGACUAAUAUUACUUGAUGUGUGGUGAAACCCUAGGGUAGGGUACUUAACCCUAAACUAGGCUUAUGAGGGACAAUGAAGCCCAAACAAGUUAAAAUCUCAAAACUUAUUAGAAAUGAACAUAAGAUGUCACAUUUAAUGAACUUUGAUAGCACCAAAACCCUAAAUAGGUCAAAACCCUAAAAAUACCCCUCGAAAACCCUAAAUUGAAACCCUAGGGGGCUAAGUGUAAAAUUUGUACCUUUUGGACUCAAGUGCAAAAACCAAGGUAUUAGGGCACCUCAAAUCAUAUGGUUCACACCCUUGUGGAUUUGCAAAUCAAAUUGUGGAAAUUGGACCUAUUUGCAAAAAGGUUCCCUAGGAAUCAUAUGUGGCUAAGUAUGAAAACCAAUGCAUAGAGCCAACUUUGGAAACCUGUAUCUGUCAGUUUAUGAGGAAUUUGCCCUAAAUCAACACAUGAAAAGUCUAGAGCUACUAUAGGAGCACAACUUUGCUUAAGUGAUUAAGCAUUGUUGAUAUACAAAAACUGGGGAUAACUAGCCCUAAAGUCUGGCUGUCAGACCACCCUGAGACUGAAUACUGACUGGCAGUUAGUUCUGACGAACUUUGGGCUCGAUUCUUGCUCAAGGGGUUAAGAAAAGGAGCAAGAUCACUAUAGCAGAAUUGUAGCUGGUAUAUAGAGCUACAAGUUUGUUACAGAUGGAUUAGCAAGUUCUCAUACAAAAAUCCGAGAUCUAGGCACUGCAAUUCUGGCUGUUAGGUGUUCUGAAUAAGCAAUCCGAUGGUACGGUGCUAUACAAAUAUCCUAGGUUCAGAGAACCUCGCCGCCGGUGAGCCGUGCGCCCGGAUUCGUGCCAGCCGCUAUGAUUCGUGCCCAGCGCAAGUGGAUAACGGUAAGUAGUAAAAAUCUUGGCGCUCGGAUUAGCUCGGGCUCGCUCAUCGUUGUGCCCGCCGUACCCACUUGGACCACGGCUGGCCGGGAUCGUCCUCGCCGGCGUUAGUCGCUUAAUGAUCGUGCUCCACGCGUCUUGUAAGUCUAUCACGUCGCAAUGAAUCGGUGUUACAAGCCUAUCCAUCGCCUGAGAACUGGCCACGGUGAAAGCCACGAAUUCAUUGCGCCAGUAACCUCCCCUCUCCCCGGUCGCCAGCGCUUCUCCUCCAAAUUAAGCACCACCACCGUUGAGUGCUAUAAACUGAAGCCUCAGGGAGCUCCGCUAGGUAAUUAUGCGUCCAACGCACUAGCACUUGCCUCCAAUUGUCUACCAGAGCCGCCUAAUUGCCCAUUUCCCCCAAAUCGGUAAAAAUACCACCGUGUGAGGACCUUGCCGUGGCCAGUGUGCUACAGGUCCGUUCAUGUCCUCUGCUCUCUUUGUUUCAGUACCCUUAUGUGCCCCUGAUGCUUCUCGACCCGACUAAUUAAGCUAGAACCCAUUAGAUCACCGGGAACACUUUGAAUUGUCCCCGAAUUGCGUGGUCACCGUGAGCAGAGAAGUUGGGAGCUCGAACCGUGCAAUUGAUCGAGGGGAAACGAUUGUUAGAUGUUGAAUUAGGUAUCAACCAAGUUAGAGCACCGGCCAUUGCGUGACUUGGCCAGUACAGGCUCGCCGGAGCUCGGUCUGCCGCCGUUCUGCAUCGUGGACUUGGCGCGGUGAAGAAAUAGAAAUAUAGGGGGGGUUUUGUGAGUUGUCAGUGACUCAGGGAAUAGUACUUUAGACUCUUUUCAAGUUGUUUAAAAUGCUAGGGGCCUUUGUGUAAAGUUAUCAGCACGGGCGCGCGUGGGGCAUUUUGCCUAUCAUGGGCUAUCUUGGGCCAGAAUGAGCCCAAUACUGUUGACCCUUUCUCGUUUUCUUUUUCUCUCAGAAUUAGAGAAUUCUUAGAAAAUUGUAGAAAAAUGCUAAAAAUACAAGACCAAUUUUGUUACUCCUAAAUUUCUAUAUUAUUUAAUAAAAAUGGUUUCAGGAUUUUUAGUCCAAACUAGGAAUUAUGAAGUAUUUAAAAUAGCUAAAACCUAUACUCCUAGAAUUUUAGAAAUUACUUAGUAACUCCAAAAAUCACCAAAAACAUAUUGGAUAAGCCUAAAAUGGUAUUUAGAAACCUUGGGUGAAGUUUGACUUGAUUUUGACAAUGUUUGAUACCUAAACCCCAAAACCCUAAUCUUCUAAGUAGUGCCUGCCCUAUGGAAUAAAACACUGACUCCAAAAACCCUAGUUUCCUAGAGUACCAUGAAGGAAAAUUGUAUUCAAGACCUAAUAUGAUGUACCUUUAUUAUCUUUGCAUUUCCAUAAGCAUUACAUGAGCAUUCAUGGUUAUAUAUAUAUAGAACCAAGAAGAAGUAGUGGUUGAAGAAGGAGUUGCACCACCACCACAUGCCGGGAACUGCUUUUACUUUGAUAUUUGUGGAGCAGAGCCCGACUCUCCUAUAACACAAGGCAAGCCCCGGUGCAUUUGCCACCUCCUUGCUAUUUUAAAAUCUUUCUCACUUGCUUGAUGCAUUAAGUGAUAGGAGUUGUGUGCUAAACAAAUUGAUGCAUUUCCUUCCUUGGAAGUUUGAUUACCUUUCCUGGAUCACCUGUUUUAUGAAAGGAUUUUUCUUAUGCUUAGUCUUGCUCUAGAAAAACAAAAUGUUUUGUUUUAACAAAAUAUGAUGCUUCAAGUGGGAUGGGAUAUUUUCAAAAAUAAAACUUGAUGGUGGAUCCAUCAUGGCCAUGAUGGGUUCAAUGUCGGAAAAGAUGUACCUCUGUUCGGUACCAAACUUUGGGAUGAAAUGAUAAAGUUGAGAUCGGGCGGGUGACUUGCACGAGAAGAGAGUCUCAGUGUAGUGUCUCCGUCUGUGUUGAUUAAGGACCUUGUAAAUGUAGGCUUGAUGAUUGAGGACCUUUUAACUGGUCACAUGCCUCAUCAUGGGUAAGCUUUGCCUCGGGCAGACUAAUACCAGAAUAAGAUAACGCGCAAUGGGAGUGGAGAGAUGGCGAGAGUAGCGUGUACCCUCCGUGGCAAGAGGCUGGACGGUGGUGUAUCUGUGCUCUCGGUUGGCGUGAACCUAAUCUAGUCUUAAGAACCCCAGUGGCGAGUUGACAUAUGCAAGGGUUAAGUGCUACAUAUGUCGUGUGAUUGGAGAUCCCCAGCUGGGUAUUAAUCGAUUCGGAUCGCCGUUACUUCUCGGACAUGAAGACUUGGUCACUGACCUACACGUAGAAUUCUAGUGAACAAGAAGGGUUAAUAAGAACAUGGCUAGUAUAUGCCAAGUGCUUGAACUAGGGUAGAAAGAACUCUAGAUUCAGGUAAUGACUUAACUUGCUAAUAAAACUGGAUUUUUAAGGAUCCACUAUUAGUAAGCAUUUGUGCAAACAGAGUCUUGAUUCUUGAUUAAGCCUUACAUUGACUCCCUCAAGCCAGCAUAUCCUUGAGAGUCUUUUAUUUUAACGGGUUAGACUUGCGAAAGUACACUUCGUACUCAGGGUUUUCAAACCCAUGUUGUUGUAGGUGAGGAAGCAGCAAACUUUUGUUGCUUUUGCUCUAAGGUGGUGCCAAAGGAAGAAUCUCAAGAAUGAAGCCUCGGGAGGAUGUUGUCCUCCUUAAAAACUUUAUACUUUUAUGCGGGAGGGGUUUUUGCCUCUCGAGUUUGUAAUAAUAAUACUUCUGCACUCAUAUAUAUUACUGGUAUGUAAUAAUAACACUCUUCUAUAUUUUAAUGUAAAUUAAGUUAUUGUAAUUGCUUCUGUUAUUCGUUCCUCUGAUGUGUUGUAAUAUCUGCGUGACGGGUGAAACAUUCUUGGGAAAGGCAAAGAAUGCAGAUACCGAACUUGUCAAGCAAUCAGGUGCAUCUGCAGGAUUGUCUAAGGUCCGAUGGACAAGGACAACUGUAGGUGGGCCUAAUGACUUGGGAGGUUCCAUCACAUUGCCCUAAUCUUUUGGAUGUCUUUACAUAGACUCCAUGUCAUUGGGGUUGUGAACCUGAGAACUAGAUGGACCUAAUGGGGGAGUACUAUAGGAUUAGGCCACCUGAGGAUGCUGAGGCUGAUAGGUCCAAGUAAGUACAACAUAAAUCAAGUAUGUUCCAUUAUUAUAAAACAUUAUUUGUUCUCAUGUUGUUUUUGUUCUUUCACAGGAGAACAUUAGGGGUUCCCUCUAGUCAGAUCUGUUGCCACUUAGGUAUCUAUUCACUAGGUGCUACAAAGUUGAGGUCAAGAGGCACAUUAUAGUGUGGCUCUGGCACUUUGUAGCUACUUUCCUAUUCCCCAACGCUUCUGGCAACAAUAUCAAUUGGGCGAUGCUACAGAUCCUUAAUAAGGAGAGGGAGAACAUAAGUCAGUUUAGCUAGGGCACCAUAGAUCUAUCUUGGAUGUAGCAACAUCUCGUAUAGCCUACCAUCGUGAUGUCUCAAACAUGAGCUUAUGUGGUUGUUCUUACCUGGUUUAGUUUUCAUGUUUGGAUCAUUGGCCCAUUAGGAGACCUAACCUUUGUGGUUUUUCUAUAAGUCAUUUGCAAUGUCACUAUGUUUCAAUCACUUACAUCAUUUGGUUAUACAAACUAACACGUGUGUGUUACUUGCAGACCUAUAAUCACCAAGAUGGGACUUGUUCGAUUUGCCUGUACCAUGAAAAGAGGUAAAAAAUAUGAAAGACAACCUACAAAGAUGUUUAUGUAGUAUAUGGACCUCCUCGAUGUCCUAGCACAAUGCAAGGUUAGCAACUUGUGUUAUCAUCACCGUUGGCAUGUUUGUUUUCUCGAGAAUCUAACAGUUAUAUGUCACUGGUAGGUUACUUGGAUGCCUUGGGCAUAGUAGGAUCUAGACUCUUAUAGUCUAAUCAUGAUAGUGGCAUAUGGAGCAUAUAUGUGCCAUUUAUCUUCUUCCACGUGGUGGAGGUCUACUACCUUUGCAUGGUGUGUAGGUAGUUAAGAAGGUUUCAAUCGAACCCACCGAUGGACUACUACAUGAGCUAGACGUGGCACAAGUUAGUUAAAUAGUUCUUAAUUUGUUACAACUUGUGAAUGAAAUGUAUGGACAAUUCAAAUUAUUAAUAUAGAAAUUCUAGAUUUGAUUAGAGAAACAGGUACAAGAUGAAGGAUUGGCAUGUCGCACACCAUGAUGUUGUAGAUGUGGAACCAUAGGGAGCAUAGGGACCCAUGAGCGAUCCACCACAUGACUAACACAGGUGGUUUGGAAGAGUAAGAAGAAGAUGACGUGGAGGUGGAAGGUGGUGUUAUGGGAAUGAGAACAUCAGAUGUGGAUGUAGAAGAUGAUGGUUCAGAUGCUGGAAUGGAAGGAAGAUACAGGAAAGAAGUAGAUUCUGUGGGAUAAUAUGAGGAGUGAGUAGACUAGUUGUGAAAGAAGGGGCGAUUUUCAUUGAAACUCACAUCUCUAGAAAUUCGAAUACGACGAGUAGAAGGAUCAUAAAAACGAUAGCCUUUGUGUUCAGGACUGUAUCCAAGGAAUACACACUCUACAGAUUGAGCAGUCAAUUUGGUCCGCUCACGUGGUGGUAACAAGACAUAACAUAUACAUCCAAACACACGAAGAUGAUCAUGUCGUGGAGGAGUCCCAAAAAGAACUUCACUCGGGGAUUUGCCCAAAAGUUUAGAUGAUGGAUGUCUAUUAAUGAGAUACACAACAGUGGAAACAGCUUCACUCCAAAAGCAUGAAGGAACAAAAGAAGAUAUCAAAAUAGUACGAGCACUCUCAAUAAUAUGACGGUGUUUGCGUUCAGCAACACCAUUUUGGGCAUGAGCACCAAGACAAGAAAGUUGAGCUAGAGUACCCUCUAAGGUCAAUAUCUGGCAGAAAUUGUCAGAUAAAAAUUCACGACCAGAAUCUGAACGAAAUAUUUUAAUAGUAGCAGAAAACUGGGUGCGAACCAUGCGAGUAAAGGACUUGUAAAUAGAAGGCAAUUCCGAGUGGCGUUUCAUGAAGUAAAUCCAAGUAUAACGAGAAUGAUAAUAAAUAAAAAUGACAUAAUAUUUAUGACCACCUUUGGAAACAAACGGAGCUGGACCCCAAACAUCAGAGUGAAUUAGAUCAAAAGUUUAGCAGAAUGGGAAUCACUAGUAAAAUAUGGAAGUUGUAUUUGUUUUCCAAGAUGACAACCUUUACAAUGAAAACUAGACUCAACAUGUGUAGGGCCUAAACAUCCUGACUUUAUUAGAGUGGAUAGACGAGAUCCACAUAAGUGACCUAGACGAUGAUGCCACUGGGCAAACGACAUCGACCGAAGCAGCAAGCACAUGAGGUGUAGAGGCAUGGUAUGAAGGAAGACGCAAGGUGUCCAAGAUGUAGAGGCGAGGCAAAGAUUGACGGCAACGGCCAGUCCCAAUCACAUCCCAUGUGUGUUGAUCCUGUAUAAAACAAGAUGAGUCAUCAAAUCCAACAAAGCAAUUGUGAUCGGUAAUUUGGCCAACUGAUAGCAGAUCCAUGGAUAAUUCAGGUACAAAGAAAAUAUUUGGGACAAUAAAAUUAGAAUUGGAAAGAGAACCCUUGUGGGUGACAUGACAUAAUGUACCUUCAGCAGUCUGAACAGAAGUACCCUCAGUGACAGGUGUAGUAGAUGCCAGCCGUGACUGAUCAGAUGUCACAUGAAAUGAAACUCCAGAGUCAAGAACCCAAGAGGAUGACAAAGCACCAACAAAUGAAGUAGCAGCAACGACAACUGAGUCUCUAGGAGAUGGUCCUGUAUCACAACCUCGAAUAGCACGACAGACACGAAAAUCAGCUAGCUUCUCUGGAAACUUAGCAAAGCAGUUCUCAGACCGAUGAGUGGUCAUUUUACAAUGCUCACAAGGCUGAAAAGAGGUGUUCCUGGACUUCUAAGUAAUGGCCAAUACACUGUGAGAACUCACACCAGUAAUAGAAGACAUCGACUUCAGACGAGUCUCUUCAGCAAGUAAAUCAGACAACGCCUGAGCCAUGGUGAGAGUAUCAGAACUGUGAAGUAACCUUGCAUGAAGAGAAUCAAAUUCAGGUCGAACGCCCAUAACAAAUCUGUAGGUAAAGAACUUCUCAAUGAACUUAUGGGUUGGGCAAGGCACAGUUGUACAAUCAGGCAACAUGGAGGUCAAUGCACUCAUAAGAUGAUCAAAGGCUAAAUAGUAUUCAUCAAUGGAGAUAUCAUGUUGCUCAAUGACAUGAGUCUACUGCAUAAGGGUAUGUAAAAGAGCACCACUAUCCUGAACAAACCGAUCCUUCAGAUGUGACCAGAUAGCCUUAGUAGUGGUGAAUUUGGAUAGACUCAUAAUCAUAGUUGGUUUAGUGCUAUUGACCAUUGCAUCCAUUACCUUGCCAUCAUUGAUCUACCAAGUCUUGAUUGCAGCAGCAUUGCUUCUAUCAGCUGCUAAAACUAGAGAAUCUUCAGUCAAAUGAAAUAGUAAACCGUGACCUCUUAAUGCAGUCAGAACACAAAAGGCCCAUUAUGGGUAAUUCUGCCCAUCAAGCACAAUAUUGACAACAAUAGCGUUGAUCGACAUAUUGAAGAGCAACAAAAUGCUAAAGAAUAAUAGAUCUGAAAAAUACUGGCUUGAUGGUACCAAAAACCCUAGCGGGUGUAGUGGAUGAACAGUGGAUACGCCAGCUACAGUCUUUUUCAGAUGGCAGGGCACGACACCGGGCAGGGACGGAGCACUGGCGCGCACGCAAAAGAAUCGCACGGACGAUGAAGAUGGCAGGACGGAGCACCGGCUGUUGACACCUUUACGGGCGCCAAUCACUAUAACAAGAACCGGCGGCGGUGUUCUUAGCACAGGCGCGGACGGUUCACGGCCAGGGGCCGGACGGUCCACGACUUGGCGCAGGGCUAGGGUUCCCUGCCUGACGUGCCGGACGAUCCGCGCCCUGGGGCCAGACGGUCCGCACGUGCAUAGGGGCGGCGAAGGUCACCGACGGCGCCUGGAUCUCGCUCCCGGGUGGGACCCCGUCAGGGAGGAUAGAUCCUAGGUGUUGUCUAGGCUUGGCAGGCCGACCUAGACUCCUCUGAUCAACGUAGAGUCGAGGAGAAGCGGAGGAUUUGGGGAUUGGGAGACUAAAAUAUAACUAGACUAGAACUACGCCUAAAUGUACAAGAAAUAAAUGUGAGAUAAAUUGAUUAUUGAUUCGAUUGAUGAUGCUUAAUCGGUCGUAUUCCUCUUUAUUUAUAGAGGAGGCGGGCUGGACCCAUUACAAACAAAUCUCCUGAGUUAAUUCCGUGAAUCUAGCCAACAACAAUAGCGAGAAACUCGAAACCCUAAUUGGCUCUGCGCACGCGUGGACCAUCCGGAGCACUAGUGCGGACCGUCCAGCCAUCUCUUUUGGGGCUCAACAUAUGCCCCUGCCUUUUAGCGGAGCUGAGCGAACCAAAAGAAACUAACACAAUGUGAUCACAUCGGUUUCCUUAGGCAUCUUGCCACAUACUAGGAUGAUACUGCUUGAGGAAACGCCCGUUUAAAGCCUUGGGCCAGUCUUUGCCUUGUAAUGUUUGCAACAAGUAGGUGUUACUAGACAUCACCUAUGUGACUUUGUAAGGGCCUUCCUAGCUUGGCGACCACUUCCCAAACUUCUGGUCUUUGCUCCUCAGAGGCAAGACAACCUUCCACACCAGAUCCCCUACAUGGAAUGAUUUAGCCUUGACCUUUUGUUGUAAGCUUUGGCGACCAUGAUCUUGUCCUUCUCUAUUUCUCCUAAGGCUGUCAUCCUUUUGUCGGUCACUUCAUCAAUAUUGUCCAUCAUUGAAUUAUAAUAAUCACCGAUAGUCAGAUCAUUUUGCUUGGCGAACCUGACAGCACUCUACAGGUAACACUGCUUCUUGCCCAUAGACAAACUCAAACGGAGAUACUUUAGUAGCACGGUGUUUAGAUAUUCUAUGAGCCCAUAAAGCUUCAGACAAAAUCUUAUGCCAAUGCUUAGGAUGAUCAGACAUCUUCUUUUUUAUCAAGCUAAUCAAUGUCCUAUUACUAGACUCGGGCUGUCCAUUGGCCUGAGCAUAAUACGGAGAUGAAUUGAGUAACUUAAUUCUAUAUAAUUCAGCAAACUCACGUACCUCCUUUGACAUAAAAGAAGCCCCUUGGUCUGUAGUCAAAGUCUGGGGAAUGCCGAAUCUAUGAAUAAUAUGCUCAGUUAUGAACACAAUUACCUCCUUGUGUGUCAUGUUCUUCAGAGCAACGACUUGAGUCCAUUUAGUAAAGUAGUCAGUGGCAACUAACACGAACUGAUGCCCUUUUAACGAUGAAGGAUGAAUUUCUCCAUCCUCUGAAAGGCCAAGGCUUGAUGAUAGGAUAUAAUUCAGCUGCAGGGACCAACUAUAAGUCGCCAAAUUUUUGACAUACUUGGCAACCUUUGUAGUACUUGAAACAAUCAGCUAUCAUGUUAGGCAAAUAGAAGCCAGACCUUUGCAACAACCACUUCAUCUUUGGAGCCGAUUGAUGGGUACCACAAAUCCCUUCAUGUACUUCGGCCAUGGCUAAUAUAGCAUCACCUAGGCCCAAGCAUAGUAGGAUGUCGUUGCCUGUUCGGCGAUAGAGCUCAUCACUCAUUAAAACAUACUUGAAAGUUGUACGCCGAACGUUCCUAUCCAUCCUAACACUAGGAUUUCGUAUAUAAUUAAUUAUGGGUGUCCUCCAAUCGCUUGCUUCAUCUUCAUUACCAGCUGAAUCAAUCAGGAGAACUUUCCUCACAACCCCAAACGGUCCAAAACCCUCAACCGGACGGCCCGUGACCUGGGGAAUUGGCCCUGUAUCGGUUAUCAGAUUUUCGGUGUUGUGAAAUUUCCCUCGUUUUAUCCGAUAACCUGAUGCAUCUUGUGCCAAAUUGUUAGCUCUGUGAUUCUCAACUCUAGAGAUGUACCUGUAGGGGACUUGUUCUCAAAUACUAUGAGUUGAGAACAAGGCAACACAAAAUGUUAAUGGUUAAAGACCUUCGUCCUUCGGAGCAUUAUCUCCCUUAGGAUAUAAUGGUCUUCGGACGAAGGUUAUGAAGGAUGUACCUUCAUCAUCUUAGUAUAUAAUAAAGCAAGUAGAAGCAUAUGAAACAUGGAAAAUAACAUGAAUAACUAUAUGAUAUUAUCAGAACAUUUUUAUUAUCUUAUCAUGAAUAAACAUGAACAGUAUAGAAUUACAUUUAUACCUUCGGCUUGACAGAAGGUAAAAAUCCAAGCAUGACGUGCGAGUGAAUACAGGUCAGCGUGAACAGUACGGUGUCACUGUUCAUCUAUUUAUAGGCACAGGACGCAACUUGUGUAGAAUUACAUUCAUGCCCUUGACAUUUACUAUUGACUUGGGGAUAAUCUAUCGAGGACUAGACAACCUUUUCUCCUUUAAGUCGGUUUCAUUUUCCAUCGCUAAGUCGAAGCUUUUUCACGGGUAGCUUCGGCACUGGUUCAUCCUUCUCCUGAACCGCGCUCUUCAUAUCAUGUACAACUUCAUCCCAUGUCCGAAGGUUCCUGUACAUAUAGUAUACUUGGAAAACAUGUUAGUCGUGUUUUUGAGGACCUUCUGAAGACGAAGGCCCCCAACAGUAGCCCCUCGCAGUAUUAAUUUGUUAUAACAACGGAUAUUUAGACUGCGACAUUAAUGAAGGCCUUAAGCCGAAGGUCCGAAAAACACCUUCCCUUCGCUAGAAAAGCGACAGUCAAUGACAGACGGGGGCCGCCAAGUUGCAAAGCACUAGGCGUAUAAAUAUGAACCCACAACGGCAGCAUUUGGUUUGCUAUUUCUGCUAUUCGCGUUAUUUUCUCAAAUUUCUAGCUCUUGCUCAAUAGUUCUUGCCUGAUUUUCGAGCUUUUAGAGCUUCGGUUUAAAGGCGUGCUUGGUCCAAAUUUGAGGAGAAGAAGAUGAGUGGAGAGAAGAAGAUGACAGAAGAGAAGAAAAUAACCGAGGAGAAGAAGUUAUAUGAAGAGAAGAAAGUUGUGGAUCCUUUCAUCGCUGGGUUUUAUGAGUCCAUGGCAAAAACGAAUACAGAGAAAAUUACUAAGGAGAUCAUGGAGGGUUUGUUCGAAGAUUCUGAUGACAUUGAUAGUUAUGACGUGGAGAGUGGGGAUGAAGAUUCUGAGGAUCGGCCCUGGCGGCCAAGUCAUACUAUCUUCGGAAAGUCGACUAUCAAGUAGAGUCAUAUUGACGCCAUGAGGGGGGAUAUUUUCGCGACAUGUCUAUUGUCAGAGUUGGAGGAGACAACACUGCCCUCGCUCUUGAGGAAAAUAAAGUUGUUAUUUAUCGAAGCUUCCUGAAAGCAGGUCUCCGGUUCCCACUGAGCAAAUUUGUGGUUGAGGUAUUAAAGAUUUUUCAGAUUUUUCUUCAUCAGAUUACCCCCGAAGCUAUAAUUAGGAUGGGGAUGUUUGUCUGGGCUGUAAGAAGCCAGGGGCUAGAGCCGAGAGCGAAGUGCUUCUGCAAUAUGCAUGAGCUUUUAUAUGAGACGAAGGCUAUUGGCAAAGAACAAUACCACAACAACUUCGGCUGCUACGGGUUCAUUGCCCGCUCUAAUGCAAGUUACCCGGUGCCAACAUAUCGGAAAAGAUGGCCCGGGGCCUGGAUGGAGGAGUGGUUUUAUGUUAAAAAUGAUCUGAUUAAAAGAGAAGAUAUCAAGGAAACUAUCCAGCGCCCCAUCUGGUCUCGCUUCGGCCUCCGAAGGCCGAAGGUGGAAAUUGAUGGCGAUGUUGAAGCAUGCCAGAAGACUUUUAGUACUGUUUGCGCCUUCAUUGGCACGAGGGAUUUAAUUCAAGAGCACAUAUCCUUCAGGGUGUGGCCACUUGUGGAGAGCUGGGAUAUGCUGAAGGAAACUACUGCCGACUCCAGUGAAGGUGGCCUGGUUCGAUUGGGAUAUACCUUCAGGUUUAGAGAGAAGUUUGACGAGCCAAAUGAUGACUGGUUGAAAUGUAUUGAAGCUACUAGUAACGAGUUGCUUGGGACAUAUUCCAAAGCCGAAGAUGAUGCCUUGUCCGCAGCCUUCGGGGGUCGGGGCAAGAAAAGAUUGAAUAGGGUAUUUGAUGCGAUUGGCUUCGCAUACCCUGAUUAUCGCUACCCGCUACGAGGUCAAGGAAAAAAGAGAGAAAGAUUGCCACUUCGGCCACCACAGCUAUGCCGAAGGGUAAAAAAGUGAAGGUUCUGACCCACCGGCCACGGUAUAUUGAACCGGUUGUAGUGCCUGAAUUUGGCGAAGGGGCCUCUUCAACUGCCGAAGCAAGACAAGCUGCUCCGAUUGUGCAGAGCGUUGAAGAGCUAAAUGUAGUGCCGAAGGUGCCUACAGUCGGGCCAGCCGAAGCUAAGGAUGAUAAGGCCGAUGUCACACCCGGUUUUGGAAGGUAAACCGAAUGCGAACCAUGUACGUGCCAGGAUCAGAAAUUCAUGUACAUGGCGAUUACAUAAAUGACUCAUCAUAGCACAAUGCUUCGAAUAACAAUAAAGAUAAGUAAUAAUAUGAAAGACUAGAGUCAUUUACAUAAUAUAAUCAAAGUACACAGAACAAAAACGUAGCCAACGUAAAUAAACCCACCACAGGCAGCUGACUGGGGGAGGUCGCUAGCCUAAUCCUUGAACUCGUUGAAGUCCUGGAACUCCUGGAGAUUCGCCUCGAUGCCUUCUUCUUUACCUGAGCAUAGAUUGCACCAAAGGCAACCUGGUGUUUUGUGAAAGCAAGGGUGAGUACACAUCAACGUACUCAGCAAAUGUCCCGUUUGGCUGUAGUGGACUAGCUUUAUUUGGGGUUAAGGUCAAGCAGUUGCUUUUAGUUGGUCAGGUUAUUAUUACUCAUUGAGAGCCAGGUUUUAACAUUAACCCAAGUUAUUAACCCAAAGUACCCUUUCCAAACGAAAAGAACACCACUUACCAUUACCAUAGUCAUAACCAUCAUCCUUGUCACCACCAGUAAACCAACCAUCUCUGAUCAAGUAUCUCUAAUCAAAGAGGAUCCCAAGGCCGCUCAUAACCGUGAGCACGGCUGAUAUAUCAGUUUCUAACCCUCUGCAGAGGUCGCACACUUUACCCACGAGUCAUGAUUCCCUUUCUGCCCGGGGAGAGCUAAUCCCCAUUGACCACUACCUAGGUGGCCUGGCAGGGUAUCACUACGUAGCCUUUACAAAGAUUUCCCAGAGGUCAUAGCCGCCCGUUAGGUUUCUCCAGUUUGAUAAACACAGUACAUCUCCCCAAAGGAAGGGUGACUAACAAAACCAAAUCAAGAACCUCUGCAACCAGCCUCGGCAGAGCAAGUACUGUGCCCGGACCCCAUUGACGGCCCUACGGCGAAGCCAACUACUCCUCUGGUUCCUCUAAUUAAUCAGCUAAGGGCGUCCCAUUCCACCCUCAUGGUUGCACUGUUAUCCCGGGUUGUCACUCUCCAAACAGGUCCUUACGGAGAGGCACUCAGGAAACAGCCUGAGCCCCCUAAAGUAUCAUAGGAACAUCAUCGGGAUAACAUCAUAGUAUCAUAAGUAUUCACAUCAUGUUCAUUGAUUCAAGUAAAGCAAUAGCAUAAUGCUAACCAUGAUAACCCAAAAGGUAAAGAAGGAUAAGGUAAAUGGAAAGCUAGUCAAUCCUUAGGUUUCAAUUAAGUAAUGCGGGACAGUGCAUUAAAAGUGAAUGGGACAUAAUGGGUCAGAGGACACUUGCCUUCACCAAAUAGAUGCUCAGGGUCUUCCACUUUGUAGAAUUCGAAGAACUUGAUCCCACGAUCGUCGAAGCUUGACCAGCGAGCAGAGGUUGAAGACACGACGACGGCGAUUGCGUGGCGAGUGGGCGCGGCCACGGUGCUGCUCGGGCGGAGAGGCGCUGCAUAAUGGCGUAGACGACCAUGAGCACGGCGAGGCUGCUGUCGUGGCACGGCGGAGGCGGUGGUUGCUGCAGCGACUGCGAGGGAGAGGAGAGCAGAGCAGGGCCGAGCAGACGUGGGCGCUGGGUGGUUCCAUUUUUAGCGUUGUGGAUGUGUGCGUCUCGAAGAACAGGGAAGGAAUAUGGUUACAUGGGAGAGCUGACUGACAUGUGGGGCCCACAUACACUGCACAGCCUGGACAGCUGACAGGUGGGGCCCUAGCCAUGCACGGCGCGUGCCUGGUCUUGCCCCCGCUCCUGUGCGUGCGUGCAGGAUGGGAGUUUUUAGUGGGGGCGAGAGGGUUGGAUGGGAUUCUCUUUUUUUGUUUUGUUUUUUUUUACUUUUUUUAAUUAUUUUCUUCCUCCCUUUUUAUAUAUAGGUAUAGAUAUAUAUAUUUAUAUAUAUAUAUGAUUAUUUUUAUUUACAUUAAAUCGUGCCCAUAUAAUUUGGAUUCAAUAGUUUUUCCUUCUUCUGAACGUAAAUACCACGAAAAUCAUUUUUUUGCAGACAUAAAUUAUGCUUCGGCAUGAGAUGCAACAAUCAAACUCCUCCAGGGCUCACUCCACUAGGUUCACGCUGAUAUAUAACAAAUAACUCACCUUUAUUUAGAAAAAAAAGAGACGAAAAGAAAAAAAAAGAAGAGGGUAACACCUGAAUUUGGUGGAUAUUAGAAGAAAAUUUUAUACCCCAAAUUAAGGGUGUUACAAAUCUAACCCCUUAACAGGAAUCUCGCCCCCGAGAUUCAAGAAGAGGCUAGCAAGAACGACUAGGUUGGUUCAUAGGUUGAUCACGACUUCUUCUGACUCAACUCUGACUCUGGCAACUUUAACUUGCGGACUGGUUCCUUUGACCUUUAGAUGCUUGAGACCGAUCGAUGCAAUUUUUGAGGAUCUCUUGGACUUGUGAGUCAGGACCCACACACGCUUUCGUUGCGCCAGUCUGAUCUUGUUGGUUGAUGUUGAUCGCAUUGUCUUCAUUGGGGUUAGCGGCUAACCCCCUUAACAGGAGCAUUGAUAAGCACUUGGUGAAGAUGCUGUCGAUUCUGAUCUUGAUUGAUUAAGAGGAGCUAGAGGUUGCCAACUGCAUAGGUGCAAGAGGAAAGAAUAUAGGUAGAAAAGGUAAGCAUAGAUGGAUUAAAGAGAGAAACGGGAGAGCACCCAACAACCUAAAUUUAUGGCACUCAGCUAGUAAACUGAUGUCAUUGCGGACCAAGGGCCACAUCACAUCAACACUCAUCACAUGGAAGCAAAUCAGUCAUCACACAAGGACAAACAACACAAGCAUACAACAACAAACAUCUCGUUGCUAUACGUUGAUGUUAACUAGAUGGUGGUCUUUCCUGAAAAGGGAAUAACUACUCUCUAAGGUUGUUGAAGGACAAGGAGAAGGACAAGACGUACAGGAUAGGGGCACGAGCACCAUAAAUGAUGGAGUUAAAGUAAGCAUUGUAAGCGACCAGGAUAAGGAUACGGCCAAGGCAUAAUGGGAAGAACACUACUCUCGAGUUGAGAUAGAAAAGGGGGGAUUCCAAAAAGCGGAUCUAAGAUAAGCAUCAAGGCAAGAUCUAGUGAUUACAAAGGUAAGGGUGAUAUCAAACAAAAGCUAAGACCUGCAAUGCGGUAGAGGAAAAGGAAACGACUACGAGCGAGAUGGGUAAGACAACACUCUUGAACUGAAAUGGGAGAGGAGGCUUUAAAUUGCAUGUACAAGAUAAACAUCAAAGUAAACAUCAAGGGAUGACAAGGGUUCAGGUGAUAACGAACAAACACACAACAAAGGAUGUAUUUUAGACAAAACGUGUGAGGUAUCAAAGAAUGGGAAGCAGUCAAUGGUGAAGUAGGUGAGGCAUUAUCCUCAAACAUCGAUGAAAAAGAGGUGGCUUUAAAGGGUAGGUUCAAAGUAAGCAUGAGGGCAAGGGCAUAGAUAUCACGAGGGUUUAAAGGUGAUAACAGACAAGGAUGUAGGAGAGGAGGUAAACGCGCAUAAUAACCAAGGAUAUAAGUACCACAAAGGAUAGAGUUAAGACAAGACCUGCAGAUGAAAAAGAAGGAGGUAUGUCCAAGGGCCAGAUAGGUAAACAGCCACUCUCCAAUUGAGGUGGAAGAGAGGAGAUUUUAAAGAGCCAGAAUAAAGAUGAGUAUCAAGGCAAGAUCGACGAAUGACAAGGAGGUCGUGAUAGCAAAUAAAACACAUAGCAAAGGAUGGAAUUGAAACAAAACUUGUAAGGCGACAAGAAGUGAAAAGAAAUCAAGGGAGAGGUAGGUAACUCGCAACUCUCAAAGUGGGUUGAAAGAAAGGGGAGGAUUUAAAGGAUAAGUUUAAGGUAAGCAUUUAGGUAGAAGACAUAAAUAUCGCAAGGGCCAAAGGCGAUAACGGACAAGGGUACAAGAGAAAAGAUGAAGGCAUAGAAGAGCCAGUGGUAUGAGUACGACAAAGAAUGAAGUUAAGAUAAGACUCACACCUAGCAAAGACGAGGUUCCGACCAAGGGCGGGAUAAGUAAAACACUUCCCUCGAAUUGAGAUGAGAGAGGGAAUUUUAAAUAACGGACAUAAGAUAGUCAUCAAGGUAAGAUGGAGAGACGGUGAAGGUAAAGGUAGUAACAGAUAACGAAGGGUGGAGUUAAAAACUCGCAAGCGACAAGGAAUAGGAUGCAACUAAGGGAAAAUAGGUAACCUUCAACUUUUAAAAUUGAGACGAAAGAGAGAAGGUUUUGGAGCACAGGUAUAAUAUAGGCAUCAAGGUAAGAUAUAGAGGUGUCAAAGUCGAAGGUGAUAAUAAUGAAAGGCAUAACAAAGGAUAGAGUUAAGGCAAGACUCGCGAAAUGCCGAAGUGGAGAAAACAAUCAAGGUAAGAUAGGUGAUGUUUCAAUAGAAUGGUUGAAGUAAGAAUUCAUUACUGAGGCAAGUUAUAAGGAAGCAACGAGAUUACCACGGGUGUGCAAAAUAAAAUGACCGCUCAUGGAUCUUUAGGAAAUAAGGAUGGUCAAAGGCAUGUUAACUGAAAUGUCUUGAAUAGUCAUUGGGGUAUGAAGGUAAGCAUACUUGAAAAUAUGAGAGUACGCAAGACACCAAGGAUAUGAGCAUACCAAGACAAGGGAAUAGAAAAAAAAACAAAUGAUAACGACUUAACAACGAAAUAGGGAGGGAUCUCAGAAGACAAGAAGGUCAUGGACAUAAAAACUGGAAUGUUUAAAGAGGAAACCGAGUUUUCAGAGGUAACUAUUUGAAACAAGAGUAUUAAAGAAUCUAGGGGUACAAGCAUGUCAAUACGAAGAGGACAAAGAUAGUCAAAGGGUAGCAAUUUAGUGAUGGAAGAGGGAAAAAUCCCAACAGACAAAAAGUUAUGGUCAGGGGGCAUCUUCAAAGAUGUCGCAAGCAUAAGAGUGAGAACAGAACUAAUAUGACCAGCAAAUAAACCAUAAAUAAAUGAAGGAUUAGAAUAAAACACAAUUUUCAGCAAGGUAUAAUAUGUAGUAAAACAUAGGUUUGGUCGAUAUGACCAACUUUUGAAGGGAUAGCAAAGUCAAGGCAGGGACAGAGGUCUAUAAUCCUUAGAACGACCAUUCUACUCUAGGUUAGCGGUCCUACAGUCAGCACGGCUUUGAUACCACUUAUGUCACACCCGGUUUUGGAAGGUAAACCGAAUGCGAACCAUGUACGUGCCAGGAUCAGAAAUUCACGUACACGGCGAUUACAUAAAUGACUCAUCAUAGCACAAUGCUUCGAAUAACAAUAAAGAUAAGUAAUAAUAUGAAAGACUAGAGUCAUUUACAUAAUAUAAUCAAAGUACACAGAACAAAAACGUAGCCAACGUAAAUAAACCCACCACAGGCAGCUGACUGGGGGAGGUCGCUAGCCUAAUCCUUGAACUCGUUGAAGUCCUGGAACUCCUGGAGAUUCGCCUCGAUGCCUUCUUCUUUACCUGAGCAUAGAUUGCACCAAAGGCAACCUGGUGUUUUGUGAAAGCAAGGGUGAGUACACAUCAACGUACUCAGCAAAUGUCCCGUUUGGCUGUAGUGGACUAGCUUUAUUUGGGGUUAAGGUCAAGCAGUUGCUUUUAGUUGGUCAGGUUAUUAUUACUCAUUGAGAGCCAGGUUUUAACAUUAACCCAAGUUAUUAACCCAAAGUACCCUUUCCAAACGGAAAGAACACCACUUACCAUUACCAUAGUCAUAACCAUCAUCCUUGUCACCACCAGUAAACCAACCAUCUCUGAUCAAGUAUCUCUAAUCAAAGAGGAUCCCAAGGCCGCUCAUAACCGUGAGCACGGCUGAUAUAUCAGUUUCUAACCCUCUGCAGAGGUUGCACACUUUACCCACGAGUCAUGAUUCCCUUUCUGCCCGGGGAGAGCUAAUCCCCAUUGACCACUACCUAGGUGGCCUGGCAGGGUAUCACUACGUAGCCUUUACAAAGAUUUCCCAGAGGUCAUAGCCGCCCGUUAGGUUUCUUCAGUUUGAUAAACACAGUACAUCUCCCCAAAGGAAGGGUGACUAACAAAACCAAAUCAAGAACCUCUGCAACCAGCCUCGGCAGAGCAAGUACUGUGCCCGGACCCCAUUGACGGCCCUACGGCGAAGCCAACUACUCCUCUGGUUCCUCUAAUUAAUCAGCUAAGGGCGUCCCAUUCCACCCUCAUGGUUGCACUGUUAUCCCGGGUUGUCACUCCCCAAACAGGUCCUUACGGAGAGGCACUCAGGAAACAGCCUGAGCCCCCUAAAGUAUCACAGGAACAUCAUCGGGAUAACAUCAUAGUAUCAUAAGUAUUCACAUCAUGUUCAUUGAUUCAAGUAAAGCAAUAGCAUAAUGCUAACCAUGAUAACCCAAAAGGUAAAGAAGGAUAAGGUAAAUGGAAAGCUAGUCAAUCCUUAGGUUUCAAUUAAGUAAUGCGGGACAGUGCAUUAAAAGUGAAUGGGACAUAAUGGGUCAGAGGACACUUGCCUUCACCAAAUAGAUGCUCAGGGUCUUCCACUUUGUAGAAUUCGAAGAACUUGAUCCCACGAUCGUCGAAGCUUGACCAGCGAGCAGAGGUUGAAGACACGACGACGGCGAUUGCGUGGCGAGUAGGCGCGGCCGCGGUGCUGCUCGGCGCGGAGAGGCGCUGCAUAAUGGCGUAGACGACCGUGAGCACGGCGAGGCUGCUGUCGUGGCACGGCGGAGGCGGUGGUUGCUGCAGCGACUGCGAGGGAGAGGAGAGCAGAGCAGGGCCGAGCAGACGUGGGCGCUGGGUGGUUCCAUUUUUAGCGUUGUGGAUGUGUGCGUCUCGAAGAACAGGGAAGGAAUAUGGUUACAUGGGAGAGCUGACUGACAUGUGGGGCCCACAUACACUGCACAGCCUGGACAGCUGACAGGUGGGGCCCUAGCCAUGCACGGCGCGUGCCUGGUCUUGCCCCCGCUCCUGUGCGUGCGUGCAGGAUGGGAGUUUUUAGUGGGGGCGAGAGGGUUGGAUGGGAUUCUCUUUUUUUGUUUUGUUUUUUUUACUUUUUUUAAUUAUUUUCUUUCUCCCUUUUUAUAUAUAGGUAUAGAUAUAUAUAUUUAUAUAUAUGAUUAUUUUUAUUUACAUUAAAUCGUGCCCAUAUAAUUUGGAUUCAAUAGUUUUUCCUUCUUCUGAACGUAAAUACCACGAAAAUCAUUUUUUUGCAGACAUAAAUUAUGCUUCGGCAUGAGAUGCAACAAUCAAACUCCUCCAGGGCUCACUCCACUAGGUUCACGCUGAUAUAUAACAAAUAACUCACCUUUAUUUAGAAAAAAAAGAGACGAAAAGAAAAAAAAGAAGAGGGUAACACCUGAAUUUGGUGGAUAUUAGAAGAGAAAUUUUAUACCCCAAAUUCAGGGUGUUACAGCCGAAGAGCCUGAGGUGGAAAAAUAGUGAAAAUGCCAGAAAUUCUGAGCCCACCAGCUGAGGCAAAAUUGCCGAAGGUGCAAAGGGCUCUUGCCACAACUCCCAAAAGGAGGAGGAUGGCCAGCAUACUGGACGCUGUUCUGGAGACCACAAAGGCCUUGAGCCCUGCUCCUGCUAAGAAAAGUGCUGAAGCUGCCAAAGUCCAAGCCAGAGCCGAAGCUGGGCCUUUAGCUCCCAUUGAGACGAAGGCUGUUGCGCUUGAAGAUAAAGGUGGUCAACAGACUCUAGAUACCGGCAUGGCAGCAGGGCAAGACAUGUCAAGAAAAGCAAAAUCCCCUGCCCCUGAAGCUUCAAUUGAAGAUGUUAAUUACAUUUUUUGACAUGCUUCGGGGAAAAAUUAUCCGAAGAAGAAAUCCAGUAAGCCAGGCAUUAUGCCCAAAAACUAAAAUAUCCAAAGGGGGGUUUAGUGUUCAAUGGCACUAACGAAGAUGAUUUCCUAUACUAUCUCCCGGACAACAAAGAAAUAUCCGUUUGCCGGGAGAUAGCUAAAAGUAUGGGAUUUUCGAAGCUUGAGGAAGGCCUUUCGGUUAUGUCAAAGGAUGAUCUUGCUGAUAGCCUUGCGUACAACAGUAUAAAGGUAUAGAAGUUAAUUUUGAAGUUAGAAAAUGAAGUAUUUUAUUGCCAUGCUCAAUUCUUUCUCCUUCUUUGCAGGGCUUAAUUCUUAGUAAUGCCUUGAGGGCACAAAAGAGCGUCGAAGACGAAGGCUGUACAAUGGCUCUUAACAACCUUCGCUCAGAGGUGAUUGAACUGAGGAAUGAAGGUCUAGAGAAAGACAAAAUUUUGAUUUCAUUGGUGAUUAAAAUAAAAGAAGACGAAGCUAAGUACAAUGCUCAGGCCGAAGCCCAAAACGCUGAGGUUGAAGACCUUCGGAGACAACUGGCCGAAGCUAAGGAGAACUGAGCGCUCGCACAGGCUAACCAAGAGAUUAGUGAAUAUUGGAAGAAUAAACUAGAGAAAAAUGUUGAAGAACUUCGCGAAUCCAAGGAAAAGUGUUUUGAAAAAUCCUUGGAUUGCAUGAAGAAAUUAAAAACUAGCUUCUCCAAAGUGUGUGCCUAUUCUUCUGAAGAAAAUUUUAUCCGAGGUGACCCCAAAGGUGUUAUUGAAUGGAUAAGUGGAGAAGUCAAAGCCUUCGAGGAAAUCUUGAAUGAUCGCGGGGAUAUUUGUGCGUUUUCCGGCGCUCACGGGAUCUCAACUAUUCUGGAGAAGGCCGAAUGUGAUCACGUCAAGGCUAUAGCCCAGGCCGAAGCUGCCUUCUCCUUCGACGAUACGAAGGAUCCUUCAGCCGAAGCAACUUUAGUGGGCAGGAAAUUUUAUUCUGAUGUCUGGGUGAACGGUGGCCGAGAGCUGGCCAGCGAAAUUAUAAAAAGAAUGAAAAAGACACCCACGACGCCCGGGAAGAAGCAAAGCGAGCUGAAGAGGCUGCUGAACGCGAAAGGCGCAUAGGUAUAGUUUUUGAUUUUUUGGCUUCAGUACUUUCUAUGUAGCUUCAAAACUAAUAGUUUACUUACUACAGCUGAACUAUCCCCGCCACCGGAGCCGUACAAUCCCCUAGCUGAUCCAGAGAUGAAGGAAGUACUGGAUAUUAUAAGCAUGGCGAACUCCAUUAUCGACGAAGCCGUCGAUAAACUUUUGAACGAAGUCGCAGAAAAAGUCCUUAGAGAAGAAUAGAUUUUGUUGUAAUAAUGUUUUGAAAUGCUUGAUUGUAAGGGACAAUUGAAUGAAGAUUAGGCUUCUGUUGUAACAAAACUAUGUAACAUUUGAUGUAUGUAAUAUUGAACCGAAUGUGUAAGCUGUUGUAAUUUAUUUCUUUGCGAUGCAUGAAACAUACACACAUACCGCUUUUUGAGCCUUCGGUGAAAAAACACCUUCCCUUCUUUUCAUGCUUCAUAAAGAAGGAAACCACUUCUAGGGCAGAUCUGAUAGAAUUGUCACCCGAAGUUUGCUUCGUGCCUUAGCACAUUUUCAUUUAAUCGAAGUAUUUCCAAAGAUUUGCUUCGUAUUCAGUCUUUCUGUUGAUGCGAUAUGAUGUAUGAUGUGAUGCUAUGCUAAAUGAUGUGAUGAUAUGAUGCAAUAUGAUGAUGCUUUAACACCCACACAUACGCCCAAACUGGUACACGGAAGACUCUGCAUCCCCUUAGGAACGUCUUUUGAGUUUAAGCUCUGCAUCCCAUUAGGAACGACUUUUGAGCUUCUUCACCUUCUAUUUCGGUGGUAUAAGUUCUGCAUCCCCUUAGGAACGACUUUUGAACUUCUUCGCCUUAUAUUUCGGCGGUAUUUGGCUUUGCAUUCCCUUUGAAACGACUUUUGAGCAGAAAACUUACACUGUGCUCCCUUAGGAACGACUUUUUGUAGCUUCGUCAAUUUUGGCUCUGCAUUCCCUUAGAAACGACUUUUGAGCAGAAAACUUACAUUGUGCUCCCUUCGGAACGACUUUUUGUAGCUUCGUCAAUUUUUGCUCUGUAUUCCCUUAGGAACGACUUUUGAGCUUCGAAAUUUACUUCGUUCCUUUAAGAGUCGUCUUUCGAGCUUCGUAAAUUUAUGAAGAAGACAUAUUUCAUUCUGGUGUAGGCAAAAUUAUUACAAGAAAUUGAAACUGAGUUUUUCAUUACUUGUUUCUCACACAGAAAGUAAAAUGGCAUAAAAUAUAAAAGUACUUCAGAAGUAGGAUAUUCCUCAGUAUAUGUGCUUCGAUUCUGGUACAGUGUUGUUGACUGUACGAGCUUCGGACUCCUCCCUGAAGUCACAUUGCUGUUGGGGGUGCUGGCGCCCUUCUGGCUGCUGGCUUUGGGUAUGAGUAGGUGGCAAUGGUGGUGGCGGUGGAAGCUGAGGCCAGGAAGCUUGUGAAUGGCUUGCCGAAGCAACAGAAGCUGCAGGUUGAUUGCCCACAUAUUCUGGUAUGUAGGGAGAGUAGCAUGAAGCAGUAUGUAAAACCUGCUUCGGCUGGUUCUGCCGGGCUUCUGCUUCAGCAAUCUCUUUUUGCUUUUGAAUGGUAAUCUGGCAUGUUUUUGUAGUGUGGCCCUUGUCUUCACCAUAGAAUAAGCAAUAGAUUUUCCUGGGCUGAUCCUCAUAUCUUCCUCCGAAGCUCCUGUCGCCUCUACCCCUUGGCGCUGGUGGCCUGAAGGAGCUUUGCUGCUGCCCUGAAGACUGUGAGCUAUGUUGUGGCCUCUGAAACUGGUUUCCAUUGUCAUCACUCUGACUGGAGCUGUGGAUUGAUCUGACAUGGCUAGGGUGGAUUCUUUCUUCGAAGCCCCUAGUCAUCUCAGAAAACCUAUAAGCUUCUUCCCUUCUCUGGCGAAAAUCAUUAUUGGCUCGAAUGUACUCAUCCAUCUUCUGAAGCAGCUUCUCCAGGGUCUGAGGGGGUUUCCUGGCGAAGUAUUGAGCCGUAGGCCCUGGUCGAAGACCCUUGAUCAUGGCCUCAAUGACGAUUUCAUUGGGCACUGUUGGCGCUUGUGCUCUCAGAUGCAAGAACCUUUGGACGUACGCCUGAAGGUACUCCUCAUGAUCUUGUGUGCACUGGAACAAGGCCUGAGCAGUAACUGGCUUCGUCUGAAACCCUUGAAAACUGGUGACCAACAUGUCCUUAAGCUUCUGCCAUGAUGUGAUUGUCCCUGGCCAGAAAGAGGAGAACCAUGUCUGGGCCACACUUCGGACUACCAUGACGAAGGACUUCGCCAUGACAGCGACGUUGCCUCCAUAUGAGGAUAUUGUUGCCUCAUAGCUCAUCAAGAAUUGCUUUGGGUCCGAGUGCCCAUCAUACAUGGGAAGCUAGGGUGGCUUGUAUGAUGAAGGCCAUGGUGUAGCCUGCAGUUCUGCUAACAGAGGAGAAGCAACAUCAAAAGCAAAAUUUCCAUGGUGGAAAUCGUCAUACCAAAUGUCAUCAUCAUAGGAAUUGUCCUGGCGAAGCUCUGUGCGUUGAGUUCGCCGGUCCUGGUCAUCUUGGGUGAGAUGACGCAUUUCCUCAGCGGCUCUGUCGAUCUUCCUCUAAAGAUCAGCAAGAUGAAUCAUCUUCUCCUUCUUUAUUUGGACUUGCUGAUGAAUGGCUUCGAGGUCCUUGAUCUCCUGGUCUAACUCUUCCUCCUGAGGCGUUGGACUUGUAGCCUUCCUUUUUUGGCUUCGGGCUUCGUGCAAUGUGUCUUGGUUGACGUCUAGUGGCUGCAGUGCAGCCCCUAGCCCUGAAGCUUUCUUCGGUGGCAUGACGAAGGUCACAGCUUGCCGAAGGUGGUCGAAUGAGUUCACCGGAGGUGGGCGCCAAUGUUGGGGACUUGUUCUCAAAUACUAUGAGUUGAGAACAAGGCAACACAAAAUGUUAAUGGUUAAAGACCUUCGUCCUUCGGAGCAUUAUCUCCCUUAGGAUAUAAUGGUCUUCGGACGAAGGUUAUGAAGGAUGUACCUUCAUCAUCUCAGUAUAUAAUAAAGCAAGUAGAAGCAUAUGAAACAUGGAAAAUAACAUGAAUAACUAUAUGAUAUUAUCAGAACAUUUUUAUUAUCUUAUCAUGAAUAAACAUGAACAGUAUCGAAUUACAUUUAUACCUUCGGCUUGACAGAAGGUAAAAAUCCAAGCGUGACGUGCGAGUGAAUACAUGUCAGCAUGAACAGUACAGUGUCACUGUUCAUUUAUUUAUAGGCACAGGAUGCAGCCUGUGUAGAAUUACAUUCAUGCCCUUGACAUUUACUAUUGACUUGGGGAUAAUCUAUCGAGGACUAGACAGCCUUUUCCCCUUUAAGUCGGUUUCAUUUUCCAUCGCUAAGACGAAGCUUUUUCACUGGUAGCUUCGGCACUGGUUCAUCCUUCUCCCGAACUGCGCUCUUCAUAUCAUGUACAACUUCAUCCCAUGUCCGAAGGUUCCUGUACAUAUAUUAUACUUGGAAAACAUGUUAGUCGUGUUUUUGAGGACCUUCGGAAGACGAAGGCCCCCAAUAGUACCGAAUGCUGAAUUUGUCAAAAGAAUGAAUUAUGCCCCAACAUUUUUCAAGGUAACUGUUUAGAGUACCAUCAAAACAUUGAUAUUCUUCUACUACUUGUUGGACAACCAGCUGAGAAUCACCAAAUGCCCUGACAUGUUUUACUCCCAUACAACUUAACAUCUCCAAGCCGAACAAAAGGGCAUCAUAUUUGGCUUGAUUGUUAGUGCAAUAAGUUUUUAAUCAGCUAGAGAAGUUGAAAGAGACAUUACUUGGUGAAACAAGCACGAUGCCAAUUUCUUGUCCUUCAUUGCAAACCGAUCCAUCAAAAUAUAAAAUCCAGGGAGUAACAGUGAGAUAUGAUAUGUCUAGUUUAUGAGUGUCAUCAAUCUGAUGUUCUACAAAAAAAGUCUGCUACGACAUGGCCUUUCAUAGAUUUCAAUGGUUCAUAAGCCAAGUCAUAUUCUAUGAGUGCAUAAGCCCAUUUACUAAUUCUACCACUCAUAAUCGGGUUUUGCAACAUGUAUUUGAUCACAUCGGUUUGACCGGAAACGGUGCAAUGAUUAGACAACAAAUAACAUCUACACUUGGUGCAUGCAUAAAACAGGCAUAAGCAUAACUUCUCGAUGAAAGUGUACCUUAUUUCAGAAUCCACCAGCCUCUGACUUAGAUAGGUCACCACAUGCUGCUUUCCUCUGGUCUCUUGCGUCAGAACAGCCCUAAUAACCUUAUCUUCAGCUGCAAUCUACAAUCUGAACGGUACUCCUACUUGCGUUGCUUUUAACACCGGAGCCGAAGACAAAUAUUUUCUGAUGAGAUCAAACGCUUCCUGUUGUUCUGCCCCCAGGUGAAUUCGGCAUCAUUUUUAAGCUGAAGGAUAGGGGUGAAGGCAUCAAUCUUCCCAGCUAGGUUAGAAAUAAACCUUCGUAAAUAAUUUAUCUUGCUAAGGAACUUCUGCACUUCGACCUUACAGGUCGGAGGUCCCACAUUCCGAAUGGAUUUAAUUCGGUCAGGUUCUACCUCUAUACCAUGUUCAUGAAUGAUGAACCCUAAGAACUUACCAGCUGACACUCCAAAAGCACAUUUACGUGUGUUCAUUUUCAGAUCAUACCGACGAAUUUUAUCAAAGGCUUUGCGCAAAUCAUCUAUAUGAGAACUAAACUCAGCCGAUUUGACUACAAUAUCAUCAAUGUAGACUUCCACAGUGUUUCCCAAUAGCUCGUGAAAGAUCAAAUUCAUAGCCCUCUGAUAAGUAGCACCAGCAUUUUUCAGACCAAAUGUCAUGACAACCCACUCAAAUAAACCAAUGAAGCCUAGACAUAUAAAGGUCGUUUUAGACAAAUCUUCUUCGGCCAUGAAAAUCUGAUUAUAUCUGGCAUUACCAUCAAGAAAGCUAAUAAUUCUAUUCCCUGGCGCAUUAUUGAUUAAUGUCGGCUAUGGGCAUGGGAUAUUCAUCUUUAGGAGUUGCUCUAUUUAAAUUGCGAAAAUCAAUGCAUACUCUAAGCUUACCUGAUUCUUUCUUUUCCAUUGGCACAAUAUUGGAGACCCACUCUAUGUAUCUGCAAGGUCUAAUAAAAUUAGCUUCUAGCAGCCAGUGAAUUUCGUCCUUUAUUCAUGGGAGAAGGUCUAGAUGAAAUGUUCUAGCUUUCUGUUUGAAAGGUCUAAAACUGGACUUAAUGGGCAGUCGAUGAUCUACUAUCUCACGUCUUAAUCCCGGCAUCUCAGUCUAAUUCCAAGCAAAGCAAUCAGAAUAUUCUUUCAAUAGACUGAUCAUUUCAUCUAUAGGAUCGGUCUCUAGGGUCUUAUUCACAAAAGUCGCCUUGGAGUAUUACCAUCUCCUAUAUCAAUCUCCUUCAAAGGAUCAGCCGAUGUAAACCCCUGUCCUAAUUUGUUAAGAUCUCUGAAUUCCUCUAUUAUGUCUCCCACAGAGGAAUUAGAUGAUCUUUGUGUGACGGCGGACCCUCUGGUCUCGGGGGCCGGAUCAUCCGCGACACUGGUUUUAUGCUAUGGUGAAUGUUCGGUCUUAAAAGCUGAACUGUCUUGUAAAAGACCGGACCGUCCGACCUCAGAAGUUGGACUGUCCGCGACCAGAGACUCAUUCAUUCUGUGUACUCAUCAUUUAAACUUUAUUUAGGAUUUAGCUGAUUGUCUAUCGGGUCUAGCAUUACAGGAAUGAAACCCUUUUUAUCUAUAUUUAUGAACUGAUAAUCAGAAAAAUCUACUCCUGUGAGACACGUAGUAGUCUCAUAGGUCCAAAGUACAGGGGCAUCGGCCACAGCGAUACAGGCCGAUGCAUCAACAUGUACUUGCUCUACAUCGUCGCCUUCCCAUUGUAGUAACAUUUGAUGUAACGUAGAAGGUACACAUUGGAUAGCAUGAAUCCAAUCCCUACCUAGGAUUAGACUGUAAUUUCCUUCUACAUCAGCAACGAAUAAUGCAGCAGCAAGGGUCUUAGUCACGAUGGUUAACUCAACGGACAUGACUCUCUUGGCUUUGAUCGAACUAUCAGUUCCAACGCCGCUGAGGGUCAUGUUGGUCUUGACAAGUUCAUCAUCUUGUUUACCUAGUUUUCUGUAUAAUGAAUAAGGCAUUAGAUUUACAGCCCCCCCCAUCUACCAACAUUUUAGCACGGUAUCCCAUUAAUGUGACCGCGCACGAAGAGCGACUUCAAAUGAUUUACCGAUUCCUUUGGUUUAGUGAAGGCGACUUCUUUAGGACCAAAGUCAAACUGAGCAACGACAAGUUCAUCAUCGCCGACAAUAGUACAAUCGGCGGAAAUGUAAUCAAAUUUAUGUUCAUACCUGUGUGCUCUGAAGAAGCCUCGUAGUCGACCAGGUCCUCUCCUAGUAGGUCGUCCUCCUCCAUGGGCGUCGGCACGUCGUUGGAGGUGUCCUGGUGUAGUGUGGGCGGUCCGGACUCGAGAGUCGGACGGUCCGUGUCAUCUGCGGAUGGUCCGACCUUUAUAGCCGGACUGUAUGCCGUACCUGCAGAGAGCUGUGGAGUUGCUGUCUCAUUCUCUAUCUUCGUGGCCGUUUGAUUUAUCUCAACGGCCUUUGGCCUCCACCUCUUUUGCGGUGGGGGGUACUAUGGAUGUGUGUCAUUAAAUAUUUUUCCGCUUCCUUUUCUUGGUUCUCCUUCGCUCUUAGGCACUGUAGUUUUCGCUUUUGGGACCGUGUCAAUCCCGAUGGGCACCAUCGAGGCAUAGAGUAUUUUGGAUCGGCUAUUUUGAUGGCAGUUGUAUCUUUUUUUGUUUGUGUUGGCCGAUUCACCAAAAAUCAUCGGUCCUUCAUUAUUUUCCUGUAUGACAACAUCUGUUGUACCUAUUUUGAUGAUGUCCUUUUUUGUCGUUCUCUCAGUUGCUGUAGGUAUAUGCCCCCCUGUUGGAUUGGUCGGCCUUUGCGGCCGAUUAGUCCGGUAAUCUUGCUGGGCUUGUGCCUGGUGAACGGAUUGAGUGGCGCUCAAUUGGUCUUGUACUAGUGGUGCCAACCUGAUGAAUACAGAUACUUGGGGUGCCCCCCAAGCAGGAUACUGUGGCAUCCCAAAUGGAUAUGGUGGCAUACCCCACAUUUGAUUUGGUGCGUAUGGCAGUGGUACAUAUGCAUAUUGAUAUGGCAUAGGUAGAUAUGGGAGUGGAUGUGUCCAUGCAGUUAUGCUAGGCCUCAACUGGACAGUAUGACCUUCCAUUUUUUCCGAUUGGUGAGGUGGUCCAAUCGGUCUUACCUGCUGUUGCUCCUGUAUGGGCGAGCGAGGUCGCUUCGCUGGCUGGUCACUUGGAACGGCCUUCUUUUUUACAUAUGUCGGGGACCAUAAUUAGGGGUACCCUCAAGGCUCCUAAUUCUCAGCUGGUAACCCCCAUCAGCAUAAAGCUGCAAAGGCCUGAUGGGUGCGAUUAAGUCAGGGAUCAGUCCAUUCGAGGGACUCGAUCAUGCCUCGCCUGAGCCCAGCCUCGGACAAGGGCAGCCGACCCCAAAGGAUUUCCGUCUCGCACGAGGCCCCCCUCCAGCGGCGAAUAUAUUUCCGGCUCGCCCGAGGCCCUAUCUUCGCCAAGAAGCAACCAUGACCAAAUCACCGCACCGACCGACCAAAUCGCAGGAGCAUUUAAUGCAAAGGUGGCCUGACACCUUUAUCCUGACUUGCGCCCCCCAGCCGGCAGAGCCGAAGCGACCGCCGUCACUUCGCCGCUCCACUGACCGGCCUGACAGAAGGACAGCGCCGCCUGCGCCACUCCGACUGCGGUGCCACUUGACAGGGUGAGAAUGACAGGCAGUCAGGCCCGGCCGAAGGCACCAUAGGAAACUCCGCUCCGCCCGACCCAGGGCUCGGACUCGGGCUAAGUCCUGGAAGACGGCGAACUCCGCUCCGCCCGACCCAGGGCUCGGACUCGGGCUAAGUCCCGGAAGACGGCGAACUCCGCUCCGCCCGACCUAGGGCUCGGACUCGGGCUAAGUCCCGGAAGACGGCGAACUCCGCUCCGCCCGACCCAGGGCUCGGACUUGGGCUCAGCCCUAGAAGACGACGAACUCCGCUCCGCCCGACCCCAGGGCUCGGGCUCCGCCCUGGCCUCAGCUGACGGCCUCCGCCUCGCCCGACCCAGGGGCUCGGACUCGACCUCGGCCACGGAAGGCAGAUUCGACCUCGGCCACGGAAGACAGACUCGACCUCGGCCACGGAAGACAGACUCGACCUCGGCUUCGGAGGAGCUUCCACAUCGCCCAACCUAGGGCGCAGACCCACCACGUCAACAGGAGGCACCAUCAUCACCCUACCCCGAGCUGACUCGGGCCGCAGGGAACAAGACCGGCGUCCCAUCUGGCUCGCUCCGCCAGAUGGGCGAUGAUGGCGCCUCGCAUACUCUGUGACGACGGCGGCUCUCAGCCCCCUUACGGAAGCAAGAGGACGUCAGCAAGGACUCGACAGCCCUGACAGCUGUCCCUCCGCAAGGAUCCAGCACUCCUCCGACGGCCACGACAUCACACCAGCUGGGUGCCAAAAUCUCUCCGGCUGCCACGACGGCAUGUACUUAGGGCGCUAGCUCUCCUCCGCUAGACACGUAGCACUCUGCUACACCCCCAUUGUACACUUGGAUCCUCUCCUUACGCCUAUAAAAGGAAGGACCAGGGCCCUCUUAGAGAGGGUUGGCCGCGCGGGGACGAGGACGAGACAGGCGCUCGCUCGGAGCCGCUCGCUCCCUCACCCGCGUUGACGCUUGUAACCCCCUACUGCAAGCGCACCCGACCUGGGCGCGGGACAAACACGAAGGCCGCGGGAUUCCCACCUCUCUCACGCCGGUCUCCGGCCGCCUCGCUUUUCCCCCUUCGCGCUCGCCCUCGCGCUCGACCCAUCUGGGCUGGGGCACGCGGCGACAUUCACUUGUCGGCUUAGGGACCCCCCAGUCUCGAAACGCCGACAACAUAUUGAGACAAUAACUGGUUAAAGGUUGGGCCGGAUCUUACCAGUCGGCCAGCUGCCUUUACUGUGUUAGUUUUCCACGUACCUAUUUCUGGUCGUCGUGGUUUGAAGGUACGUGGUCGUUGUGGUUCCUGGGUGUUGCCGAACCGUCCACAAGAAUGGUCUGGACUUUCUGGCGGUGUCCCAGACCAUCCGCGUCUAUGCGUCGGACCGUCCGCGAUGCACAAAAUAGGUGUACGCGCCUGGUCCCUUGCUUGCAUCCGCCCCCCAGCGUUGGAGGUGGUGAUGGUAACUUUCAAAGUCUCCCCUCCUUUAGGAGUCUUUUCCGCCACCACUUUCCUGUAAGAGAUUUUAUUAUUCUCAUUGGCCUUCCGCGCGUCGCCAAUGAUGACUUCUUUGCCUUUGCCCUUAUCGGCUGUGCUGGGCUAAAUUAGGACCUUUUUGCCCUCGAAGUCGAUCACAUUCAUUGGGAAGGGUUCCGUAUCCACCUGCAUUUCCUGAAAUUUCAAUCGUCCCUCGUUAAUGGCUGAUUGAAUUUGUCGUCGGAACACAUUACAAUCAUUAGUGGCAUGAGAAAAUGAGUUAUGCCACUUGUAGUAUGCACGGCGUUUUAGUUCGCGGCAGAUGGAACAGUAUGAUUUAUUUUAAUGUUGCCAUUUUUGAGUAAUUCAUCAAAUAUUUUGUCACAUUUGCCAACAUUAAAUGUAAACUUAACCUCCUCUUGUCGUUUCUUUUGAACCGGCUGUAAGGAGGAACAAGCCGAAGAUUUGGCCUGCUUUGGCCAAACCAUUUCAGCCGCGUAUACUUCUGUUGAUUCGUCAUCCGAGCUGCUUUGGUCUCGCUCUACUAUAUGCACGUUGUGAUGAACUGUUUUAGCAGUUUCUUUGCUUCGGCUUUCACAAGCCAAAGCUCUUUGAUGUAAUUGUGCUAGCGUAAAAAACUGGAAACCUUCUAAUCUUUCCUUUAAAUAAUAUCGUAGUCCAUUAAAGGCUAAUCCUGCUAGUUGUUUGAGUUAUGUGGUGCAUUACUAUUUGCCCUAUAUGGUUCAUAGGAUUGACCGUUCCUUUCCGGCCUUCUAAGCGGGGCCGGAAAGUACUCGCCCUCGUGGGCUUGGGAUUUUGUAUUAAGGUACAGGGGUGCCGUAGGAUAUGAUGGGAAGUUUUGCUGGGACGAAUUGGGAUCCAAGUAACAAUCCCCCUCAAAAAAUUAUGCGCCGGACUGUCUGGUUGGAUACGCGGAUCGUCCUGUGGUAUGCGCGGACUGUUCGGUCACGUGGCCGGACCGUCCGUUGUUGUAUGCGGACCGUCCGUCGCUAUAUGCGGACGGUCCGACUGGGUAGUUUAGGGUUUGUGCAGUACGUGGUUGCUCGGGCGCAUGUCUCGGUAACUCAGUAAAAAUGGGACCGGCCGUUGCUGGCCCGGACGGUCCGCGCUCACGUGUGGACGGUCCGGAUAUGUGCAAAUCAGCUAAUAUAUUGCUGAUGUAAAUAGGAGGUUGUGGUUGCUCGGGGUAUGUGUCUAUCAGUAUCCCAUAAAAGGGUUGUGAUUGGUCGUGACAACUUGUAGCCGAUGAAUUACACGUGUUUUCCCCCAAUUCAACCUCGUGCGAAGGAAAAUUUGCGACGGUAGAUUUAUCGAACACACGUACUAGCCUCCUAUAAUCCUUUUGCAUACCCCCUAUGAUAUUUUGCAUUUGGUCUCGCUUCUCAUCUAUAUAAAUUUUAAGAGAUUGGAGCUCGUUUGUGUUGCUUACCUCGGGGGUAGUCGUGGUAGGUCGAAGCGAAGCCAGAUCUGUCACCCAUUGCCGAACGACUUUGUUGUUCCUGUCCACCUUGAAGUUCACCAGGAACUUCGCCUUUGCUUCUUGGAUCAGCUGCUCUUUGUGCUCCUCAAACUGCAGAUGUUCAUCAGCCGACAAGGUUUCCCAAGUUGGCUCUAUGGUGUUGCUGGGGGAGACUUCAGAGUUAUCCCUUGAACCGGCCAUUGAGGGCCGAUCUGACAGGUCUAUAUGUGAUGUCCCCAGCAGAGUCGCCAAAAAGUAUGUUGACACCUUUUCGGGCACCAAUCACUAUAACAAGAACCGGCGGCGGUGCUCUCUACACAGGCGCGAACGGUCCACGGCUAGGGGCCGGACGGUCCAAGACCUGGCUGUCACACCCGGUUUUGGAAGGCAAACCGAAUGUGAACCAUGUACGUGCCAGGAUCAGAACUCACGUACACAGCGAUUACAUAAUUGGACAUCAUCACACAAUUGAAGCGUCCCCAAUCCUCUGGGACUCAAAUGUGAUACAAUUACUAGUCCCAGGAGGCUAGUAAACACAUUUAUACAUCAGAUGAUUCCAGAUAUGCUUAAAUGAGACAAACCUAUAAAUGUGACGAUCAACUUUAAGAGUUGGUCCACAACUCGGGACAUAUCAUCAGAGUAAGGCUGAAGCAGCCCGAUAUACGCAGCGAAGCAAAUCAGCGGUGCAACAGCCACAUGCAAGGUUGGGAACAGUCGUAACUCUUACCCGAUCUCCUUUUUCUGAAAAACAACAAAUAAGCAAGGGUGAGUACAAACGUACUCAGCAGCCCACCUUCACCCGUGGAAUGGGGAAAUCAGAUAUAAUGCAUGGAAUAUGUGGAGCUCAGGAUAUUUUGCAGAAAUAGCAAUAUUUUAUGCAGGGUUAUUUUGAAAAACAUUUUGUAUUUUUGCAAAGCGCAUCCUCUCCAAAAGAAGUAGGAAGUUUUUCAAUAUUAGAACAAAAUCCCCUGGACUAAACCAUCCAGGUAUCUCAGCAGUUUCCCACUGGUUUUCCUUUUCAAAAACAGCUACUGGACUUCCCGUCCACCAUAGCUCACGGCUCAACCGUCGAACCUUUUAAAACCAUUUUUCUCAAACGCACCCUUUUUUGAAAACAAAACAUUAAUUGCCAUACCAUACCAGACUCGUCCAUUCCUGUGGACACGGACUAUUCGAAUAGGUUUUCAAACUCUGCGCAGAGGUGUACACUUUACCCACUAGUCCGGCUCUGCGAUCUCAUAGCUAGCGAGACCCGAAUCCGAAUCUCUUUCUUUCCCCACACGUCCUAACCUUAACGGUUAUCCGGAAGGAGUCAGGCCGCCACCAUGUUCAAACCGGACAAAACUUUCCCCCUCCUUAUCCUCCCGGUGCUCCCCAGCCUUCAUAACCCUGGGGUCGGACCGCACGAGUUCAGAUUGAGUGACUGCCCACACAGUCUCGAGUGGUUGUACUAUUAAAGAGUACAGGUAGUGAAGAUGACAAAUCGGUCCUUAUAUGAGGGGACAAUCCUUCUGCUCACGCCUAAACCAGCUGAGCCAACACCUUAGGCCCUUCCCUAAACCAGGGAGUCCCUGAUUAUCCCACUCACAAGGUGAUAAGGGUGAAAACCCUUCAUCAUACACAUUUUGAAAAGCAUUUUCUUUUGAAAACUCACACCUUUUCUCAAAUCAUUUGGAACAUAUAUAUCAGGGAUUGAUUGUGGCAAGCGGCUUGGGUGGCCAUAAUAACUUGUCUCAAAAUCAUAUCAUGCAUAAAAUAACAGGCUGAGGGUUGUGGUUGAAAAAUCAUAGGUAAUUUAUGCAUCAAAGGGAUCCAGUGAGCUUGCCGUGCUUAUCCAGCGAAGGGGGAAGGAGAGCUCGCGGAACUGGCUUCUAGCUCCACCGCCUGGCGUAGACUUGCAGAUCUGGCCUCCACGAGACGGCACGAAUGCUUCGAUAACUAUGCAACAUGAAUAAGCAAACAUACAAACAAGCAUGUAUACCAACAAAUAUUUAGCAUAGUGGUCAGAAUAGUGAUAUAUGGAUGGGUAGAGUCUUGAGUAGAAUCUGUGUCAUGUGGUGUUGUGAUAUUACUGGUGGUGGAGCGGAGGUGCUUACGAGGAGGGUGGACUGGAGGCGAAGCGACACUAUGCGUGUAGCCGGCAGAGCAGAGUAACUGAGUGGGUGGGGUGUUUGCCUUGGCUGAGGGUGUUGAGUGUGUGUGGAGAGGGAGAGGGUAGCUGGGUGUAUGUGGUGUAGCACAGUGAAGUUCACUGUUGGUGAGAAUAGUGACGAAUGAAUCGUCUGACUUAGUAUGAACAGGAGAGUUAUAGGCAGAAUAUGGGACAAGAGUAUUUUGGGAGUUUUCUGGAAUAUGAACCAUGCUUAAGGGAUGGCAUGGUUGGAUAGGGAAUAGUUUGAUAAGAAUUUAGAAACGAGAAUUAUUGGAAUCUGAGUUUGGAAGCCUGGUUCGAAGGAAUCUCAAGUUAAGCGUGCUCAACUUGGAGAAACCUAGGAUGGGUGACCAGAUGGGAAGUUCCCACUGGAAGGAAAAUCACAGUUACUGGAGUUUGUAUAACUGGAAUAUGGGUCUGGCUGGUCUUAGGUGGACUGGACAACAUGAUGGAUGAGUAGUUGAAAUUUGGGGUGAUCGGAUGAUCGAUGAAUAGUAACGGUAAAAAGUAACGGUAAAUAGUGAGAGUAAAUAGUGACGGUAAAUAGUAACAGUAAAUAGUGACGGUAAAUAGUAACGGUGAAUAGUAACGAUGAAUAGUAACGGUGAAUAGUAACGGUAAUUAGUGAUGGUGAUUAGUUCGUAUGAACGAACGAUGAACGGUGAAUAGUGACGAUGAACGAACGAUGAACGAUCGAAUGAUCGAACGAACGAACGAUCGGAAUUUCGGCAGCAUAACGGCAGGAAAAAGAUUAUUUGGACGAACGAACGGACGAACGAUCGAACGAUCGGACGAAUGGAUGAACGAACCAUGAACGAUCGGACGAACGAUCAAACGAUCGGACGCACGAACGAUCGGAAUUUCGGCAGCAUAACGGCAGGAAAAAGAUUAUUUGGACGAACGAACGGACGAACGAUCGAACGAUCGGACGAACGAACCAUGAACGAUCGGACAAACGAUCGAACGAUCGGACGAAUGAACGAACAAACUAAGAACAGGGGGACGAACGAUCGAAGAACGACCGAACGAUCCUUGUGCUAGUGUGUGCAUGUGUGGGAAGUGGAGUGGGAGUGGGAGUGGGCGUGUGGGUGUGGGGGGAGAGAGUUGCCAUGAAAUGGCUUGGGGUGGGAUGAGAGGAGGCCCUUGCCCCUCUAUUUAUAGCCAUGGUGGGGUAUUAGGGGGAGGGAUGAGAGGAUUAGUGGGAGGAUGAGAGGAUUAGUGGGAGAUUAGCAUGGAUUUGUCUUAUAUGAGUGUAAUUAGCUUGUAGAGCUUACCGUAUGACACCGGAGGCAUACGUAUACGUAUGAGCAUGAAGAAAGUUAUGAAGAAAAUAUUUGUGGGGGCUUGAAAAAUGAUUCUGAAGGUAUUUCUUAGGAAGAAAAUACUUGGAGAUAUAUCGGUGGAAUAUUUGGGUAGUAUUUCUGAAAGAGUUUGAGGGUGAUCACUGGGGAAAUAUUUGUAGGAUAUUUUGAGGAGGAUUUUAGAGAGAAUAUAGACCACUAUACUUUAUUUGUUGAUAUCAACUCGCAAACAAACAUUUUGAAAUGAAAUUUGAAACUCAUUUUGAAUUUAGAGCGAGUUUGAGAAAAUUUCAGGAUUUGAAUUUUUGGGAUGCUACAACAAUGCUCAAAGUAAAUAGCGGAAAGAUACUUUAUUUACAUCAAGAUGUCCAAGACAUCCAUAGAGUCUAAUACAUAGCCAUAGUCUUCAACAUUAAUAUCAAAGUGCGGAAAUAUGAAACGUAGAGGGUAAGCCUACAUAGGCAGCUGACUGGGGGUUUGCCACUAAGAUAAACUAGAACUCAUCGUAGUCCUGGAACUCCUCAAAGUCCUCCAUGUUUCCAUCAUCUCCUCCUGAGCACUGAGUACAGUGGGGACAACCUGGGGUGAGGUGGUUUGUAAAGCAAGGGUGAGUACACAUCAAGGUACUCAACAAAUGUCCUGUUUGGCUAAAGUGGACUAGUUGUAUGUAGAGUUAAGGUUAAGAAGUUGCUUUUAGUUGGUCAAGUUUUUAUUACUAUAAGUAGAGCCAGAUUUUAGUAAUAAACCCAGUUAUUACCCAGAAGCACUCCCUCCAAGAGGAAAUACCAGAGAUCAAAAUUAUAACCAUCAUUGCCAACCAUCAUCAUAAAAGUAACCAAAGUUCUUCUAAUCAAAGAGGAUCCCAAGGCCACUCUUAACCGUGAGCAUGGCUGAUAUACCAGUUUCUAACACUGUGCAGAGGUCGCACACUUUACCCACAAGUCGUGAUUCUCAUUCUGCUCGGGGUUCUAGCCUCCCCAUUGAUCACUACCAAGGUGACCUAGCAGGGUCUCACUAUGUAGCCUUUACAAAGAUUUCCCAGAGGUCAUAGUCGCCCGUUAGGUUUCUCUAGUUUGAUAAAUACAGUACAUCUCCCCAAAGGAAGGGUGACUAACAAAACCAAAUCAAGAACCUCUGCAACCAGCCUCGGCAGAGAAAGAACUGUGCCCAGACCCCCAAUGAUGGCCCUACGGCGAAGCCAAAUACUUCUCUGGUUCCUCUAAUUAAUUAGCUAAGGGCGUCCAAUUCCACCCUCAUGGUUGCACUGUUAUCCCGGGUUGUCACUCCCCAAACAGGUCCUUACGGAGAGGUACUCAGGAAACAGCCUGAGUCCCCUAAAGUAUCACAAGAACAUCAUCGGGAUAACAUCAUCGUAUCAUAAUAUUCACAUCAUGUUCAUUGAUUAAAGUAAAGCAAUAGCAUAAAGCUAAUAAUGAUAACCCAAAAGGUAAACAAGGGUAAGGUAAAUACAGACUAGUCAAUCCUUAGGUUUCAAUAAUGUAAUGUAGGACGGUGAAUUAUAAGUAUGUAGGACAUAAUAGGUCAGAGGACACUUGCCUUCACCAGGUUGUUGCACAGAAAGAUCUUCAGCAACACACUAAGGAACCACGGACUACUCGUUGUCUAAAUAAAGCGAUCAUGUAUUCAAUACAUUUGGUAAAUGACAAAUAAACAACACAUCAAUCAUGUACAAACAUGGGAACACAUCUCAAAAGAAAAGCAUAAACCCAAAAGGGAAAUCAAAUUAUAGGUGAACUAAUUCUCAUUUAGUAGUUAAUUAUUCCCUAAGUACUGUCAAUGAUUACAUAAUCUAAUUUAAUUACUUUCAAUGAGACAUAAAAAUUAAACCAAAGAUAAAUUCAUGUACUACACACUAUUAAUCCUACAAGAUUAAGUAUACUUUAAUCUCUAGGGUUUCCCUUUUAUUUAUUUUAUUAAAUGAAUAAAUCUACACAUAUACUAGUUCAUAGUUAACCAUAAAAAUUAGAGUGUGCAAGUAGUAAAUGUAACUAAUUUAUUUAAACAGAGAAUAUUCCUAUGAAUAUUUUGCAAUUUGAAUCACUAAAUUUGGAGUUCAUAUGCAAAAGAUAUGAAAUAAACAAGUUUGGAAAUUUAGAAUAUGAAAAUAGGUCUAAUUCUGUAAUUAUUUAAAAGCCAAGGGUUCAAUCUGCAGGAUUGCAGGGGCCUGCGUGCGAAAACCAGGGACGGCGGGUUGAUUCCCAACAAACCGAGGGUUUCUUACGCAAAAUAAUCACGCGAAGGGGUACGGGAUCUACUCAAUCGUCAGAUCUAAAACUAACGGCUAAGACUAGAUCAGCGGGCGAGGGCGCGCGCGGGCGAGCGAGCGCUGACAGGUGGGCCAGCGGUGUCAGCGAUCGAGAAGAGGGCGGACUGACCGAUUGGGCCCAGUGCCAGGGGGCACAGGGCUGACAGGCAGGUCCGGACGUGGGGCGCGCGUGCACAAAGCGGUAUCCCGUGAUCUAGGUCGUGCGAUAGAGAUCAGACAGGGAGAUCAAAGCCGGGGAGGGGUUAACGACUGCGGCGGCGCCGCUCCUUCUCGCGGCGGUGAGGUCGCCGGAGUUGAGGCGGGUGCGAGCUAUGGCGGCUCCGAGGUCGCCGGAGCCAGCCAAAAACGAAGGGGAAGGCACGACGAACUCACUGGUAGGGUUGUGACCGUGAGACCGGGGUCAGAGAGGGGAGAAUGGCUGAAGGAGGACUCCGGGCGGGUCGGGGUAACUCCGGUGAGGGAUUCCGGCCACGGGGAGGGGGUCUGAGGCGCGCUAAGGCCUGGACUAACUUCAGCAGGGUGAGGGGAACACCAGGCGACUGGACGACUGGCGUGGCAGGUGCGGGUCUCUAGUGAGGUCGAAUGGCGUGGGCAGAUCGCAAGAGAGGGCAAGGCUAUGCGAAAUGGGACGGGGGAGCGAGUGCGGGUGCGGGCGGUGCUCAAAAAGGAGAUGGGGUGCGUGGGUGGGCGACAUGGCCGGGGAUCUCGGCAUGCGUGCGCGAGUGCGCGCGUGUUGGUCCACGGCGGGCGCGGUGAAGGCGGAGCUGACAUGGCGGUCCCACGGCGCAGCGAGAGAGAGCGGGCGCGCGGGGGUAACGGUUCGGCACACUGACGAGACGGGCCAGCGAGGCAGAGGGGAGAGGGGCGCAUGGGUGAAGGCAACUAGCGCCGAUAGCCCGACCCCAUUGGGCAGAGAGAGGGAGAGAGAGAGCGUGUGGGGAAGGGAACCGCCGCUGACAGGUGGAGCCCACCUGUCAGGCGGCACGGGCGCACGGCCUGGCUGGGCCGAGCUGGGCCGGCUGGGCUGCUUUGGCCUUUUCAUUUUUCCUGGAAUUUCUAUUUGCUUUUCCAUUUCUUUUUUUCUAGGGUUUUCAAUUCAAAUUCGAAUCAAGUUUCAAAUUCAAACUAAUACAAACAUGUGCAACAAUUCAAAGAAUAUUUAAGGUCAGCAUGAUGCAACAUGUCAUGACUCACAAUGUUUUGGCAAAAACAAAUAAUUAAUCUCUCCUAAUUAAGCUAACUCUACUCAAAAGGGAAAAGGAGAGAGAGAAUCUAGAGAUAGAUAGAAACUAGAGAGAGAGAAGAGUAACACCUGAAUUUGGGUGAUAAUUAGAAAGAAAUUUUAUACCCCCAAAUUCAGGGUGUUACACUGGCGCAGGGCUAGGGUUCCUUAUCUGACGUGCCGGACGGUCCGCGCCCUAGGGCCAGACGGUCAGAGCGUGCGCAGGGGCGCCGAAGGUCACCGGCGGCGCCUGGAUCUCGCUCCCAGAAGGGACCCCAUCGGGGAGGAGAGACCGAGAGAUCAUAGGUGUUGUCUAGGCUCAGCAGGCCGACCUAGACUCCUCUGAUCGACAUAGAGUCAAGGAGAAGCAGAGGAUUUGGGGAUUGGGAGACUAAACUAGAACUAGACUAGAACUACUCAUAAAUGUACAAGAAAUAAAUGUGAGAUAAAUUGAUUAUUGAUUCGAUUGAUGAUGUUUAAUCGGUCGUAUUCCUCUGUAUUUAUAGAAUAGGGGGGCUGGACCCGUUACGAACAAAUCUCCCGAGUUAUUUCAGUGAAUCUAGCCAACAACAAUAGUGAGAAACUCGAAACCCUAAUUGACUCUGCGCACGCGUGGACUAUCCGGACCACCAGUGCGGACCGUCUGGACCGCGGACCAUCCGGCCGUCUCUUUUGGGGCUCAACAUAGCGCGCGCAGAAGAAUCGCGCAGGAGAUUAGGGCCACGACGGUGGCUGGGUGGGGGGAGGUCCACGACGGCAGCCGACCAGGGAUGAGUGACGGCGGCUGGGGUGGGGGAGGGUCGCGACGGCGGCUAGAAAAUUAGUGGAACCCUAAUCAUAACCUCCUUUGUUACCAUGUUACUAACCUUGGGAUUGACAAUAGAUGAUUAGUCCCUAAGGACUAUAUGUUAUAUAUAUAGGCAGUAGGCUAGGGUCUAAUGGGCCUUAACAAUGAGUACCUCAUCUGAAGGUACUGUGAUCAUACUGAUCAAGCAUUGGUUUUAGUUUAGAAUUGUUAGAUCAAGAAUUGGUUUCAGUUUGGUACUUUGGUUUCAGUUUAGAGUACCUCAUUUGAAGCUACUGCUGUUUGAGAAUUGAGACUUUGAGUCUACUAAUUGAUGCUUUGAUUACCUACUGUUGUAGUGUUGUAGUUCUAGGACCCUGUUUGAAGUAUAGUGCAUAUAACUAUAUAUAAUUAUAUAUGUCCUGAUUAGUACAGGGCGUUUAGGACGAUCAGUCACCGAUUAAUCGUCCUGGUCAACGUCCUAAUCGUGAUUAGUCGCCUAAUCGGUCACCAUCAACGACCUGGUGACUAGGCGACUUGAAAUCCAUGCACUUCAUCUUCUUCCUCCCUCUCAUAUUGACCAUCAAAUCCCACAUUUCAUACAUUAAGUGAAUACAUGGUGUGUUGGUGCCCACCAUACCUAUCAUUUCAUAUAUAGUAGUAAUCCUAAGAAUGUAGUUCACCUCAUCCCACCGUACAUCACUAAGUAUCCUGUCCUUCACAAGUUGGGCAGUUGGAGCAUCAUCUCUGUAGACUGUAGAUGCUGAUUGUUGGAGGGUUGUUUUUACUUCAACAAACUGUUUCAACAUACAUACAAUUGAGGCAAAUCUUGUUUCAUGAAUCGAAAGUAACUUCAAAAGGCUAAACUCAUUGAACAUUAAAAGCUGCAUGCCAAUUAUUUAUCAUAGCAGCCUCAGUUUUAAAAUAGCAAGAUCGAGGGUAUGCACAACAUGUGGUGUCCAAAAUAUGUUAUCAUAUUCAUCUUCUAUUACGACCCCAGCACCUUUGCAGUUUGCGGUGUUGUCUGUAAUGAUUUGUACCGCAUUGUUGACCUACUUCAAUAACACCCCCAACUUAUCAGCAAUGUAUUCUUUUGAUUUGUAUUUACUCACCUUGACAAUUAUCAGCCCUCAAGAACAAUGAUGCCUUCUCAGAAACAGCAAUAAAAUUAAUGAUUGGUCACCUCUGUGGAUCCAACCAACCAUCAGUGCAGAUUGUGACUCCCUUCUCUGCCCAUAUCCUGUAGCUCCACCUGUUCCUGCACCAACAUCGUCUAUGCCACAUGUGGUAGCAGGUGGUGCAUCUACAAUGUCUCCUAUGCAGUUUGUAGGAACUCCAGGCACUAAUAUGCCAAAGAAUGACAUGAGAAAUGUUAUGGACAAUAGAAAAAGGAAGUAUGCACCACCCCCGUUGCAAUCAUUCAACAGUCAUUUUAUGAAGUUAUUUGUACAUGCAUUGUUUUCUUUCCUUGCUAUUUUGUCUGUGCUAUGAAAUCAUUGGUGAACUAUUAUUUUUGAAGGACAUGAUCCAAUUCAGUUUGAUUUAUGGCCACUCUUCCAAUAUAGAUCAUGAAGAUUCUCCUUUCCUUACAGGAAAGAUGAUUGAGACUCUCAACAUGUUUUUUAGGGAAGCUAUAUCCACUUCCCCAUUCACUCUGGUUGCUCUUCUUCAUUGAUGAUGGUGGAGAAAUACUUCUACUUUACUACUCUAAUCUUUGGCCCAUUAUCCCAGUAAAAUUUAUCUGAAGUUCUGUCAACAAUGCAUAUUGAGUCAAGUGUUAUUCGUCCCAUUGUGCAAAUAAAGACUGGAUAAAGACUAGUCAAUUGAAAUGUGAACGUCAUGUAGCUGUGACUGAAUCUGCAUAUUUCUUUAGAGCUUAUAAAUGUGAUAUGAAUGUUUCAUAAAACUAUUGUUUGGCUGAUGAUAUGUAUACAUCUUCGUCGCAGGAUGGGCUAAUUGAAAUUCUUGCAACUUUUCAACGGACACUGCCGAAUUCGAGCACAGUUGCUGCCUCUGGAGCCUUAUUAUUUCAUUUUGUUUUAGUGCUGGUUAUUUGGCCAAGUAGUUGAGGGUUCGCGAGUUUUUAGAAUGGAAGCUUCUGUGUGAACAUAAGGUUGACUUAUUCCUUGUGGUUCGGGUUGAUGAUAAGUGAUUGUCAAUGGGUAGCACUCUGGGAUAGUCAGUGGACUGAUCAGAGUGUGAGAUUAUGCUUGUGCAACCAUGUCGGUCGACUUGUGGUGUGCAGGUGUGGAGCACAGUAACGGUGGUCGAUGGCUGAGGUGAAGGUCAUGCGAGCUCGUGCUGAUGGACCGGGAGCGGUGAAGGGCGAGUGUUGGGUCUUGACUGACGGAUCAGAGCAACCAGGUGACCAACCAUGGUGGCUGACACCUAGGACACGCACUUGUGUGAGGACGUGGUGGAGUGGACCGUGUUGCCGGCGUGGUCGAGGACUGGCGGGACACGCGUCUAAUCGUGGAGGACGUGCACGAGGUGCGGUGCUCAUGGCAGGUUUAUUGGUUUGGGCCUCAAAACCACCCAGCGCUACGGAUGGCUGAUUUUGCUGAGUUUGGGCCUCAAAACUCGGCGGUGGCGGUUUCAGAGGGAACUAGUGGCGGCACGCGGUAUGAUCGCGGAGGGUGCGUCAAGGCGAAGCAACUCCGUGUGAAGGACGUGGCCGUCGGAUCGAAAACUUAGGAGUUGGUCCAUUUUGCCCCCCGGUGGAGUGGAUAAGCUAUAUAUAAAACAAUUAUAAGUGAUAAAAUACCUCAAGCAAUGCAAUUUCUUUUGCCAUCUGAAAGUAAUUGAAAGUCGCCUAGAGGGGGUUAAUAGGCAAAUCUGAAAUUUAUAAACUUUAAGCACAACUACAAGCCGGGGUUAGCGUUAGAAAUAAAGUCGAGUCCGAAAGAGAGGGCGAAAACAAAUCACAAGCAAAUGAAGAGUGUGACACGGUGAUUUGUUUUACCGAGGUUCGGUUCUUGCAAACCUACUCCCCGUUGAGGUGGUCACAAAGACUGGGUCUCUUUCAACCCUUUCCCUCUCUCAAAUGGUCACCUAGACCGAGUGAGCUUUUCUCCUCAAUCAAUUGGGACACUUAGUCCCCACAAGGACCACCACACAAUUGGUGUCUCUUGCUUUGAUUACAAAUGUCUUGGAAAAAAGAAUGGGGAAGAAGAAAAGCGAUCCAAGCGACAAGAACUCAAAUGAACACAAAUAUCUCUCUCUCACUAGUCACUAUUUGUUUGGAGUGAUUCCGGACUUGGGAGAGGAUUUGAUCUUUGCUUUUGUGUCUUGGAGUGAAGUCUAGAGCUCUUGUAUUGAAUGUGUUGGCUGAAAAACUUGGAUGCCUUGAAGUGUGGUGGUUGGGGGGUAUUUAUAGCCCCAACCACCAAGGUGGCCGUUGGGAGGGGCUGCUGUCGAUGGGCGCACCGGACAGUCCGGUGCGCCACCGGACACUGUCCGGUGCGCCAGCCACGUCACCCAACCGUUAGGAUUCGACCGUUGGAGCUCUAACAUGUGGGGCCACCGAACAGUCCGGUGGUGCACCGGACAGGUAUUGUUCACUGUCCGAUGCACCUUCUGGCGCCUGCUCUGACUCUGCGCGAACUGUCCGCACACUGUAGCAUUGUCAGCCGACCGUUGAACUCGACCGUUGCGCUGGCGACCGUUGCUCCGCUGGCACACCGGAUAGUCCGGUGCUACACCGGACAGUCCGGUGAAUUAUAGCGGAGUGGCUCCCUAAAACCCCGAAGCUGAGCAGUUCAGAGUGGAUCUCCCUGGUGCACCGGACAGUCCGGUGCGCCAGACCAGGGUAGCCUUUGGUUGGUUUUGCUCCUUUCUAUUUGAACCCUUUCUUAGACUUUUUAUUGGUUUGUGUUGAACCUUUGCCACCUGUAGAACUUAUAAUCUAGAGCAAACUAGUUAGUCCAAUUAUUUGUGUUGGGAAAUUGAACCACCAAAAUCAUUUAGGAAAAGUUUGACACUAUUUCCCUUUCAGUAAUCAAAUAAGCCAUUAUUUAUAUUUCUGCAGAACUGGGAACUAAUUCUGGUGUUGUAGAUGAGGUAAUACUUGAUCCUUGAACUCCAAGCCCAAGAUUCACUUGGGAAGAUAUAUAGGAAUUCUGUGAAUUAAACUACAUAAAUAAAUUGAUCAGUGUGCAAAAGAAAAAGAAGUAGAACCACAAAAAGGCAUUAGGUGAAAACAAGCGAGUAUUUUUUUACAGAACUAUUCUACAAUGGAAAAAAAUACGGGCAACACAUUUGGAAACUUAUUUCACAGAAAUACAAUGUUUGUUUGCUCUUCUGUAUCACAACUAUAUUUUGAAUAAUGUAAACUACGUCCAUUGUCAUUUUAAAUCAGAAAAUAGACCUCUUAAAGAAUUUGUAUCGAAACCUAAACUUAUAUCAUCAUCCCAUUUCACAAACCUACACAUUUCAAAGUGCAGCUUGAGACAUAGAAUGAUGAAAAAAGCAUAGUUCGUUAUACAAAUUGCCAGGAGAAUAGUUCUGUAAUAUGAGAGCACAAUGGGAUUGUUAUGAAAUUAAUAGUAGCUUUGAGAUGAAAAGGUACAAGAAAUUUUAGUGCUACAAAACAACUUUGUAAAAAUGCAGUUUUGCAAUUGGUGCUUACCAUGUGUCGAGGUUAGCCUAGUUUUGUGAUUGCUAGGAGAAUCUUACUAAUCAUGGGCAGUCCCCAUUAAACCACGAUCACAUAUAAUCUUUAGCUUCCUUAUUUUGUAAAAGGGAAUAUAUUCAUAGCCCAACCAUCCUUUUUCUUCAAAGAUGCUGCAAAUCUGCCAAGGUUAGCACUCAUAUCCAUAAUGUUUCGAAAGGAAUCCUUUUGUAUCUCAGACUCCAUAAGCUUCCAGUACUGAAUUACUCUUGAAUGCCAAAUCUCAUGCAUGCGUGAAGUCAUCUAGGAACAGCUUGCUCUACAAGUUGUCGAACAUGUGCCUCAAUAGGUUCCUACAAAUAAAAAGAUUCAACGUCACCACAGAAUGAAGUAGCGCUUCAGCUCAAUGAAUCCAUAGAAUUCUUGGACUAGAUUUCCCCCUCCUUAGGAUUUUUGGUUCUUAGGUUGGGGCAACAUGAUGGGGGAAAAGAUGGAUUUUUUAGAGCCGUGAGCUUACUUGAACAUUAUGAUGGCGCUAAUGAAGGUUGGCUAGAGGGCGGCGCCCUAGAAAGUGGCAAAGGAGAGGACGUGAGCCAGCUUGGUGGAUGUGACGGAGCCUACGCCGAAGGGGGGAAUCAAGAGCAUCAGAGACGAAGAGUUGGCACGCAGCAAAGAAGAACACCGCCGCUAGGAACCAUGUCACCCACCCCAUCGCUCGAAUCUAUGGAAUUUUUGGACCAGAUUUUCACCUUAGGUUUUUUGCUUCUUAGAUUGGGAUAAGAGGACGGGGGGAGAAAGAUGGGGGUUUUAGAGCCGGGAGCUUACUUGAACAUCAUGAUGGCCCAUCGCUGAGCCUGGAAGGCUUGGAGCAGGGAACGCCAGCGGCGACAGCAAGCCGCGAGGGGGAAGCAGUGGCGUGGGAGGGAGAAAGGUACAGGAAGGAGAGGAGAUAAGGAUGGCAUGGGGAGAGAGUGUUCGAUGGUAGACGGACGCGACUAGCCGCUCAGAGCUAAAAUUUAGGGAAAUUUCGGGUCCAAGCGACUAUCACAUGUCGCCUGAUGGAUGGCGGGGAAGCCGCCGAAUGCGGUCGGCGCAGCAAAACGGGUGAGAUUUUAAUAUCUCCGAUGUUUCAGCGUAUUGGCAGCAGGAAAUAUGUAAUGUUCAUAAACUAUACAUAUGCCCGUUGGCCCCAAUACAAAGUUGACAUUUUGGCAAUAUUCUGUUCAUACAAAACAACUUACAUGUUUCUGCAUUUUUACACAAAUAACUUAAAAGAAUGUUGACUUCAAACAAAACGAAGCUAUCCAAUGUUACUCGGUUCAACCUGUCUCUCGCGUUCGCCAAUACACGUUUACAAGGGAAAAUAUAUGGUGGAAACCACUUGUUGGAAUCAUAAAAACUAGUUCAAGAAAUAUACUUCAUAACUAUUUUUUAAAACUUGACACAAAUCUACUCACAUAUAAAAGCUGGGAUAAAAAAUUAUUUUUGAAAAUUCAUACUAAAUCAGAAAUUUUAGUUGUAUGUGCACUGCGAGACAAAAAAAUCUAGAUUUUUGUCUUCUAGUAUACAUGCACAGAAGUUGUGUUAUUUUCAUAUGAUUUUUUUUUCAAAAAUGACUUUGCAUCUCAAUUUUUGGGUGAGUUCUGUAUGGAUGAACUACAUAUGUGUUAAGUUUUAAAAAAAUCAAGUUACAAAAGUGUACUUGUUAGGUUCCAAUUUAUAAUUUAUUUAACUUUAUCGACACCAACUUUAUCGGCUCGUCUUAUUCAAAAAAAAUAUAAUUAUUGUGGUAUUGUUUAGCACAUAAUAUACUUUAAUUAUGGUUUUGGAUUUUCAAAAUUUCAAAAAAAAAAUGACUAAGAUGAGUCAGUCAAAAUUAGUGUCAAAAAGUCAAAUGAAUUAUAAAUUAGAAUGGAGGAAGUAAUUUUUUAAACUAGUUUCCAUACAUCCAUGCAUGUCAACCCUAUCAAUCGUUGAAAGCUGACCUCUCUUCUUUCUUGGGCAGCUGGGAUGGUGAUUGAUCCUCCGAAUGCUCCUCCGGGCCUCCAAUUACAUCCCGACAUCAGGAGCCUAAAAAUGGCCAAAUGCGCCACUAUAAAGAGGGGAACCUCGUUGCACCGAAGAAAUCACCGUACCAUUAUGGCUAGUUCGUGGAUGGCGGCGCCACGACCUCUCCUAUUGCCGCUGCUGGUCGCCAUGCUAGCGGUGGUCGCCGAUGUCGCCAACGCCGGCCACGCCAAGCCCCUGACGCCUGGCGGGCGCGUGGUACACGACAACCACGGCAAGUUCACGGCCGGGCCGUGGAAACCUGCCCACGCGACCUUCUACGGCGGGCGGGACGGGUCCGGCACCACGGCGGGCGCGUGCGGGUACAAGGACACGCGCGAGCAGGGGUACGGCGUGCAGACGGUGGCUGUGAGCACGGUGUUGUUUGGCGAUGGCGCGGCCUGCGGCGGGUGCUACGAGGUGCGGUGCGUGGACAGCCCCAGCGGGUGCAAGCCCGACGUGGCGGCGCUGGUGGUGACGGCGACCGACCUGUGCCCGCCCAAGGACAAGUGGUGCAAGCCGCCGCAGGAGCACUUCGACCUCAGCAUGCCCGCGUUCCUCCAGAUCGCGCAGGAGAAGGCCGGCAUCGUGCCCAUCUCCUAUCGCAGGGUGGCGUGCGCGAAGCAGGGCGGCAUCCGGUACACCAUCACCGGGAACAAGUACUUCAACAUGGUGACGAUCACCAACGUGGGCGGCGCCGGCGACAUCGCGGCGGUGUCGGUGAAGGGGAGCAAGCGCGUCAAGUGGACGGAGAUGAAGCGCAACUGGGGGCAAGUGUGGCAGACCGGGGAGGACCUCACCUGCGAGUCGCUGACGUUCCGGGUGAUGACUAGCGACCACCGCAAGGCCACCUCAUGGCACGUUCUCCCCGCUGACUGGAAGUUCGGCGUCACGUACCAGGCGUCCAAGAACUUCUAAGUAGCCACUUUCCCUCCUCUUCUUCAACCUGCAUGCCCGCAAGCAGCCAUGCAGAUUAUAACAUGCAUCAUGCAUGCAUAUUCAUUCUUUCGCUCAUGCACUCCGAUACGGUGCCAGAGUUAAAAAAUGUAAAUCAAUAUGCAAAUUCAAAUUACAUCUUAACCAGUUGUGAUCAAUCUUUAUAAAUUCGUAAUAAAUUCAUCUUAGCUUAGAAAAAUAUGAAAC
rnacentral:lncRNA from 1 species